CACGGCUUGAGCAGGUGGGACAACGUGGAACAGGUCACCGGAAACAUACUUAACUGCUCCUUCUUCAGCGGGAAGAACUUUGUCCAUGACCUUUGGAAGGUCCAACACAGUGCACGUGAUGUGAGGGUAGGCCUCGACGAUGGACCUCGCGGUAGUCCCAUCGCCACCGCCGCAGUCAGUGAGAGACUCAAGCCCAUCGAACAGCUCACGGCACUGCCGGAGCACGGGGCCGAUCCCCAUGUGGUCGUGGGCAGCGAGGGCGUCGUGGAGCAGCUGAUCCAUCUCCGGGUCGAGGAGCACCAUGCUCUCCUCGAAGAUGGCCGCGCCAUGCACGUCCUCGAACGGCGAGGGAACGGCUCCAUCGAAGUCCUUCCUGAACCAGUCCGCCAGCCCCAUGGCCGCCUCCACGUAGUAGCGCGAGGCCGCGGCGCGCACGAGGGCCGUCUGGCUAGCGUCGCCGUCGAUGCGGACGCCGUCUACCAGAAGGUACGAGAGCGGGUUGAGGCGGUACGUUCCGGCGUCGGUUGCACUGAAGACGCCCGCCGUGGCGAGUUGGCGCAGCAGGCGGGCGAGGAAGGGCAGCUUGGACGUGGGGAGGGAUAGGGCGGCGACGAGUUCGGAUGGGGACGCGGCGCCGCCGAGGCGGUGAAUGGCAGUGGGGACGCCAAGGUCGACGGCGCACCGGAGCGCCAUAGGCGUGAGGUAGCAGAGGGUGUGGCGCCACAGGUCCGACUGCGCCUGGAGCAGCUCCGUGUCGGUGGGGACAAACACCUUCUCUGCCUGGCCUGCCAUUGCCGAUGAUCUCUAUCUCUCAGUGCUGUACGUGUUGUGCACUUCGAUCUGGUAGAUAUAUAGGGGACGGAGGACACUCUCAUAUAAUAUAGCAAUGUUUGCUGUCAUUUCUCGUGGAACACGAGGGUGAUGACCACGACACUAUAUCGCUAUCGACGGGCCAGGAUAGCGUAUCGAUACAGCGCAGAAAGAAGACUCAAGACUGCUCGCUGUGGCUGGAAAUGGAAAGGAGGCACGUGCGGCUUUGAGAUAGACAGACCGACUGUACACACAUUACUUUCGUGGAUUCGAAUCGAAUCGAUAAACCUAAAUACUUCAUGGUGCACGCACACGAUUUUGCUGAACCGAGCGGCCGUGCUUGGACCGCUCAUUGCGAACGCAUCGUUUGGCCCACGACCGCCUGGUGUUUCCUGGUCGGGGCGAGACGUGGUUAGCUUAUGCGCUAUCCGACAAAGCCGGUGUGACACCCUUACUUUCUCUCCUGAUAAAACAAAGGCUUAUCCUUAUCAUCUUUUCAUCGUCUUUAACGUAUCCGGCCAAUAAGCAGUGUGCCCCGGCCGGAGGCCAAGCCAAGGCGGCCAACCGGAGAAACCUGGAGAGCAGGUCAGCCAAGGAGCCGGAAAAGCAGUGCCGCAACCUCCUCCCGGCGAGGCAUGAAACCAAACAAAAUUCUCCCAAACGGGUCGGACCGCAGCGGCGCGGUCGUGUUUGCCUUGGACGCACCCCCAUGGUGUUGCUGCCGCUGCUGGUGGAGCUGUGCAAGUCCAUUGGUGUGCACACGCUGCUGCUCAUGGAGUUAUGGUGCCCGGCAUCAUUGGAGCUCAGCUCUUGUACCUACUGCCCGCCGAAUCGCCAGGCAACGUCGUCCUAUUCAGAGCUUACCGACAUGGUGCUCACCUAAAUGCUAAUAAAAAAUUCUAGUUCCUGCAUGGCUGCACAACCUUUAGUCUUGGUUGAUUAUCACGAGUGCUUUUUUGCCUGAGUAGAUUAUUCAAUAGUUAUAGUUGCACAUAUAAUAGUCUGUGGUAGUAUAUAUGAUUUAGAAAGUUGCACAACACGAUGAUACUAAGUUGGCUAGAUGAUGUUUUUGCUUAAAUUGAUCUAUUCUUGUCCGUCGUAUUUUUAGUUGGCAUCCAUGACACGAUAAUAUAAUAUAGCAAUGUGUUUGCUGUCAUUUCUCGUGGAACGCGAGGGUGACGACCUUGACACUAUAUCGCUAUCGACGGGCCGGGGUAGCGUAUCGAUAGAGCGCAUAAAGAAGACUCAAGACUGCUCGCUGUGGCUGCAAACGGAAAGGAGGCACGCGCGUCUUCGAGACAGACUGACCGACUGUACACACGUUCCAUUCGUGGAUCCGAAUCAAAUCGAUAAACCUAAAUACUUCAUGGUGCACGCGCACGAUUUUGCUUAACCGAGCGGCCGCGCUUGGACCGCUCAUUGCGAGCGCAUCGUGGGGCCCACGACGGCCAGGUGUUUCCUGGUCGGGGCGAGACGUGGUUGGCUCGAGCGCUAUCCGACAAACCCGGUAUGACACCCUUACUUUCUCUCCUGAAAAAACAAAGGCUUAUCCGUAUCAUCUUUUCAUCGUCUCCUCGAAUCUGGCGAGGAAGCAGUGUGCCCCAGUCGAAGGCCAUGCCGAGGCGGCCAACCAGAGAAACCUGGAGAGCAGGUUAGCCAAGGAGCCAGACCAGCAGUGCUGCCACCUCCUCCGCCCUCUUUUUAUGAGCUGGAGCCGGAGCCGCCAUGGAACUCACGCGAGAGGGCCACCCUACGCCUCGCUACUCCUUCCUCCCAUGGUGUUGCUGCCGCUGCUGGUGGAGCUGUGCAAGUCCAUUGGUGUGCACGCGCUGCUGCUCAUGGUGUCAUGGUGCCCGGCAUCAUUGGCGCUCAGCUCUUGUACCUACUGCCCGCCGAAUCGCCAUGCAAUGUCGUCCUGUUCAGAGCUUACGGACAUGGUGCUCACCUGAAUACUAAUAAAAAAAUUUAGUUCCUGCAUGGCUGCACAACCUUCAGUCUUGGUUGACUAUCACGAGUGCAUUUUUGCCUGAGUAGAUUAUCCAAUAGUUGUAGUUGCACAUAUAAUAGUCUGUAGUUGUAUAUAUGAUUUAAAAAGUUGCACAACAUGAUGAUACUAAGUUGGCUAGAUGAUGUUUUUGCAUAAAUUGAUCUAUUUUUGUCGGUCAUAUUUUUAGUUGGCAUCCAUGACAUUAUAAUAUAAUAUAGCAAUGUGUUUGCUGUCAUUUCUCGUGGAACGCGAGGGUAACGACCAUUACACUAUAUCGCUAUCGACGGGCCGGGGUAGCUUAUCGAUAGAGCGCAUAAAGAAGACUCAAGACUGCUCGAUGUUGCUGGAAACAGAAAGGAGGCACGUGCGGCUUCAAGAUAGACCGACCGACUGUACACGGAUUCCAUUCGUGGAUCCGAAUCGAAUCGAUAAACCUAAAUACUUCUUGAUGCACGUGCAUGAUUUUGCUGAACCAAUCGGCCACGCUUGGACCACUCAUUUCGAGCGCAUCGUGCGGCCCACGGCCACCAGGUGUUUCCUGGUCGGGGCGAGACGUGGUUGGCUCAUGCGCUAUCCGAACGGUGUGAACCAAUCGCUCCCUUAAUUUCUCACCUGAAAAAACAAAGGCUUGUCUUUAUCAUCUUUUCAUCGUCUCCAUCGAAUCCGGCGAGGAAGCAUGUUAGGAAUAAGCCACGCAUGAGUAUGUGCUCGUGUGUGUGAUCUAUGUGCAUGGGUGUGACCGUGUACAUGCAAGAUUCUGUUAGUGCAUGCCCUGAUUAGUUAGCUAGUUUGUUGGCUUGGCCAGGUCGCCGGACGAGCGUGUAUGUGAGCGUACGUUUCGGUGAAAGAGUUACCUAGCUAGGUAGGCGAUCCGUUGGGUUCGGCCGUGGCGUGCGUGUCGUGGGAGCGCACGGCCGGGCAUGCACAUCCUGCGGGCGAGGUGGGCUGUGCGUCGUGCGCCAGCCCGGGUAUAAAUUCUAUAGACGCGGGAUAGUUGUAAUGCACUGAGUUGAGCACCAUGUAGACAUUGCAAAAGGAAGAAAGAUUCGCGCGUUCGUGCACCGGUCCGAGAAACUUGUGUCCACUGCGUUCAUCUCCUUCCUUCUUUCUUGUUCAAGCGAGUGAGUUGAGAGGGAGAGGUAGUUCGGGGUUUGUCCCAACAUUUGGUAUCAUGAGCUGGUUCAUCUUGGGCGUCGUUCUUCUUGCCAGAGGUGUGCCGGCGGUGGCGGAGUUCGCCGCGGUUGCGUGAUGCUCCAGGCCGUGGGUCGGCCUAUGGAGGAGUGCGGCGCGGCGAGGAGGCCACGGUGACUGCGGCGGCAUGGUGAGGAGGCCGCGGAGGACCUGCGUGGUGGCGGCUUCAAUGACGACGACGGCGCGGCGAGUGCGUUGCGGCGGCUCGGCGCGACAACGGUGGAGGCGCGUGGCACGGAGCCGCAGCGCUCGUGUCGGAUGCGUCAGGCGCGUGUAUGGGCGCGCGCCGGGCGUGUCAGGCGCGGCGGGACCGUGGUGUAGGGUGGCCGUUGGCGAGCGGGGGUGUGCGCAUCGUGGGCUCGCCGCGUCUAGAUGUGUGCGUGCAUGUCGGAGGGGGCGCGGGCAGAGCGGACGGGACGGGCGCUCGACGUAGGCUGGGACGUGGGUGCGUGCCCGGCGCGUCCCUGCAUAUAAAACCCCACCCGUGUACAUUGUAAUAGCAGUGCCCGGAGUCGAGUUCGAGCUCGAGGGAAUCAAGGUCGUUGGUGUACCAGGAAGAGAAGCUGUGGCGUGUGUCGCCGGAGAUGAAGAAGGCGUUCUCGAUGGCAGUCGACGAGAGGCCGGAGUCCUGUCAGGAUGGGCGGCGAGGUCGUGGCUUAGAUGGGAGAAUGUUAGGAAUAAGUCAGUCAUGAGUAUGUGCUCGUGUGUGUGAUCUAUGUGCAUGGGUGUGACCGUGUGCAUGCAAGAUUCUGUUAGCGCAUGCCCUGAUUAGUUAGCUAGUUUGUUGGCUUGGACGGGUCGCCGUAGGAGCGUGUAUGGGAGCGUACGUUUCGGUGAAAGAGUUAGCUAGCUAGGUAGGCGAUCCAUUGGGAUCGGCCGUGGCGUGCGUGUCGUGGGAGCGCACGGCCGGGCAUGCGGAUCCUGCGGGCGAGGUGGGCUGUGCGUCGUGCGCCAGCCCGGGUAUAAAUUAUGUAAAUGCGGGAUGGUUGUAAUGCAUUGAGUUAUGCACCAUGUAGACAUUGCAAAGAGAAGAAAGAUUCGGGCGUUCGUGCGCCGGUCUGAGAAACUUGUGUCCACUGUGUUCAUUCCCUUCCUUCUUUUUUAUUCGAGCGAGUGAGUUGAGAGGGAGAGGUAGUUUAGGGUUUGUCCCAACAAAGCGGUGUGCCCCGGCCGGAGGCCAAGCCGAGGCGGCCAACCGGAGAAACCUGGAGAGCAGGUCAGCCAAGCAGCCGGACCAGCAAUGCCGCCACCUCCUCCGCCCUCUUUCUAUGAGCUGGAGCCGGAGCCGCCUGAGGGCCACCCUACGCCCCGCUACUCCUCCCGGCGAGGCAUGAAGCCAGACAAAAUUCUCCCAAACCGGUCGGACCGUAGCGGCGCGGUUGUGUUUGCCUUGGACGCACCCCCAUGGUGUUGCUGCCGCUGCUGGUGGAGCUGUGCAAGUCCAUUGAUGUGCACACGCUGCUGCUCAUGGAGUGCUGGUGCCCGGCAUCUUUGGCAUUCAGCUCUUGUACCUACUGCCCGCCGAAUCGCCAGGCAACAUCAUCCUGUUCAGAAAAAAAUUUAGUUCCUGCACGGCUGCAUAACCUCCUGUCUGGGUUGAUUAUCACAAGUGCGUUUUUGCCUGAGUAGAUUAUUCAAUAGUUGUAGUUGCACAUAUUAUAGUCUGUAGUUGUAUAUAUGAUCUAGAAAGUUGCACAACACGAUGAUAUUAAGUUGGCUAGAUGAUGUUUUUGCUUAAAUUGAUCUAUUUUUGUUAGUCAUAUUUUUAUUUGGCAUCCAUGACACUAUAAUAUAAUAUAGCAAUGUGUUUAACGUUUCAUUCAUGUAUUCGAAUUGAAUUGACCGACCGUACACGUGUUCCAUUCGUGGAUUCAAAUUGAAUUGAUAAAAGACCGAGUUUAACGUUUUCACGUACGCUACGCUACGCCGUCCUUGAUUGGAAGGAAAGGAAAGGUCUUCCUUCCUUUCACGUUGCUCCACGUGAACGUUCUCCGCGUCACGUUUUUCAUCAUCAAACAAACCAACCAAAACGUGUUUUAACGUUUUCCUUGGUUUGGUCAUCAAACAAUGAAAUCGGUGCACGCCAGCCCCUCACCAGCGGGAGGGCCUCGAGUCCCCACGGCCGCUGGUGACGGCAAGGCUUCUCCCUGCCACACCCUCAGACAGCAGCAAGGAAGGAGGAAGAGGAGAAGGGGAGGCUAGGCGACGGGAUCUGGGAGCCUCCCGGCUACCACACGAGGGCGACUCGGGAGGGCGCUGUGGCUAGGCGACGGGAUCUCCUUUCUUCUGGAUAGUUUUGAAGAUGAUAUAGAAGAUUAUGUGUGUCGGGAGUGUCGUGUCAUGUCGUGCCAAACAUUCAGAGCUGCAUGGCGCUCCAACGUCGUCGACGAGGCUCUGUAUGCCUGCCAUCCACGGACGAGCUCCUCACGGCUCUCGCCUCAUCUUCGUCUUCGUCUUCAUCUGAUCGACAAAACCUUUGAAAGGCCACACCUUUUGUAUUUUCUCCAAGUCGUUCCCAGAUCUUCUCUUCCCGACGACCCGGCCCAGGCAUGAACGACAAGCUUGCCGUACGGCCGGGCCAGUGUGCUCUCUCGUCUCUAGUCUGUUGUUCUGUGCCGGGACACCAGUGCUGAGGAAGCAUGCAACUAAUCAAGGCGAUCUCUUUGGACCACACCCGCAACUGAUCACGAGGUCCAAGAGUGGCCAUCAUCCCUGCCGACUAGGGCCGGUCCUAAGAUUUUGGGGGCCUUUGGCGAAACUAUAACCAAGGGCCUCUUAAUAUAAAUAUCAAAAUAAUAAUUAAUAUAUGUCUAUAUCAAAUGUUGGGCGCCUUCUCCACUAUUAUUUCCCUUUCUUUGUUAAUUAUUAAGAUAUCCCCAUUUUUGGAUCAUAGAUAUCCAUAAAAAAUUCUUUUGUGUCCAAACUAGCAUAUUCUAUACAAGAUGAAUUAAAUAUGUGCUCAUAAUCACUUACAUUGUUUUCAUCUGUUGGCUGCCGUUCUGCCUUGUCUUCUGGAUUAAGGCUAGUAGCCCGGUCAAAACAAAUGUCAUGGCUGGAUUUCUUCAACUCCUCAUAUUACUCUUAGAAAAAACAAAUAAUAAGUGUCACGUGUGUGGCACUUAUAAGGGUCCACAAAAAAUUAUCAGUGUAUCCUCGCUGUAACUAUAUUAGUUCAUUGUCUCAUUCUUUUUUUUUCUUUCCCCACCAGAUGCAUAUGCUUUAGACGGCAUGCCGUGCUAAAAUUUACAGAAUCAGAAAAAAAAAAUAGAAACUAACUCAUAGUUACAAAGGUGUUAAAUCAAUUCAAUCAAAUCUUACCUAACAUCAGUUUAUCAAAGCGAACUCACAAGUUCCAAAUCCCAAUACCAUCUCUUUCUGAAGUGAGUAUGUUGGGGUUGGGUUGUAGUCUAGAUCCUUCACGUACGUGUAUCACAUGAUCUUUAGNNNNNNNNNNNNNNNNNNNNNNNNNNNNNNNNNNNNNNNNNNNNNNNNNNNNNNNNNNNNNNNNNNNNNNNNNNNNNNNNNNNNNNNNNNNNNNNNNNNNNNNNNNNNNNNNNNNNNNNNNNNNNNNNNNNNNNNNNNNNNNNNNNNNNNNNNNNNNNNNNNNNNNNNNNNNNNNNNNNNNNNNNNNNNNNNNNNNNNNNNNNNNNNNNNNNNNNNNNNNNNNNNNNNNNNNNNNNNNNNNNNNNNNNNNNNNNNNNNNNNNNNNNNNNNNNNNNNNNNNNNNNNNNNNNNNNNNNNNNNNNNNNNNNNNNNNNNNNNNNNNNNNNNNNNNNNNNNNNNNNNNNNNNNNNNNNNNNNNNNNNNNNNNNNNNNNNNNNNNNNNNNNNNNNNNNNNNNNNNNNNNNNNNNNNNNNNNNNNNNNNNNNNNNNNNNNNNNNNNNNNNNNNNNNNNNNNNNNNNNNNNNNNNNNNNNNNNNNNNNNNNNNNNNNNNNNNNNNNNNNNNNNNGUGCCGCGGUCCAACGCUUACUCGCCGUGUCACACCUAAGCAAAGCGCCCAAGCAAGAGCUAUACUGGAUUCAUCCUCCAUCGGGAUGGGCUAAGCUCAACAUAGAUGGUAUUCAUGCCCCUUCGACCGGAGAGGCUGCAGGGGCAUGGUUCUACGCGAUGAGAGAGGCGACAUCAUCUAUAUUGGUUGUAGAAAAAUUCUUACAUGCGAUAAUGACCUUGGGGCAGAGCUAGCUGCAUGCAGAGAGGGCUUGAAGCUAGCUCUACACCGGUCGAGCCUGCCCAUUAUGAUCGAGCUUGACUAUGCCGAAGGAGUGUCUAUGUUGCUAGCACAAACUGAAGCUAGAACACAUCACCGGUUACUCGUAUGGACCCUGCACUGCAGUGUGGGUGUGCUCGGGGCAAGACUUUGUUGUAAACCUUUCUAAGGCUGACAAGCCUCCUUGAGUAAUGAAAUCUCUCUUUACACCGCAAAAACAAAAACAAAAACUUCAAGAAAGGAAAAGGUGUGUACGUGCAUGUUUUGAUGUGUAGGCAUAUUAAACUAUGUACUAGUCCUCAUCAGCGCAAGAUUGAUGGAUCCGGUCGUCAGAUCUGUGGGAACGAGUGGGAUCAACCACUUCGCUGCAACCAAGACGAGUCCUAUUAACUUACCCUAAAUUGCAAGAUAAUAAGUGAUUGAACCACUCAUUAAUGCCCCGGUCUUUGGUCUCCUGCAUGCAGUACCAUAUCCAGCCAAUCCCUGGCCUUUUGGAGUAAAGGGGUGUUUGUUUACAUGGACUUAUUAGUGUAGGGACUUAAAAAAAUCCCUUUUAGUCCCAUCUGAAACAAACAAGAGGGACUUAUAGAGACUUAAAGUGGACAUUUAGGACUUAUGAAACAAGAUCAUGAGGGAGAGUCUUUUUGGGACUUUUAGUUGUAAUAUGGUCUUUUAGUCAAUGUUUAGUCCCAGAAACCAAAUAUGUAAGGACUUUUUAGGGACUAACGACUUUUUAGUUGGGACUAAAACAAGUUCUAUUACUUAUGAACAAAACAGGGCCUAAAGUCUGUUGAUCCAUGCAGCAUGCAGUAUUGCCUGAGUAAAAUGCUCCGGUAAUCUGCCUAAUUUAAUGCAUGCCGAUUAAUUUUACGGGAAUAUCUGAGAUUCAUGACCCACUCGGAGGGAGUGGUAUAGUCCAGUCAUUAAGGCUAAAACAAUACAUCUUGACCAGCCGUCGGAUCGGCGCAGACGGCUGGGAUCAGUCGGAGAUGGGGAUCAAUCCCUGGUAGGCGGUGACGGGCCAAUCGCAAGCAAGCAGCAAAAUUUCUUUUCUAUUCCUUAGAUUUAGACUAGUAAGUGUGCACGUGCAAAUGCACGUCUCGACUAAUAUGACAAACAUAUGUAGGAAUUAACAUACACAUAAAGAUAUUUUGAUUGCACUCAAAAGACUACUACAAAUCAAGAAACACUUUAGGCCAAGUUUGGCAACAUAGUUUUCUCAAAACAAUAGUAAUCGAAAACCUCAGUAUUCAAUUGCCUAGGCAAUGAAUUCUUCAGUUUUUAAAAAUCACAGUUUUUUCAGUUUAUAAAAAAGUGGUCAAGACCUCUUUCUUAAAUACUACCAAAAAAACCAUGGUACUGGAGAUACUACGGUUUAUAAAGCUAUGAUAUUUGUUGAAGCCAAACACCUCAAAGUUUUGAAAACUUUGGUUUAUGAGAAAGCGGUGGUAUUCUCCAAAUACUUCAAAAAAACUGAGCAGCCAAAUGCAGCCUUAAUGUAUGACCAACUGGUCAUAUGCAUUGAGCCAAAAAAUUAUCCCAGUAUUUCCUAAUAAGGCUAGUGAAUUCUCGUAAACAUGCGGAAUGUUAUUUGCGGCUUCAUUGUUGAUGUAGUUGAGUAGCUGCACCAAAAAUUGCUUCUUUAUCUGGUCACCAUCCUGAAUGAAAAUAGUAAGUCAAUAUUGAUCCUGCAAAUUGGUUGAUUUAGUUCUUUCGCAUCCCAUGAGUGCAAUAAAUUAAAAGCAAAAUAACCAGAGAAGUUCCUGUAGAUAAAUGCAUUACCAUUGUCUUGAGUGUUAGAAAAACUAAAUAAGAUGCUUUAGUGGGUUUCAUAGGUAGUCACCUGUCUGUGCUUUCUGGAACACAAGCUAGUAAUCGACCAUGGAAAAAUAAACAUCAUUCCAUUUGGGAUUUGCUACUUGGAGUGCUUGGUUUAGGUAAAAUGAGAUGCACAUCCUUCAAAGAUGGAACUCGGCGGGCAUCAACUCUCUUGCGCAUCAUAGUAAACAAAAGCAAGAAACUUAAGGACGAGAGAAGAAAAGAAAGUAAAAUUCAGACAAGUUGAAUUAAUUUGGAAAGGCUAAUGCAUUAGAUUAAUACUAUAAAUACCAUAUACCAAGCAUCAUGCUGAAACCAUAGUGAGUACUUACAACAGUUCUUGUAAUAAUUGAGUACUUACAACAUCUUAACAUUAGAACAUUGUACGCAAUAUCUCAUUAAUGUUCGAAUCAGUAUAAGGGAAUAGAAAUCACAUCCAAUCCCAUAAAAUAUUACAUUUGCUAAGUGCAAUGUCUGAACUGACCGCAACAUAUGAUUAUUCAAGAGGGACAUCACUUUACUAAACGAAAAUUGUAAAUGAUACAGAAAAAUAAGUAUCACAAAUAUGAAUGGAACUCAACAACAAAACCAAUGAAGCAAAAGCAAAGACUGCUUAUGAGCUAGUUUAUUUAGAUUGAAACUGAUGAGCUAGUUCAUUUAUUAGCUAGUUCCUUGCAUGAGAUGUAUUCUCUUGAGAAACAUGACACCUUAAAAAAACACAGGACACCUUAUAUUGAACUCAACAACAACAGCUUGUGUUCUACUAAGUGCAUGUAGAGUUGUCCAUUAACCUGAACAUCAUCAACCUAACUUGGAAAAAUAAAAAUGUUAAUGUCAGAGUUCAUACUUCCAUUUCAUCUUGUGCCUCCUUUCUAUUUCUCUACCAUUGGGUACUCGAGCUUGAAGCUGAUUCUACCUCCAACCUUUACUAGGACAAAACAUAAGACCAUCUCAUUGUCGGAAUUACAACAGUGCUCAAUUCAACAACUAAUUUCUCAGAUUCAUUACUCUAGUAAUUGUUAGUUUGCUCCUAAACUGAUAGUACUCCCAGUUUACAUGUUUUGUGUAUAUGUGUUUUGGCUUUUUCAAACUUGAUUGGUGCUCAUGGUGUUACCAAAUUACCAAUAAGCACCAGCUGCAAUCAAGAAUAGUACACCACCUCUCCACUUAAUCCACAACACAGUCCUACAGAAUCAAGUUAAUUUUUUUCCUCUACUAAUGUAUACAGGAAGCAAAAAAUUCAGGUUCAGUCAUAUGAAUGUAGUACAAGCUUUUUUCAGGUUCAAACAACAUUGUAGUGGAAGCUUUUUUCAGGUUCAGACAAAUUCGUAAAAUAAUAAUAGGGAAGAAGAAAGUACAAAAACUGGUUGUAAUCAUUUGUAACACCGCUUCCAAUGGAGGUUUAACACGUGGUUCACCGACCUUUGGACCGCACAAAAUGAACAGUGUGCCUACAACACUACAGAGCUAGUAACGACUAAAAGAUUUCCUGCAUUGAACAAAGCAAAGUAUCCUCUACAAAAAGGGAUUUGUAAACCAUUGCUACAACAUAUGAUAUUCUUUCCUUUGAAAAUUGUUGUUCGUCGUAAUAUCAAAUUACCAAAAAGGUUAUAGGUGCAACCAAUAGUGCGUACAUUACAAUUCCACAACCUCCAUUUCACCUACUCGAGCAAACAAUAUUUUCACAAUGACCAGUGUAAACUUUUAGCUCUGUCACAAUAACCAUAAAUGUUUACUAUCCCUGAAGGAAUUUUCGCACAAGAUCGACCCAUUGAAUUUUUGGAGGGUGUGUGUGUGUGUGUGUGUGUGUGUGUGUGUGUGUGUGUGUGUGUGAGAGGGGAGGAUGGGGGCAGGGGGAGUUUGUAGUAAUGCAACCUGUAGCAUUCUGAACAGGAGUCGACACGACAUGCGAAUCCUGGAUGUCCAGGCUGCCUAGCCCAGCCGCUUCCGCCUUGUUGCGAGGUAGGUAAGCCAGUAACCUGCCGGCUGCUCUGCUUCCACUGCUGCUGCCGGCGCCAGUUUUAGGUGGUGAGGUGGAAGACCGAAUGAGGAGGGCAGUGAAGGAACUACAGUGAGAUUUUAACAUCAUAAAAUUCUUUAGGAGAUUUAUGUACUCCAAAUAUUCUGAAAUUUGUACACCAGCGAGUAUGCACUCACUAGCUAGCAACUGAAUUGAUAUAGCAGAUAAUAUUCCCCAUAGUGCACAAAACAAUUGAAGCAGAUGAACAAGCAGAAAUGAAUAUUCAGAUAGGACCAUGCUUACAUAAUGGCUACCUUCCAGAUGGAGAAGUUGAGGAGGAGGAUAGGCAGCAUCAUAUCGGCCGCUGCCACCGUCGAAUGUCCCCAUAUCCUCCUCUUCCUACUUUCACUGUUCAUUUGCUCGUCCAGCGCUUGCGUGCAGCUUCUGGCAGCAAGAAGCACCAAAGAACUGAAAAUACCUUACCAUAUUUUUAUAAAUGGCAUCCCUAAAAUCAAAAGGUUGGAACUUCAAAGGAAAAGAUCACAGCAACAAACUAUGGAUUAUGUUGUUGCAAACUUGCAACUGCAGGAAAAUUUACCUUUUUCUGUACAUAAAUACCUUAUAACCUUUUCUAUUAACAGAUGCUGUAGAGAUGCUGUUACUUAAACAAAAAUGCAGGAAAAUAUCAUAUGAAAUCAUCGAUCUGGAUCCUUUUUUAAAUACAACAACGGAUCCAUGUAAGAAGAAUUAAACCUAAAAACCAGAGUACUGCAUACAAACUAUGAGCUAGCUUACUUUUUGCAUGGCUAACAACUUGAAAAUCUUGCAACAGAUGUAACAAUAAAAAAAUCUAUUAGACAUGAUUUUGAAAAAUCUUGUAACUGGCAUGUCAAACGUAUAGGGUAAUAUCAGAAGUCCAGGUGCUAGUCACAUGAACCUGCACCAUGUAGGUAAUUAUCCAGAACAAAAAUAACCUAUUGUUGAACUUGUCACAAACCAUGGAAGAAAUCACAUCAAGUCAGUAUAACGAUUAUCCCUCGUCAGAUAAAAAGUUGCUGGAAUAUUUUUUUAUCGACAAUAAUAGUACAGUUCAUAACAAAUAAAUCAAGAUCGAGCUCGAGCCUAUAUUCAGAAUCAGACCAGAAAACUUAGAUAAUUUAAUUUAGGAUCUGAAAGAGGGGGGAGAGCUUAAUGGGUGGUUGUGCUCCCGAUCUAGCGGAAGAGUAUGAAGUAGGCGCUACAGAUCACUAGCAUACGGGAGCCAUCAAUCAACUGUCUCGAGGUCGAGCAGUGGCAGGGAGCAGACGUCCAUGUAGUGAAGCCUGCGGAUGGUAUACCGCAUCAGCGCGUGCUUGAGCAAAGGGAAGAAGGGGCGGAUGGUAGAGUGUACCAACGGGGAGGAGGCCCUAUGGAAGGAGACAGAGACAGGAAGACCCGCUUCACGCCGCCGCCUCCUUCGAUCCGUGUUGGUCGUCGAAGCUUGGUUGGUUGUUGCCCGGGGGCCGUGGGCUAUGGCGGCUCGAUGAAGAUGAAAGAACGGUGUACGACGGUGCAAGUGGGAGGGAAGAGGAUGGGCGCGAGGUGGUAAAUGACUGGCGGUCGGAAGGGGAAGAGGGGGCAGCGAGAUCUCCGUCAUGGUCGUGGGCGACGGGCGUUGGCUUGGUUUCUUCCAAGGGAGGCGCCGGAGAGGGAGGCCGCGGGGCAUGCUCCGGCAGUUGGGCGGUGGAGGCAAUUGGGUGGGCUCAGAGAAAAUAGUGGGGGAUGGGCGCGGGGGCGGUGGAGGCACGGGCGGGGUUAGUGCGAUUUCUUUUUUCUUUUCUUUGAAGUGUUUGUGCGGGUUAGUGCGGUUGCUAAAACAUGUGUUUGAUCUAAAACGCGUUUGAUGAGCGAUCUGGAACCUACAAAAAUCAAUAGACGGAUGAGAUGUUGUUUUGUUCGGUGGAGGAGAGGAACGAUUCAUUCCUUCCCUCGCCGCCCCGUCUCCCUCGCACGCCGCCGGCCAUGGCCUCCGCCCUCUCCCUCUCACCCUCACUCGCCGCUGGCCACCGCCCUCUCCUACUCUCAUCCUCUCCCCUCUUCACAAGAUAAGAUAAGAGAACCAAUUAGUCCAGUCGGCUUGCCGCUAGCCGACUGGAAGCCAAUCGGCCUGUGGUGGGCUGAUUAGGGGCAUGUGGCCAUUUUUCUUUUUCUGUUUUUGGUUUUAGUUGUUGUUUUCUAUUUAUUCUACCUAUCAAAUGAAUCUAGUUUGUGUUGAAACUUUUUGCAUAAAUUACUAGCAAUAUUAACAAGCCACAUAUAAAUUUUCAUAUUUUUUGGAAAACCAAAUUUUUACAAUUGUAUUUGAUAGCUCCUGGUGAAUAUAGAUCGGGUUUAAAUUUAUCUAUCCAAAUUGAUUUUUUUAUUUUUAAAGAUGUCAAAAUAUCAAGGAGAAUAAUUUAAUUUUUUUGUGAAACAAUUUGAGAAUACAUUUUUAGCUGAUGAAACAAUUUGAAACAAUAUGAAACAUUUUUUGUGAAAUAAUUUGAGGAAAAUUCUUUUUUGGCUUAUGAAACAAUUUGAGAAUACUUUUUUGGCUUAUGAAACAAUUUGUGAAUUUUCCUCAAAUUGUUUCAGAAAAAUUGUUUCAUAUUGUUUCAAAUUGUUUCAUAAGCCAAAAAAAAAUUCCUCAAAUUGUUUCACAAAAAUGUUUAAACCAUUCUCCUCAAUAUUUUAACAUUUAUAAAAAUCAAAAAAAUUAAUUUGGAUAAUUUAAUUUAAAUCCUAUCGGUUUCACCAGGAGCUAUCAAAUGUAAAUAUGUGGUUUUCCAAAAAUUAUGAAAAUUUAUAUGUGGCUUGUUAAUAUUGCCAGUAAUUUAUGCAAAAAGUUUCAACACAAACCAGAUUCAUUUGAUUGCUAGAAUAAAUAGAAAACGACAACUAAAACCAAAAACAGAAAAAGAAAAAUGGUCAUAUGCACCUAGUCGGCCCACAGCAGGCCGAUUGGCCUUUAGUCGGCCCGCAGCAAGCCGACUGGGACUAAUUGGCUUGCUGCGAACCAAUUAGUCCCAGUUGGCUUGCUGCGGGCCGACUGGAGGCCAAUCGGCCAACCGUGGGCCGACUAGGCUCAGUUUGCCUGCAGCGGGCCGAUGGUGUAUUAUUUUUGAAAAUAAAAAUAUCGGCAUAAUAUUUAUGCAAAUUAAAUGAGUAAAUGUAUUAUAUUAUUUUAAAAAAACUAGCGCGAGGAUGCGGCCGUCUGCUCGUCCGUGCGGUUCCGCUUUUGCCUGCUCUGUGCCCACGCCAUGGAGAUAGAGCUUCCUCUGUUUGCUCCCCUCUCGAGCCCACCUUGGAUCUGCUCUUAUCUCCUCCCGUUCCAUCAUUUGGUUCCCUGCUCACGCAGGCACGCGUCCGACACCACCAGCAUUGAACCCUAGCCGGCAUUGUUUGGCUGGGAGAAGCAGCUCCCCUCCUCGUCGGCUACCCCUGCCUGCCCCUCCGCUCUGCUCUCUCGUGUGCCCACGAUGGCCUUCUUGUUCCUAAUUUUGAUUUGGACACCGUAUACACAUGAUGAGGAUUAGGCAUGUGUAAUGGGGAUUGGGAUGCAGAUUCCAUAUCUGCAAGUGUAAUGACUAGAAACUGAUCAAGUUCCUCCUGAGUUCAGAUCCCAAUUUGCUUGCUGCAUUACAUUAAAUGGCUGUGUGAAAACUGAAACUUUGAUCACAUAUAUAAUUUUGUCUGGUCAAUGGUUAGUGCACCCCCUCCUCCAAUUUGUCUAGAUCAGGCUUAUGUGUUAUCUUCAUUACAUCCUCUACUAGCAAAACGAUCCAAGUGAAAAAUUAACAAUUUCCUGCGAGAUUGUCAAGCGUGGGCAUCCUUUUGUAUUUAUAGUCUCCAAAAGUUAUAGAUAGGAGGCACAUGGUGUUUCGAAAUAUUACAUGCAUUGCCUACUGCUUGGUGCCUAUAUUUACAGCUUCUUCCUGCGUCUGUUGUUGUUCUUCCAGGGAGACCGUUACUGUGAUUUCCCUGUGCUCGUUUGGAGGAGGCGUUCAUUCCUUUUAAGCCCCCACUACUAGAAAAAAUCUUAUACACAGAAACUUACCAGUAGCGCGGGCUAAAAAAAAGCGCUACUAUAAUUUACCACUACCGCGUGUGAAAUAAUCGUGCUGCAGCUAAGUUUGUAGCAGUAGCGUGUCUCGCUAAAGAAGCGCUACUACUACAAUUCCCCUACUGUUCUCGACAGGCUACCAUUAGUAGUAGCAUGCUUAGAAAAAGUGCGCUGCUGCUAAGACUAUUGUAGCAGCGUGUUUUACGCACAAAGCGCUACUGCUAAGGAAAGAAAAAUAAAAUGAAAAACAUAUAGAAAAGUAAAUGAAAAUGAAAGAAAUAGAAAAAUGGGAAGGAGAAAAAGAAAAUGUGAAUGAAAAUAAAUGAAAAAUAAAAAUAAGGGAGAAAGACGUAGCAGCAGCGGGCUUUUUGGACACGCGCUAUAGCUAUCUUAGCAGUAGCGCUUGUUGCCAUCCAGCCCUAUAGCUAACGUAGCAAUAGCGCUUUUCCUGGAACGCGCUACUGCUACUUUUGAAUUAACCACGCGUGGUUCUUCUUCCCCGCGGCCAUUUCACCCAAAUCGAACUCGCGCGUCUGUUGUCGCCGCUGUCGUCGCCCGGCCGCCGCGCGCGGUCUCCCUUCGCCCUCCGCAUGCCGUCGACGCCGCCCCCGACCCCGACCUCGACACCCCCCUACAUCGCCGCCCUCCGGCGUGCGCCCGCCGCCCCGACCCCGACCCGUCCCCGACCUCGACGCCGCGUGCCCCUCUCCCUAACUCCGCCGGCGCCCGAGGUGAGCACGCCCUCUUUUGGUGUCAAAACCGGCGGAUCUCGGGUAGGGUGUCCCGAAUUGUGCGUCUAAGAUCGAUGGUAACAGGAGACAGGGGACACGAUGUUUACCCAAGUGAUACGUCUCCAAUGUAUCUAUAAUUUUUUAUUGUUCCAUGCUAUUAUAUUACUUGUUUUGGAUGUUUAUGGGCUUUACUCUACACUUUUAUAUCAUUUUUAGGACUAACCUACUAAUCGGAGGCCCAGCCCGAAUUGCUGUUUUUUGCCUAUUUCAGUGUUUCGAAGGAAAGGAGUAUCAAACGGAGUCCAAACGGAAUGAAACCUUCGGGAGCGAUCGUUUUGGAACAAACGCAAUCCAUGAGACUCGGAGUGGACAUCAAGAAGCGAAUGAGGCGGCCACGAGGGUGCCCGGCGUGCCCUGUAAGGGUGGGCGCGCCCCCGCCCUCGUGGGCCCCUUGAGCGUCCACCGACCUACUUCUUCCUCCUAUAUAUGUCCACGGACCCCGAAAACAUCCGGGAGCACCACGAAAAACUAUUUCCACCGCCACAACCUUCUGUAUCCGCGAGAUCCCAUCUUGGAGCCUACGUCGGCGCUCCGCCGGACGGGGAAUCGACCAUGGAGGGCCUCUCCAUCAUCCCCAAGGUCUCUCCGAUGAGUUGUGAGUAGUUUACCACAGACCUUCGGGUCCAUAGUUAUUAGCUAGAUGGAAUUCUUCUUUCUUUUUGAUUCUCAAUACAAAGUUCUCCUUCCUCUUCUUGUAGAUCUAUUCGAUGUAACUCUUUUUAUGGUGUAUUUGUCGAGAUCUGAUGAAUUGUGGGUUUUUGAUCAAGUUUAUCUAUGAGAAAUAUUUGAAUCUCCUCUGAAUUCUUUUAUGUAUGAUUGGUUAUCUUUGCAAGUGUCUACGAAUUAUCAGUUUGGUUUGGCCUACUAGAUUGAUCUUUCUUGCCAUGAGAGAAGUGCUUAGCUUUGGGUUCAAUCUUGCAGUGUCCUUUCCCAGCGACAGCAGGGGCAGCAAGGGACGUAUUGUAUUGUUGCCAUCGAGGAUAAAAAGAUGGGGUUUAUAUCAUAUUGCAUGAGUUUAUCCCUCUACAUCAUGUCAUCUUGCUUAAUGCGUUACUUUGUUCUUAUGAACUUAAUACUCUAGAUGCAGGUAGGAGUCGGUCGAUGUGUGGAGUAAUAGUAGUAGAUGCAAAAUCGUUCGGUCUACUUGUUGCGGAUGUGAUGCCUAUAUACAUGAUCAUGCCUAGAUGAUCUCAUAAUAUGCACUUUUCUAUCAAUUGCUCGACAAUAGUUUGUUCGCCCGCAGUAAUAAUUAUACUAUCUUGAGAGAAGCCCCUAGUGAAAUCUUUGGCCCCCGGGUCUAUCUUUUAUCAUAUAAGUUUUCCAUCUACUUUUAGUUGCAUCUUUUAUUUUCCAAUCUAUAUCAUAAAAAUACCAAAAAUAUUUAUCUUAUCAUAUUAUCUCAAUCAGAUCUCACUUUCGCAAGUUACCGUGAAGGGAUUGACAACCCCUUUAUCGCGUUGGUUGCGAGGUUCUUGUUUGUUUGUGUAGGCGCAUGGGACUUGGAAAGGGCCUCCUACUGGAUUGAUACCUUGGUUCUCAAAAACUAGGGAAAUACUUACGCUACUUUGCUGCAUCGCACUUUCCUUUUCAAGGGAAAAACCAAUGCAUGCUCAAGAGGUAGCAAGAAGGAUUUCUAGCGCCGUUGCCGGGGAUGUCUUCGCUCCAGUCAAGACAUACCAAGUGCCCAUCACAAACUCAUCUCCCUCACAUUACAUUAUUGACCAUUUGCCUCUUGUUUUCCUCUCCCCCACUUCACCCUUGCCAUUUUAUUCGCCCUCUCUUUUCCGUUCGCCUUCCAUUUUCCAUGGCCGAGUCAAAAAGAACUAAGGGUUCUCUCUGAGUUAUAGUACUUUGGAUAGUCCCUCUGUCCUCUCUAAGCUCCUAAAUAAUGAUGUUGUGGAAAGGCCUGCCGGGGUUACCAAUGAGAAUUUAAAUAAUUUUGAUGAAGAGGACUCUGGAAUUUUUCGUUAUUUACUUGAUGAGUCUUUAAAAGAUGCUUGGGAUAGGCUAUUAAGGAUUAGAGCUAGCUAUGUGCCACAAUAUCUAAUUGAGAUUUAUCUAAGAAGCUUUUAUGUUGGGUUACCACCUUCGUUUAAACAGGUUUUAGAUUCUAUUUUUGAAGAAGGUUUUCUUGAAGGAGACGCUAUAGACACUUACGAAAAAAUGAAAACUAUAUUUGGGCACCCCAUGAAUGAUAAGGUUGAAUCCACCACUCUCUUAUGCUUUUAUCAAAACGAAAUUAUUAGAGAUGAAAGCUAGCCUAGAUGCAAAUUUCCGUAACGUGCUUAAUCUUUCUUCCUCCAUUAAUGGCCACGUGAUUUCCUAAAAUAGAAGGAAAAUGCUAUAGAUAAGAAAUUUUCUCUUUUCUUUCCGAAUACCAAAGAUGGCAAUACUUAGAUCCAUUCUGGCUUUUAAUGCCUAGCUAGGGGCGUUAAACGAUAGCGCUUGUUGGGAGGCAACCCAAUUUUAUUUUUGUUCCAUGCUUUUUUUUCCUGUUUAGUAAUAAAGAAUUAACCUAGCCUCUGGUUAGAUGUGGUUUUAUGUUUUAAUUAGUGUUUGUGCCAAGUAGAACCUAUAGGAUAACUUACGGUGAUAGUUAAUUUGAUUCUGCUGAAAAACAGAAAGUUUGCGCUCUCGAGAAAAAAAUCAAUAAAUCACAGAAACAUGCUUUUGCAUUGAUUCUUUCCGCUGGUGAUCAAUAGACAAAUUUCCUAGGACGUCCUAUUUUGGUAGGAUUUUUGGAGUUCCAGAAGUAUUCGAAAGUUACAGAUUGCUACAGGCUGUUCUCUUUUUGAUAGUUCUGUUUUUCAUGUGUUCUUUGCUUAUUUUGAUGAAUCUAUGGCUGGUAUCGGGGGGUAAGAACCGUAGAGAAGUUGUAAUACAGUAGGUUUAACACCAAUAUAAAUAAAGAAUGAGUUCAUUACAGUACCUUAUGUGGUGGUUUUUCUUUCUUGCACUAACGGAGCUUAUGAUAUUUCCUAUUGAGUUUUGUGUUGUGAAGUUUUCAAGUUUUGGGUAAAAAUUUGAUGGACUAUGGAAUAAGGAGUGGCAAAAGCCUAAGCUUGGGGAUGCCCAUGGAACCCCAAGAUAUUCAAGGACAACCAAAAGCCUAAGCUUGGGGAUGCCCCGGAAGGCAUCCCCUCUUUCGUCUUCGUCUAUCGGUAACUUUACUUGGAGCUAUAUUUUUAUUUACCACAUGAUAUGUGUUUUGCUUGGAGCACCUUGUAUGAUAUGAGUCUUUGAUUUUUAGUUUACCACAAUCAUCCUUGUUGUACACACCUUUUGGGAGAGACCCACAUGAUUUAGAAUUUAUUAGAAUACUCUAUGUGCUUCACUUAUAUCUUUUGAGCUAGAUAGUUUUGCUCUAUGUGCUUCACUUAUAUUUUCUAGAGCACCGUGGUGGCUUUAUUUUGAAGAAAUUGUUGAUUAAUACGUCCAUUUUGCAUCAUGCUUUUAUAUCAAUAUUUAUUGCGUUAUGGGCUGUUAUUACACAUUAUAUAUCAAUACUUAUGGCUAUUCUCUCUUAUUUUAUAAGGUUUACCAUGAAGAGGGGGAAUGCCGGCAGCUGGAAUUCUGUCUGGAAAAGGAGCAAACAUUAGAAACCUAUUCUGCACUGCUCCAAAAGACCUGAAACUCCACAAAACUUAUUUUUCGAAUUAAUAAGAAUUAUUGAGCGGAAGAAACACCUCAGGGGGCCCACACCCUGGCCAGGAGGGUGGGGGUGUGCCCACCCCUACUGGGCGCGCCCCCUGUCUCCUGCGCCCCCUGGUGGCCCUCCUGUGUCCAUCUUCUUCUAUAUGAAGGCUUUUACCCUGGAAAAAAAAUCAUGGGCAAGCUUACGGGACGAAACUCCACCGCCACGAGGCGGAACCAAUCUAGAGCUCCGGCAGAGCUGUUCUGCCGGGGACACUUCCCUCCGGGAGGGGGAAAUCAUCACCAUCGUCAUCACCAACGAUCCUCCCAUCGGGAGAGGGUCAAUCUCCAUCAACAUCUUCACCAGCACCAUGUCCUCUCAAACGCUAGUUCAUCUCUUGUAUCCAAUCUCGUAUCCAAAACCACAAAUUGCUACUUGUGGGUUGGUAGUAGUGUUGAUUACUCCUUGUAGUUGAUGCUUAUUGGUUUACUUGGUGGAAGAUCAUAUGUUCAGAUCCUUAAUGCAUAUUAUUACUCCUCUGAUUAUGAACAUGAAUAUGCUUUGUGAGUAGUUACGUUUGUUCCUGAGGACAUGGGUGAAGUCUUGCUAUUAGUAGUCAUGUGAAUUUGGUAUUCGUUCGAUAUUUUGAUGAGAUGUAUGUUGUCUUUCCUCUAGUGGUGUUAUGUGAACGUCGACUACAUGACACUUCACCAUUAUUUGGGCCUAGAGGAAGGCAUUUGGAAGUAAUAAGUAGAUGAUGGGUUGCUAGAGUGACAGAAGCUUAAACCCUAGUUUAUGCAUUGCUUCGUAAGGGGCUGAUUUGGAUCCAUAUGUUUAAUGUUGUGGUUAGGUUUACCUUAAUACUUCUUUUGUAGUUGCGGAUGCUUGCAAUAGGGGUUAAUCAUAAGUGGGAUGCUUGUCCAAGUAAGGGCAGUACCCAAGCACCGGUCCACCCACAUAUCAAAUUAUCAAAGUACCGAACGUGAAUCAUAUGAGCGUGAUGAAACUAGCUUGACGAUAAUUCCCAUGUGUCCUCGGGAGCGCUUUUCUCAUUAUAAGAAAUUGUCCAGGCUUGUCCUUUGCUACAAAAUGGAUUGGGCGACCUUGCUUCACUUUAUUUACUUUCAUUGCUUGUUACUCAUUACAAUUUAUCUUAUCACAAAACUAUCUAUCACCUACAAUUUCAGUGUUUGCAGAGAAAACCUUACUGAAAACUGCUUAUCAUUUCCUUCUGCUCCUCGUUGGGUUCGACACUCUUACUUAUCGAAAGGACUACGAUAGAUCCCCUACACUUGUGGGUCAUCAAGACUCUUUUGUGGCACCGUUGCCGGGGAGUGUAGCGCUUUUGGUGAGUGGAACUUGGUAAGGAAACAUUAUUAUAGUGUGAUGACAUUUUCUAUUACUUGUCACUAUGGAAACUAAUCCUUUGAGGGGCUUGUUUGGGGCAUCUUCGCCCCGACCAGUAGAGCAAAGAGUUGCUCCUCAACCUACUGAACCUACUGAAAAUGUUUACUUUGAAAUUCCUUCGGGUAUGAUAGAGAAACUGCUAGCUAAUCCUUUUGCAGGAGAUGGAACAUUGCAUCCCGAUUUACACCUUAUCUUUGUGGAUGAAGUUUGUGGAUUAUUUAAGCUUGUAGGUAUUCCCAAUGAUGUUUCCAAAAGGAAGGUCUUCCCUUUAUCUUUGAAGAGAGAUGCAUUGACAUGGUAUAGGCUAUGUGAUGAUACGGGGUCUUGGAAUUAUACACGAUUGAUGUUGGAAUUUCACCAGAAGUUCUAUCCUAUGCAUCUUGUUCAUCGUGAUCGUAAUUACAUAUAUAAUUUCUGGCCUCGCGAAGGAGAAAGCAUCGCUCAAGCUUGGGGGAGGCUUAAGUCAAUGUUAUAUUCAUGCCCCAAUCAUGAGCUCUCUAGAGAAAUGAUUAUUCAAAAAAUUUAUGCUCGGCUUUCUCUCAAUGAUCUCACCAUGCUCGAUACUUCCUGUGCUGGUUCUUAUAUGCUGAAGACUAUUGAAUUCAAAUGGGACUUAUUGGAAAGAAUUAAACGCAACUCUGAAGACUGGGGUUCCGACGAUGGUAAGGAGUCAGGUAUGACACCUAAGUUUGAUUGUGUUAAAUCUUUUAUGGAUACCGAUGCUUUUCGUGGAUUUAGCGCUAAAUAUGGACUUGACUCUGAGAUAGUAGCUUCUUUCUGUGAAUCUUUUGCUACUCACGUUGAUCUCCCUAAGGAGAAGUGGUUCAAAUAUAAUCCUCCCAUUGAAGUAAAAGUAGUUGCACCUGUUACAGUUGAAGAAAAGGCUAUUACUUAUAAUGAUCCUAUUGUUCCUACUACUUAUGUUGAGAAACCACCUUUUCCUGUUAGAAUGAAGGAUCAUGCUAAAGCUUCAACUGUUGUUCGUAAGAGUAAUACUAGGACUUAUACACCUCCUGAGCAAAUCAAAGUUGAACCUAGUAUUGCUAUGGUUAAAGAUCUCUUGGAUGAUAAUUUAGAUGGGCAUGUUAUUUACUUCUGUGGUGAAACUGCUAAUAUUGUUAAACCAGAUACUAAGAUACAUAGACCUGUGGUAGGCAUGCCUGUUAUUUCUGUUAAAAUAGGAGAUCAUUGUUAUCAUGGCCUAUGUGAUAUGGGUGCUAGUGCUAGUGCAAUACCUAUUUCCUUAUACCAAGAGAUUAUGCAUGAUAUUGCACCUGUUGAGUUAGAAGAUAUUGAUCUUACAAUUAAGCUUGCCAAUAGAGAUACUAUUAGGCCUUUUGGGAUUGUUAGAGAUGUUGAAGUCUUGUGUGGGAAGGUCAAAUACCCUGCUGAUUUUCUUGUUCUCAGUUCCCCCAAGAUGACUUUUGUCCCAUUAUAUUUGGUAGACCAUUCUUGAACACUGUUAAUGCUAAGAUUGAUUGCGAAAAGGAUGUUGUUAUGAUUGGCUUGGAGGAUAUGACUCAUGAAUUUAAUUUUGCUAAAUUUCAUAGACAACCCCGUGAUAAAUAAUUACCUAGUAAAUAUGAAAUAAUUGGUCUUGCUUCUAUUGCCGUGCCUCCUACUGAUCCGUUAGAACAAUAUUUGCUUGACCAUGAAAAUGAUAUGUUUACGAAAGAAAGAAGGGAAAUAGAUGAAGUGUUCCUUAAACAAGAACCUAUUCUGAAACAUAACCUUCCCGUUGAAAUUCUAGGGGAUCCUCCUCCACCCAAGGGUGAUCCCGUGUUUGAGCUUAAACCAUUACCUAAUAAUCUUAAAUAUGCUUAUCUUGAUAAAAAGAAGAUAUAUCCUGUUAUUAUUAGUGGUAACCUUUCAGAGCAGGAAGAGGAAAGAUUAUUGAAAACUCUGAAGAAGCACCGUGCGGCUAUUGGAUAUACUCUCGAUGAUCUCAAGGGCAUUAGCCCCACGUUAUGUCAACACAAAAUUAGUUUGGAGGAUGAUGCCAAACCAGUUAGAGAUCCUCAACAACGAUUGAAUCCCAAGAUGAAAGAAGUGGUUAGAAAGGAGAUACUAAAGCUCCUUGAGGCAGGUAUAAUUUAUCACAUUGCUGAUAGUGAUUGGGUAAGUCAUGUCCAUUGUGUUCCUAAAAAGGGAGGUAUUACUGUUGUUCCUAAUGAUAAAGAUGAAUUGAUCCCGCAAAGAAUUAUUACAGGUUAUAGGAUAGUAAUUGAUUUCCGUAAAUUAAAUAAAGCUACUAAGAAAGAUCAUUACCCUUUACAUUUUAUUGAUCAAAUGCUAGAAAGACUAUCCAAACACACACAUUUUUGCUUUCUAGAUGGUUAUUCUAGUUUGUCUCAAAUACCUGUGUUAGCGAAGGAUCAAUCAAAAACUACUUUUACUUGCCCUUUUGGUACUUUUGCUUAUAGACGUAUGCCUUUUGGUUUAUGUAAUGCACCUGCUACCUUUCAAAUAUGUAUGAUGGCUAUAUUCUCUGACUUUUGUGAAAAGAUUUGUGAGGUAUUCAUGGAUGAUUUCUCCGUUUAUGGAUCCUCCUUUGAUGAUUGCUUGAGCAACCUUGAUCGAGUUUUGCAGAGAUGUGAAGACACUAGUCUCGUAUUGAAUUGGGAAAAGUGCCACUUUAUGGUUAAUGAAGGCAUUGUCUUGGGGCACAAGAUCUCCGAGAGAGGUAUUGAAGUUGAUAAAGCUAAAGUUGAUGCUAUUGAAAAGAUGCCAUGUCCCAAGGACAUAAAAGGUAUAAGAAGUUUCCUUGGUCAUGCCGGUUUUUAUAGGAGGUUCAUUAAGGACUUCUCUAAAAUCUCUAGGCCUCUGACUAAUUUAUUGCAAAAAGAUAUUCCUUUUGUCUUUGAUGAUGAUUGUGUAGAAGCAUUUGAAAUACUUAAGAAAGCUUUGAUCACUGCACCUAUUGUUCAGCCACCUGAUUGGAAUUUACCUUUUGAAAUUAUGUGUGAUGCUAGUGAUUAUGCUGUAGGUGCUGUUCUAGGGCAAAGAGUUGAUAAGAAAUUGAAUGUUAUCCAGUAUGCUAGUAAGACUCUUGAUACUGCCCAAAGAAAUUAUGCUACUACUAAAAAAGAAUUCUUAGCAGUUGUGUUUGCAUGUGAUAAGUUUAGACCUUAUAUUGUUGAUUCCAAAGUUACUAUUCACACUGAUCAUGCUGCUAUUAAAUAUCUUAUGGAAAAGAAAGAUGCUAAGCCUAGACUCUUCAGAUGGGUUCUCUUGCUCCAAGAAUUUGAUUUGCAUAUUAUUGAUAGAAAGGGAGUUGAGAACCCCGUUGCAGACAACUUGUCUAGGUUAGAGAAUGUUCUUGAUGACCCACUGCCUAUUAAUGAUAGCUUUCCUGAUGAACAAUUAGCGGUCAUUAAUGCUUCUCGUACUGCUCCUUGGUAUGCUGAUUAUGCUGAUUACAUUGUUGCUAAAUUUAUACCACCUAGUUUCACAUACCAACAAAAGAAAAAGUUCUUUUAUGAUUUAAGACAUUACUUCUGGGAUGACCCACACCUUUAUAAAGAAGAAGUAGACGGUGUUAUUAGACGUUGUGUACCUGAGCAUGAACAGAAAUAGAUCCUACGCAAGUGUCACUCCGAAUCAUAUGGAGGACACUGUUGGAAAUAUGCCCUAGAGGCAAUAAUAAAAGGAUUAUUAUUAUAUUUCCUUGUUCAUGAUAAUUGUCUUUAUUCAUGCUAUAAUUUUAUUAUCCGGAAAUCGUAAUACACGUGUGAAUACAUCAUAGUAGAAAAGGGGGCAAUGGCCCAUGCCAGUUCAACCCAUUAGUCCUGGUUCAAUCCAGAACCGGGACCAAUGGAGCUAUUUGCCCCGGUUCGUGAGCCCAAGGGGCCGGCCGGGCCACGUGGUCCAUUGGUCCCGGUUUGUCCGGACCUUUUGGUCCCGGUUGGUGGGACGAACCGGGACCAAUGGGCCUGGCUCAUGGCCCACCACUAUUGGCCCCGGUUGGUGGCAUGAACCGGGACCAAAGGCUUCCCUUUAGUCCCGGUUCAUGCCACCAACCGGGACCAAUAGUGGUGCCUAUAUAUACCCCCUCCCGCAAGAGCAGAGCACAGUGCUCUGUUUUUUUCUGGCCGAGGGGGAGAGGGCUUGGUGGUGCUCUAGCUCACCUCCUAUGCACACAAGGUGUUCGAUGGAAUGCCCGAGCCACACUACUUAAGGUUUCUCCUCUCGAAGCUCGACCGCCAAGCUCCGUUUUCCUCAAGAUGGAUCUGGGUUUAGCGGUCCGUCACGCCCCGUCCCCAUCUUCACCACCGUCGAUCACCCGCGCCGAUCUCAUCGCCGGCACCACCGUGGUGAGCCUCUUGUUCUUAUCUUUUUUCUGAAAGGAAAAACAUUCUUACUUGUAUGUUUAGAUAGAUACUUGUAUUAUUUUCUUACUUUUAUUAUUGCAUCUUAUAUAGUGCGAUGGUUUUGGUAUCCGCCCCCGUCGGCCCUCGUCCUGUCUAUGAUUCGGAUGUGGUAUAUAUUAUCUUUUCAUAACUAUUGGUUCAUUUAUUGUUUAUGAAAAUUAUGCCGACCAACGUGACAUAGAUUUUAUUUAUCUAGGAGGUUGUUGAACCGGAAAUUCCAACCGACCCUAUUGUCGAGAGGUUAAAUUUAGUUGAAGAAGAAAACAAUUUCUUGAAGGAAAAAAUAAAAAAACUUGAGGAGAAGAUGAUAUUGGAGUUGCAUGUUGCGGAUGUCGUCGAUGAUCACAAGAUCAAGAUGGAUGCAAUGCGCUUGAAGAUGAGAAAGAUUAGAAAAUAUGCCAUUCAUACCGAGUCUUGCUAUCAUUAUGUCGUUGGAUCAGUUGUUACCUUGGUUGCGAUUAUGAUCGCAUUUGUUUUCGCAUUGAAAUGUUUUACAUAGUUUCAAUGUAUGGUUUAAUUAAUUUAGAUGCUCUGCAGAGCUUUAUGUUGUUAGAUGAGAACUAUGUAUGUACUUUGGUUUUUAUGUGAUGAUGAACUUCUAUUAAUUUGGUCACUUAUAAUUAUCUAUUCAUGAUGUUCUGUAAUGAUUUUUGACACACUUAAUUAUAUAUAAUGCACGCAGAUGAACCGGCAAUGGAUGUACGGUGACAGACACACCUCCGAGUACAUUAAGGGCGUGCAUGAUUUUCUCAAAGUGGCUGAGGCAAACAAGCAGAAUGGUUUUAUGUGUUGUCCAUGCCCUAUAUGUGGGAAUACGAAGUCUUACUCUGACCGGAAAAUCCUUCACACCCACCUGCUUUACAAGGGUUUCAUGCCACACUAUAAUGUUUGGACGAGGCACGGAGAAAUAGGGGUUAUGAUGGAAGACGGCGAGGAAGAAGAGUACGAUGACAACUAUGUGCCCCCUGAAUACGGUGAUGCUACUGAACAUCAAGAUGCACCAGACGAUGUGCACGAUGGUGCUGCAACGGGCGAAGCUGCUGAAGAUCAAGAGGAACCAGAGGAUGUGCCCGAUGAUGAUGAUCUCCGCCGGGUCAUUGUCGAUGCAAGGACACAAUGCGAAAGUCAAAAGGAGAAGCUGAAGUUCCAUCGCAUGUUAGAGGAUCACAAAAAGGGGUUGUACCCCAAUUGCGAAGAUGGCAACACAAAGCUCGGUACCGUACUCGAAUUGCUGCAGUAGAAGGCAGAGAAUGCUGUGCCUGAUAAAGGAUUUGAGAAGCUACUGAAAAUAAUGAAGAAGAAGCUUCCAAAGGAUAACGAAUUGCCCGACAGUACAUACGCAGCAAAGAAGGUCGUAUGCCCUCUAGGAUUGGAGGUGGAGAAGAUACAUGCAUGCCCUAAUGACUGCAUCCUCUACCGCGGUGCCUACAAGGAUCUGAACGCAUGCCCGGUAUGCGGUGCAUUGCGGUAUAAGAUCAGACGAGAUGACCCUGGUGAUGUUGACGGCGAGCCUCCCAGGAAGAGGGUUCCUGCGAAGGUGAUGUGGUAUGCUCCUAUAAUACCACGGUUGAAACGUCUGUUCAGAAACGGAGAGCAUGACAAGUUGAUGCGAUGGCACAAUGAGGACCGUAAGAAAGACGGGAAGUUGAGAGCACCCGCUGACGGGUCGCAGUGGAGAAAAAUUGAGAGAAAAUACUGGGAUGAGUUUGCAAAGGACCCAAGGAACGUAUGGUUUGAUUUAAGCGCGGAUGGCAUUAAUCCUUUCGGGGAGCAGAGCAGCAAUCACAGCACCUGGCCCGUGACUAUGUAUGUAUAACCUUCCUCCUUGGAUGUGCAUGAAGCGGAAGUUCAUUAUGAUGCCAGUUCUCAUCCAAGGCCCUAAGCAACCCGGCAACGACAUUGAUGUGUACCUAAGGCCAUUAGUUGAAGAACUUUUACAGCUGUGGAAUGGAAACGGUGUACGUACGUGGGAUGAGCACAAAAAGUAGGAAUUUGACCUAAAGGCAUUGCUGUUCGUGACCAUCAACGAUUGGCCCGCUCUCAGUCACCUUUCAGGACAGACAAACAAGGGAUACCACGCAUGCACACACUGUUUACUUGACACCGAUAGUAUAUACCUGGGAAGCUGCAGGAAGAAUGUGUACCUGGGCCAUCGUCGAUUUCGUCCGACCAACCAUUAAUGUCGAAAGAAAGGCAAGCAUUUCAAAGGCGAGGCAGAUCACCGGAAGAAGCCCGCCAUGCGUACCGGUGAUCACGUACUUGCUAUGGUCAAUGAUUUACACGUAAUCUUUGGAAAGGGUCCCGGCGGACUAGCUGUUCUGAAUGACGCUGAGAAUCACGCACCCAUGUGGAAGAAGAAAUCUAUAUUUUGGGACCUACCCUACUGGAAAGACCUAGAGGUCCGCUCUUCGAUCGACGUGAUGCACGUGACGAAGAACCUUUGCGUGAACCUGCUAGGCUUCUUGGGCAUGUAUGGGAAGACAAAAGAUACACCUGAGGCACGAGAGGACCUGCAACGCUUGCACGAAAAAGAGGGCAUGCCUCCGAAGCAGUAUGAAGGUCCUGCCAGCUACGCUCUUACGAAAGAAGAUAAAGAAAUAUUCUUUCAAUGCCUGCUGAGUAUGAAGGUCCCGACUGGCUUCUCGUCGAAUAUAAAGGGAAUAAUAAAUAUGCCAGAGAAAAGUUCAGAACCUAAAGUCUCAUGACUGCCACGUGAUUAUGACGCAACUGCUUCCGGUUGCAUUGAGGGGGCUUCUACCGGAAAACGUCCGAUUAGCCAUUGUGAAUCUAUGUGCAUUCCUCAAUGCAAUAUCUCAGAAGGUGAUCGAUCCAGAAAUCGUACCAACGCUAAGGAGUGAUGUGGCGCAAUGUCUUGUCAGUUUCGAGCUGGUGUUCCCACCAUCCUUCUUCAAUAUCAUGACGCACGUCCUAGUUCAUCUAGUCGACGAGAUUGUCAUUCUGGGGCCCAUAUUUCUACACAAUAUAUACCCCUUUGAGAGGUUCAUGGGAGUCCUAAAGAAAUAUGUUCGGAACCGCGCUAGGCCAGAAGGAAGCAUCUCCAUGGGCCAUCAAACAGAGGAUGUCAUCGGGUUUUGUGUUCACUUCAUUCCUGGCCUUAAGAAGAUAGGUCUCCCUAAAUCGCGGUAUGACGUGGAGACUGACUGGAAAAGGCACGCUUGGAAGGGACUCAAUAAUAUGCAGGGACAGAUAUUCUUGGUCUCAAGCACACUACACAGUUCUACAGAACUCUACCUUGGUGACCCCGUAUGUCGAUGAACACAAGAACAGUCUGCGCUCCAAACACCCGGAGCAGUGCGACGACUGGAUUACAUGUGAACACAUCAGGACUUUCAGCAGUUGGUUGGAAACAUGUCUCAGAGGUGACAGCACUGUUUGUGAUGAGCUGUACUUGUUGUCCAGGGGACCAUCUUUGACUAUAAUGAUUUGGAAAGGAUAUGAGAUAAAUGGGAAUACAUUUUACACGAUUGACCAAGAUGAAAAGAGCACCAACCAAAACAGCGGUGUCCGCUUUGAUGCAGCAACCGACAAGGGAAAUGACACAUAUUAUGGUUACAUAGUAGACAUAUGGGAACUUGACUACGGAGUAGAUUUUAAGGUCCCUUUGUUUAAGUGCAAGUGGGUCAAUCUGUCAGAAGGCGGGGUACAGGUAGACCCACAGUACGGAAUGACAACAGUGGAUCUGAAAAAUCUUGGGUACACUGACGAACCGUUCGUCCUAGCCAAUGAUGUGGCACAGGUUAUCUAUGUGAAGGACAUGUCUACCAGACCGAGGAAAAGAAAAGAUAAGGAAGCGAAUACAUCAUACAAUGAGCCAAAGCGCCACAUAGUUCUUUCAGGAAAAAGGGACAUCCUGGGAGUGGAGGGCAAGACAGACAUGUCUGAAGAGUAUGAAAAGUUUCAUGAAAUUCCCCCCUUCAAAGUCAAGGCUGACCCAAGCAUCCUGAUAAACGAUGAAGAUUAUCCAUGGUUACGGCGCAAUAAGCAAAAGACAGAAGCGAAGAAAAAGUGAAGACUUUCUCCCGCAACUAUUAUGAUGAUACCAUGCCAACUUUGUAACAGACGAGUAUGAUACCAUUGUCCGUUUUGUACAUGCACAUGCUAUGCCAACUUUUUCAGAGUUCAUUUGAAAACUAUGAAUUUGAAAACCUCGCCAACCGAAGGGCGCUCACACCGGUUUAUAAGCCCGUCCCUCUACACGCCUUGUUGAGCUCACAAACUUGUGAUUCACACAAAUUCCAAAGAAAACUAAUGGCACAAACAGAAAGUUUAUAAUUUUGCUGACCUAAAAGCAAAAAGAAUUAAAAAAUAAAGCAAAAAACCAAAAGAAAAUAAAUAAUGCAGAAAACAAAACAAAAAACUUGAAAAAAAUAAAAAUAGCAACAAUAAGUAUUUUGUUGUAAGUAGAAACAAAAUAAAAUAAAUAAAUAAAGCAAAAAAGUGUUUUCAAAUUUGAAAACUAAUGGCACUAACAGAAANNNNNNNNNNNNNNNNNNNNNNNNNNNNNNNNNNNNNNNNNNNNNNNNNNNNNNNNNNNNNNNNNNNNNNNNNNNNNNNNNNNNNNNNNNNNNNNNNNNNNNNNNNNNNNNAAAGCAAAAAACAACAAAAAAUAAAUAAUGCAGAAAACAGAACAAAAAAACUGAAAAAUAAUAAAAAUAGCAACAAUAAGUAUUUUGUUGUAAGUACAAACAAAAUAAAAUAUAUAAAGCAACAAAGAAAACAAAAAAAGUGUUUUCAAAUUUGAAAACUAAUGGCACUAACAGAAAGUUUAUAAUUUUUCUAAAACUAAAAGCAAAAAGAAUUAAAAAAUAAAGCAAAAAACAACAAAAAAUAAAUAAUGCAGAAANNNNNNNNNNNNNNNNNNNNNNNNNNNNNNNNNNNNNNNNNNNNNNNNNNAACAAAAUAAAAUAUAUAAAGCAACAAAGAAAACAAAAAAAGUGUUUUCAAAUUUGAAAACUAAUGGCACUAACAGAAAGUUUAUAAUUUUUCUAAAACUAAAAGCAAAAAGAACUAAAAAAUAAAGCAAAAAACAACAAAAAAUAAAUAAUGCAGAAAGCAAAACCAAAAAACUGGAAAAAAAUAAAAAUAGCAACAAUAAGUAUUUUGUUGUAAGUAGAAACAAAAUAAAAUAAAUAAAGCAACAAAGAAAACAAAAAAACAAAAAAAAGUGCCACCUACUGGGCCCCCACGACCUGAAUACGAGUAGAAACCCUACCAUGGGCCAGGAUUCAGGCCCGCGGGAGGCUCAGUAGGCCCACAGGCAGAGAUUGCACGGUUAGGCCCGAAAGCCUGCAGUUGAGAGGAGCUCGGGUGGGUGGGCGCAGUAGAGUUAUAAACCACACUCGAGCUCUCUCAACUAGCAAGGUGGGACUAAACUUUUCGGCGCGGGGCAGCACAAGGCCUUUGGUCCCGGUUGGUGGCACCAACCGGGACUAAAGGGGGCAUUGGUCCCUGUUCGUGGCACCAACCGGGACUAAUGCCCCCCUUUAGUCCCGGUUAGUGCCNNNNNNNNNNNNNNNNNNNNNNNNNNNNNNNNNNNNNNNNNNNNNNNNNNNNNNNNNNNNNNNNNNNNNNNNNNNNNNNNNNNNNNNNNNNNNNNNNNNNNNNNNNNNNNNNNNNNNNNNNNNNNNNNNNNNNNNNNNNNNNNNNNNNNNNNNNNNNNNNNNNNNNNNNNNNNNNNNNNNNNNNNNNNNNNNNNNNNNNNNNNNNNNNNNNNNNNNNNNNNNNNNNNNNNNNNNNNNNNNNNNNNNNNNNNNNNNNNNNNNNNNNNNNNNNNNNNNNNNNNNNNNNNNNNNNNNNNNNNNNNNNNNNNNNNNNNNNNNNNNNNNNNNNNNNNNNNNNNNNNNNNNNNNNNNNNNNNNNNNNNNNNNNNNNNNNNNNNNNNNNNNNNNNNNNNNNNNNNNNNNNNNNNNNNNNNNNNNNNNNNNNNNNNNNNNNNNNNNNNNNNNNNNNNNNNNNNNNNNNNNNNNNNNNNNNNNNNNNNNNNNNNNNNNNNNNNNNNNNNNNNNNNNNNNNNNNNNNNNNNNNNNNNNNNNNNNNNNNNNNNNNNNNNNNNNNNNNNNNNNNNNNNNNNNNNNNNNNNNNNNNNNNNNNNNNNNNNNNNNNNNNNNNNNNNNNNNNNNNNNNNNNNNNNNNNNNNNNNNNNNNNNNNNNNNNNNNNNNNNNNNNNNNNNNNNNNNNNNNNNNNNNNNNNNNNNNNNNNNNNNNNNNNNNNNNNNNNNNNNNNNNNNNNNNNNNNNNNNNNNNNNNNNNNNNNNNNNNNNNNNNNNNNNNNNNNNNNNNNNNNNNNNNNNNNNNNNNNNNNNNNNNNNNNNNNNNNNNNNNNNNNNNNNNNNNNNNNNNNNNNNNNNNNNNNNNNNNNUCUUCCUCUUUUCUUCCUUUUCCUUAUUUUCCUUUCUCGAGGGAUAAGAAGAAAAAGAAGAGGAGAAGAAGAAAGAAAGGAAUAGAGGAGAAAGAAGAAACUUCGACACGAGGGGGGGUACCGAUACCCCCUCCCCGAUAACAUUAUUUUCCCAUGUAUAUGUAUGUCGCGUCGUUGUCGAUAUAAUGAGGGUGUCGAGGGUCGGGAACUAGGGUAGAGGGUCGAGGGUCGUUAAGGGGUCAAGGGUCGAGGGUUUCAGGGUCGAGGGUUCGAGGGAUCGAGGGUCGAGGGUUCCAGGGUCGUCUAGGGGUCGAGGGUUCCAGGGUCGUCGAGGGUUCGAGGGGUCGAGAGAGGUUUCGUAGUGGCAAAGUAUUGAAGAAAUCCAUGGCUUCAUCAUUAGCCGGAAGUAACCAGGGCAUGAUGGUACGAAGUCCUCCAAAGUUAUUCUGGAAUGGAGUCCCGAAUAGGAUAAUUUGCCUUUUUGUACGAAUCUCAGCAAAGGUCUUCCAAAUAACGAUAUUCGGAAGGUUCUUGCUGAACUUUGUACCAAAAAGCGAAUUAUCCUAUCUUUGACUCCGUUCCAAAAUAACUUUGAAGAGCUUCGUACCAUCAUGCACCUGUUACUUUCGCCUAAUAAUGAAGACAUGGUUUUGUUGAAUCCUUUGACACUAGGCAACCUCCCGACCCCUCGGCGAUCCUCGACCCCUUGACCCUCGACCGCUCAGCAAUCCACGACCCUCUACCCUACCGCGGGCGUCGAUGCCCACGUCACUUGUGGGACAUAGAUGUAGUGUUCAACGCCGACCCCCUCCCGAUAGCUUCAACACGUGGGGGGGUCGAUAUUACCCCCUCCUUGAAGCGUUCUCGAGGCCACCCCCUAACCCUUGAAGCGUUGUCGAGGCCACCCCAAACCCUAGAGAAGCAGCGUCGAGGCCACUAAUAUGAUUCCUUAUUGUGAUUAGCUAGCUAGUCCUACGUUUGCCACUAAUAUAUCCAUAUUUGUCAUGUUUGAAUAAUAAUUGCCAUGUUGUAAAUAUUUGUAGAAACUAUGGACACCCCCCGAGACGAAGCACAAGAAGCAUUGUUGAGGGACAUAAUCGCACAAGGAAGUGAUGCCGUCUGCUCGUUGAUGUUUCUCAACGACAACGAUGGUCUGGAAGGAGAGGGUGAAGAAGCAGCUGGCUAUGAUUUACAUGGCUCCGAUGACCCAAUGCCGGUGCAAGAAGGAGAGGGUGAAGAAGUAGACCGUGAGGACGGCUCCGGUGAUCACCAAACCGAGUCCGGCCAGGUAUAUAUAUUAGUUAAGCCUGUGCUGACUAGCUAAUUGAUGCAUUCAUUGUUUUGGUAUGUACACAUAUUAAUUAACUCUCGUCUUUGUUCUUUUUUCUAGCCCUCCGGAUCGAGCACAACUUCGGUAAAGAGACGAGGCCCGAAGAAAAAGUUGAGCUCGGAUGAAAAGUUUGAGAUCAUACAAAUCGCGCGUGACGGCCAACCGAUUGAACCCUACCGGACAAAGAAGGCAUUUGUUGCUCAGUGCGGGGUUCUGGUUAGGGAUAAGAUCCCGAUCAGCAUCUACCAAUGGUAUAAGCCUAAGAACGAAGACCCUGAGGUGUCUUAUGUCAAUGAUAUGCAGAAAAAUGAUCUUUGGACUGAGCUGAAGUCAAAUUUCACCCUACCGCCGGAGGAUGACCCGGAGAAGCCAGUUAUAGAGCCAUUAAUCAAGUCUUUUGCUCUGAAUAAGAUGGCAGACCUAUUCAGGAAUUGGAAGAAAGACCUCAAUAGGUAUGUCGAAAAAAAUGAGACACCAGAAUUCAAGGGCAAAUAUGAGAAGAUCAGAGAUGACUGGCCCGCAUUUGUGGCCCACAAGACAUCGGAAAAGAGUAAAAAGAUGUCGCCGACAAACAAGAGAAAUGCUGCGAAGAAGAAGCUUCACCAUCGCACGGGGUCAGGUGGCUACCUCGUAGCCCGGCCUAAGUGGGCCAAGGCUGAGAAUGAUCUGCUUGAUAAAGGGAUCGAACCAGAGACAAUGAACUGGCCAGACCGUUGCCAGACUUGGUUCUUUGGGGCCGGCGGAUCCUUGGACCCUAUAACAGGGAAGUGCAUUUGGACGGACAAACAAUUGAACAUACCAGUCAAGAGGCUUCAGCAAUAUAUCGAAGCAGCGCAGCAAGGGACGUUCGUUCCAGACAGGGAGAAGGACGAGCUCACAAUGGCCCUCGGCAAUCCUGAGCACCCUGGACGGACACGAGGCACGCCAGGCUCCGUUUCAUGGAAGGCUGGAUUUCCGGACGCAGGGGGUUACAAAACCAGGAGAGGAGGAAGAAACUGGAGCAAAGCCAACUGCAGGCGCUGCACGAAAGGGUAAUGGGGCUAGAGGAACGAGAAGCAGAUCGCAGCAAACGACUUGCCGAAGCUUCCCCCGAAGCUACCCCGCCAUCUCAGCGGAGAAGCAGCGUGGCUUCCACCGAGCUGCUUCAGCCAGAGCAUGCCUUGACGGCUCCUGCCAGCUAUCCCGUGGAUGCUAUCACGGAUGCUGAAAAUUGCCACCUUAUGGCGCAAUGGAGCAAUUUGAAGGUCAAGGCGGCUGUUGGCUCUGUUUAUCCUACUAAACCCGACUCAACUUUUCACUGCCGGCCGAUUCAAGAAGGAUAUGCUAAGGUGAUGGUCGAUGAAAUAAUGGAGGGAUUUGAGGACCUUCGGCUUGACCACCCUACCGAACUGGACGCCUCCGCCUCCUCCGCCUCCUCCGGCGAGUCAGUGCACUCCGCCUCCUCCAUCGCCUCCUCCUUCGGCGAGUGACGAUCAGGGCACUCGGCCGGCUCCUUCUCCGUCGCGUGGUGGCACUCCGCCUCCUUCUCCGCCUGCGCCGGCGCGCCCGAGCAGCCAGCCUCCUCCUUCUCCGCCUCGUCAGCAAGGGCGGAAGAGACCCGCCGCCGCUCCGGCUGCUCCGGCGCGUCGUAGUCCUUCUCCUCCGCCUCGUAAGCAAGGAAAGAAGACAUCCGCUCCGUCUGCUCGGCAGGCGUCUAGCAGUACAGCCAAAGGCGGGAGGAGAUACAGAUUCGGUCCUUCUCUGAAGACUCCAGAGAAGUUACCGUACGAGAGGAGCGAGGAGGAAAACGCGAAGAUCACGCAGACCGAAGUGGAUGACUGGUUUCAAGGGUUGAAAGCAAAGAGACAUCCACCUCCGGAGGAGAAGGUAGAUCCGGUGAAAGCGAAGCGCACUCUGGCUGCCCUAACAAAACCACCCAAGUCUCCGCCGAAAGGCAACUAUGAGCGCAUUAUUGGAAAGGCAUUUGUCGAAGCGGAGAGGUCGGGAAGUACUAAAAGUGAUCAAAGGAUGAAAGAACGACGAGCUGGGAAACAAAUUGCCCAGCUCAGCGAACAAGCGAAGCAAUCAUGCCCCCCGCUCAAGGUGCAUGCUAGCGACAUCGUCGAUCCGAGGAUGGUGCCCGGUUACGGCAAUCCUGCAGAUUACCUGCCCGACGAUGUACAUUAUGAUUUCUUGGAGGUGCAGAUACAAAGAUACGAGUACGGGAAGCCUCUCGUCAAAUAUGAAAGUUCUCUAUCAAUGAUGAUGCGAAGGUUGCAUGACUGGUACAUGAAAACCUGCAAAGAGUCUGAGGGGAGGAGUACUUUGUAUGUGAGAGUUAAAAAGGAGCAUGACCUCCUUGGAAUUGAACUGUUGCCUAUUCCAUUUGAGGAGUUCUAUCAGUUUUUCAAUCAAUUGGCCAUCGAUAAAGCAACGGUCACCUGCUACUGUCUGUAAGUAGUACUACUUCUGUCAUUAAGUCUCUCUAUAUAACUCAGCCCUUUCAUUGCAUGUAUUUAUAAUUAUCCUCACUAUAUUAUGCAGAUUGAAGAUCGCCGAAUUGAAGAAAAGACAAGUGGGAGAUAUUGGGUUCAUUAACACAUAUCUCAUAGAUGCAACUGAGGUUCAAUAUCGUGCCCAAGAAAACGAGGACAACUUGCUAUGAUCGUCGGAAAUAAAUGAACACAAAGAUAUAAUACUCUUUCCUUACAACUUCAAGUGAGUGUUACUGUCUUGUGGCAUAUUCGGUUUCCUUAUUAGUCCAGGUUAUAAUAAUGUAAUAUUGAUGAGUUAUGCAUGUGUGCGCAGCUACCACUAUAUUCUCCUAGAGAUUAAGCUUGAGAAGGGAGUAGUAACUGUCUUAGACUCCAAGCGAAAAGAUCCCAAGGAGUAUGCGGACAUGACUGAAAUGCUCGAGAAGUAAGUUAAAUCGAUCAUUAUCCACCAUAUCAGCAACUUUGUUCAUUUCUAAUAUCAAGUAAUUGUUUUCUUUGUAUGGCAGGGCUUGGAGAAAAUUCACCAAAAAAGCUCCGGGACUACCGAAGAAGCUGCAAUUUAGGCACCCGAAAGUAAGUACUAUAUAGUAGCAUAUUCCAUGCAUCUCCUAGUGAUUCAAGCGCUAGUUUCAUCAAUACCAUUUAGCUUGCUUGCUAAUUAUCAGUUUGAUUGACCUCUAUUUCUUGUAAAGUGGUUGUGGCAGGAACAAGGGAAUGAUUUCUGUGGAUACUACAUUUGCGAGUCCAUCCGCCACACGACCUGUGAGCGGGGCUACUCCGACAAACAAUAUGAAGUGCGUAAAUAACAAUAUUCACAAUUUUAUUUUAUUACCAUCAUUUGUGUUGAGUUUCAUUCAUUCAUAUAUAUAUAUAUAUAUAUAUAUAUAUAUAUGUAUUGACCCCCUUCUUAAAAUUAGAUGUUUCGGAUGCGGGAUGAACUCCUAGCACCAGAUCGCAUGCGAGCAAUUCAAGAGGAAUUGGCGGCAUUAUUUCUUGACCACGUGAUAGCUGAAGACGGAGAAUACUAUGUGGACCACGCGUCCGUAUGUUAGGAGAUUAUAUAUUUGUAAAAGAUAAUUAUUGUAUAUAUGUAGCCAGUAGUGUCGGAUAGAUAUACGAGAACUUGUUGUUCGACCAAUCUCUCGGAGAAGGAGAGGUGGUUGAUAUCACUUCUCUCUGUAUGCAUAUAUGUUCAUGACGAUCUUCUGUUUGCUUACAAGCUAGCUAGCGUGUCUAGCUAGUCCUCUCUAUACGUAUGUAUGGUACGUAGCGUCGACCAAGCACGGACAAAAGAGAGGACACUUCUCUCUAUUAAUUAGCUAGCUAUAGCACAAUAUAUGAAACACCUAAAUUNNNNNNNNNNNNNNNNNNNNNNNNNNNNNNNNNNNNNNNNNNNNNNNNNNNNNNNNNNNNNNNNNNNNNNNNNNNNNNNNNNNNNNNNNNNNNNNNNNNNNNNNNNNNNNNNNNNNNNNNNNNNNNNNNNNNNNNNNNNNNNNNNNNNNNNNNNNNNNNNNNNNNNNNNNNNNNNNNNNNNNNNNNNNNNNNNNNNNNNNNNNNNNNNNNNNNNNNNNNNNNNNNNNNNNNNNNNNNNNNNNNNNNNNNNNNNNNNNNNNNNNNNNNNNNNNNNNNNNNNNNNNNNNNNNNNNNNNNNNNNNNNNNNNNNNNNNNNNNNNNNNNNNNNNNNNNNNNNNNNNNNNNNNNNNNNNNNNNNNNNNNNNNNNNNNNNNNNNNNNNNNNNNNNNNNNNNNNNNNNNNNNNNNNNNNNNNNNNNNNNNNNNNNNNNNNNNNNNNNNNNNNNNCGCGUGGAUGCCUAUUGGUCCCGGUUGGUGCCACCAACCGGGACCAAAGGCCCUCCUGCCUGGGCUCAGCGGGCAGGCCACGUGGAGGCCCAUCUGUCCCGGUUCUGGAUUGAACCGGGACUAAAGGGUCAGGGCAUUAGUACCGACCCUUUAGUCCCGGUUCAUGAACCGGGACUAAAGGCCCUCACCAACCAGGACUAUAGGCCCUUUUUCUACUAGUGCAUAGACCACAACAUGUCCCUAGUAAGCCUCUAGUUGACUAGCUCGUUGAUUAACAGAUAGUCAUGGUUUCCUGAUAUGGACAUUGGAUGUCAUUGAUAACGAGAUCACAUCAUUAGGAGAAUGAUGUGAUGGACAAGACCCAAUCCUAAGCAUAGCACAAGAUAGUGUAGUUCGUUUGCUAGAGCUUUUCCAAUGUCAAGUAUCUUUUCCUUAGACCAUGAGAUCGUGUAACUCCCGGAUACCGUAGGAGUGCUUUGGGUGUACCAAACGUCACAACGUAACUGGGUGACUAUAAAGGUAUAUACGGGUAUCUCUGAAAGUGUUUGUUGGGUUAACACGGAUCGAGACUGGGAUUUGUCACUCCGUAUGACGGAGAGGUAUCUCUGGGCCCACUCGGUAAUGCAUCAUCAUAAUGAGCUCAAAGUGACCAAGUGUUUGGUCACGGGAUCAUGCAUUACGGUACGAGUAAAGUCACUUGCCGGUAACGAGAUUGAACGAGGUAUUGGGAUACCGACGAUCGAAUCUCGGGCAAGUAACGUACCGAUUGACAAAGGGAAUUGUAUACGGGGUUGCUUGAAUCCUCGACAUCGUGGUUCAUCCGAUGAGAUCAUUGAGGAGCAUGUGGGAGCCAACAUGGGUAUCCAGAUCCCGUUGUUGGUUAUUGACCGGAGAGUCGUCUCGGUCAUGUCUACGUGUCGCCCGAACCCGUAGGGUCUACACACUUAAGGUUCGGUGACGCUAGGGUUGUAGAGAUAUGAGUGUGCAGCAAACCGAAAGUUGUUCGGAGUCCCGGAUGAGAUCCCGGACGUCAUGAGGAGUUCCAGAAUGGUUCGGAGGUAAAGAAUUAUAUAUGGGAAGUCGAGUUUCGGCCAUCAGGAAAGUUUCGGGGGUCACCGGUAUUGUAACGGGACCACCGGAAGGGUCCCGGGGGUCCACCGGGUGGGGCCACCUAUCCCGGAGGGCCCCAUGGGCUGAAAUGGGAGGGGAACCAGCCCCUGGUGGGCUGGUGCGCCCCCCCUUGGCCCCCCUGCGCCUAGGGAUGGGAACCGUAGGGGAGGGGGCGCCUCCACUUGCCUUGGGGGGCAAGGCACCCCCCUUGGCCGCCGCCCCCCCUAGGAGAUCCCAUCUCCGAGGGCCGGCGCCCCCCUGGGGACCCUAUACAUAGAGGGGGAGGGAGGGCAGCCGCACCCUUGCACUUGGCGCCUCCCUUCCCCCUUGCUACACCUCUCCUCCUCCGUAGAGCUCGGCGAAGCCCUGCUGAGAUUCCUGCUGCAUCCACCACCACGCCGUCGUGCUGCUGGAUAUCCAUCAACCUCUCCUUCCCCCCUUGCUGGAUCAAGAAGGAGGAGACGUCUUCCCCAACCGUACGUGUGUUGAACGCGGAGGUGCCGUCCGUUCAGCUCUCGGUCAUCGGUGAUUUGGAUCACGACGAGUACGACUCCCUCAACCCCGUUCUCUUGAACGCUUCCGCUCACGAUCUACAAAGGUAUGUAGAUGCACUCCUAUCACUCGUUGCUAGAUGAACUCAUAGAUAGAUCUUGGUGAAACCGUAGAAGAAUUUUUAUUUUCCCCAACGUUCUCUAUGCAUGAGUAGAACACAAUUUGUUGUGGGCGUAGAUGUUGUCAACUUUCUUGCCGCUACUAGUCUUAUUUUGCUUCAGCGGUAUUGUGGGAUGAAGCGGCCCGGACCGACCUUACACGUAUGCUUACAUGAGACAGGUUCCACCGACUGACAUGCACUAGUUGCAUAAGGUUGCUAGCGGGUGUCUGUCUCUCCCACUUUAGUUGGAGCGGAUACGAUGAAAAGGGUCCUUAUGAAGGGUAAAUAGAAGUUGACAAAUCACGUUGUGUCUUUUUCGUAGGUAAGAAAACGUUCUUGCUAGAACCCUAUUGCAGCCACGUAAAAGAUGCAACAACAAUUAGAGGACGUCUAACUUGUUUUUGCAGCAAUUGCCUUGUGAUGUGAUAUGGCCAAAAGUUGUGAUGAAUGAUGAAUGAUAUAUUGUGAUGUAUGAGAUCAUGUUCUUGUAAUAGGAAUCACGACUUGCAUGUCGAUGAGUAUGACAACCGGCAGGAGCCAUAGGAGUUGUCUUAAUUAUUGUAUGACCUGCGUGUCAAUGAUUUAACGCCAUGUAAUUACUUUACUUUAUUGCUAAACCGUUAGCUAUAGUAGUAGAAGUAAUAGUUGGUGAGCAACUUCAUGGAGACACGAUGAUGGAGAUCAUGGUGUCAUGCCGGUGACAAGAUGAUCAUGGAGCCCCAAGAUGGAGAUCAAAGGAGCUAUAUGAUAUUGGCCAUAUCAUGUCACUAUUAUUUGAUUGCAUGUGAUGUUUAUCAUGUUUUUCCAUCUUGUUUACUUAGAACGACGGUAGUAAAUAAGAUGAUCCCUCAUAAUAAUUUGAAGAAAGUGUUCCCCCUAACUGUGCGCCGUUGCGACAAUUCAUUGUUUCGAAGCACCACGUGAUUAUCGGGUGUGAUAGAUUCUAACGAUCACAUACAACGGGUGUAAGACAGAUUUACACAUGCAAAACACUUAGGUUAACUUGAUGAGCCUAGCAUGUACAGACAUGGCCUCGGAACACAAGAGAUCGAAAGGUCGAACAUGAGUCGUAUGAAAGAUACGAUCAAGAUGGAGAUGUUCACCGAUGAUGACUAGUCCGUAUCACGUGAUGAUCGGACACGGCCUAGUCGACUCUGAUCAUGUAACACUUAGAUGACUAGAGGGAUGUCUAAUCUGAGUGGGAGUUCAUUAAUUAAUUUGACGAGAUGAACUUAAUUAUCAUGAACUUGGUCUAAAGUCUUUGCAAAAUGUCUUGUAGAUCAUGUCAACAUGAACUUCAACGCGUUCCUAGAGAAAACCAAGCUGAAAGAUGAUGGCAGCAACUAUACGGACUGGGUCCGGAACAUGAGGAUCGUCCUCAUAGCUGCCAAGAAAGCAUAUGUCCUAGAAGGACCGCUAGGUGAAGCACCCAUCCCAGAGAACCAAGACGUUAUGAAUGCUUGGCAGUCACGUACUGAUGAUUACUCCCUCGUUCAGUGCGGCAUGCUUUACAGCUAGAACCAGGGCUCCAAAAGCGUUUUGAGCGACACGGAGCAUAUGAGAUGUUCGAGGAGCUGAAAAUGGUUUUCCAAGCUCACGCUCGGGUCGAGAGAUAUGAAGUCUCUGACAAGUUCUAUAGUUGUAAGAUGGAGGAAAAUAGUUCUGUCAGUGAGCACAUACUCAAAAUGUCUGGGUUGCACAACCGCCUGUCCCAGCUGGACAUUAACCUCCCGGACGAGGCGGUCAUUGACAGAAUCCUUCAGUCGCUCCCACCGAGCUACAAGAGCUUUGUGAUGAACUACAAUAUGCAGGGGAUGGUGAAAACUAUUCCUGAAGUAUUUUCAAUGCUGAAAUCAGCAGAGGUAGAAAUCAAGAAGGAACAUCAAGUGUUGAUGGUCAAUAAAACCACUAAGUUCAAGAAGGGCAAGGGUAAGAAAAACUUCAAGAAGGACGGCAAGGAUGUUGCCGCGCCCAGUAAGCCUGUUGCCGGGAAGAAGUAAAAGAAUGGACCCAAGCCUGAGACUGAGUGCUUUUAUUGCAAAGGGAAGGGUCACUCGAAGCGGAACUGCCCCAAAUACUUAGCGGACAAGAAGGCCGGCAACACUAAAGGUAUAUGUGAUAUACAUGUAAUUGAUGUGUACCUUACCAGUGCUCGUAGUAGCUCCUGGGUAUUUGAUACCGGUGCCGUUUCUCAUAUUUGUAACUCAAAGCAGGAGCUGCGGAAUAAGCGGAGACUGGCGAAGGGCGAGGUGACGAUGCGCGUCGGGAAUGGUUCCAAGGUCGAUGUGAUCACCGUUGGCACGCUACCUCUACAUUUACCUACGGGAUUAGUUUUAAACCUCAAUAAUUGUUAUUUAGUGCCAAGUUUGAGCAUGAACAUUGUAUCAGGAUCUCGUUUAAUACGAGAUGGCUACUCAUUUAAAUCCGAGAAUAAUGGUUGUUCUAUUUAUAUGAGAGAUAUGUUUUAUGGUCAUGCUCCGAUGGUCAAUGGUUUAUUCUUAAUGAAUCUCGAACGUGAUGUUACACAUAUUCAUAGUGUGAAUACCAAAAGAUAUAAAGUUGAUAACGAUAGUCCCACAUACUUGUGGCACUGCCGCCUUGGUCACAUUGGUGUCAAGCGCAUGAAGAAGCUCCAUGCUGAUGGACUUUUAGAGUCUCUCGAUUAUGAAUCAGUUGACACAUGCGAACCAUACCUUAUGGGCAAAAUGGCCAAGACUCCGUCCUCCGGAACAAUGGAGCGAGCAACAAACUUAUUGGAAAUCAUACAUGCUGAUGUGUGCGGUCCAAUGAGCGUUGAGGCUCGCGGAGGAUAUCGUUAUGUUCUCACUCUUACUGAUGACUUAAGUAGAUAUGGGUAUGUCUACUUGAUGAAACACAAGUCUGAGACCUUUGAAAAGUUCAAGGAAUUUCAGAAUGAGGUAGAGAAUCAACGUGACCGGAAAAUAAAGUUCUUACAAUCAGAUCGUGGAGGAGAAUAUUUAAGUCACGAAUUUGGCACACACUUAAGGAAAUGUGGAAUCAUUUCACAACUCACGCCGCCUGGAACACCUCAGCGUAACGGUGUGUCCGAACAUCGUAAUCGCACUCUAUUGGAUAUGGUGCGAUCUAUGAUGUCUCUUACUGAUUUACUGCUAUCAUUUUGGGGAUACGCUCUAGAGACCGCUAUAUUCACUUUAAAUAGGGCAUCGUCUAAAUCCGUUGAGACGACACCGUAUGAAUUAUGGUUUGGGAAGAAACCUAAGCUGUCGUUUCUAAAAGUUUGGGGAUGCGAUGCUUAUGUCAAGAAACUUCAACCUGAAAAGCUCGAACCCAAGUCAGAAAAAUGCGUCUUCAUAGGAUACCCUAAGGAAACCAUUGGGUAUACCUUCUACCUUAGAUCCGAAGGCAAGAUCUUUGUUGCCAAGAACGGAUCCUUUCUGGAAAAAGAGUUUCUCUCGAAAGGAAUAAGUGGGAGGAAAGUAUAACUCGAUGAAGUACUACCUCUUGAACCGGAAAGUAGUGCAGCUCAGGAAAAUGUUCCUGUGGUGCCUACACCGACUGGAGAGGAAAUUAAUGAUGAUGAUCAAGGUACUUCGAAUCAAGUUGCUACUGAACUUCGUAGGUCCACAAGGACACGUUCCACACCAGAGUGGUAUGGCAACCCUGUCCUGGAAAUCAUGUUGUUAGACAACGGUGAACCUUCGAACUAUGAAGAAGCGAUGGCGGUCCCAGAUUCCAACAAAUGGCUUGAAGCCAUGCAAUCCGAGAUAGGAUCCAUGUAUGAAAACAAAGUAUGGACUUUGAUAGACUUGCCCGAUGAUCGGCGAGCGAUAGAAAACAAAUGGAUCUUUAAGAAGAAGACGGACGCGGAUGGUAAUGUUACCAUCUAUAAAGCUCUACUUGUCGCUAAGGGUUAUCGACAAGUUCAAGGGGUUAACUACGAUGAGACUUUCUCUCCCAUAGCGAAGCUGAAGUCCGUCCGAAUCAUGUUAGCAAUUGCCGCAUACUAUCAUUAUGAGAUAUGGCAAAUGGACGUCAAAACGGCAUUCCUUAACGGCUAUCUUAAGGAAGAACUGUAUAUGAUGCAGCCGGAAGGUUUUGUCGACCCUAAGAAUGCUAACAAGGUAUGCAAGCUCCAGCGAUCCAUUUAUGGGCUGGUGCAAGCAUUUCGGAGUUGGAACAUUCGCUUUUAUGAGAUGAUCAAAGCGUUUGGGUUUAUGGAGACUUAUGGAGAAGCCUGCGUUUACAAGAAAGUGAGUGGGAGCUCUGUAGCAUUUCUCAUAUUAUAUGUAGAUGACAUACUUUUGAUGGGAAAUGAUAUAGAACUUUUGGACAGCAUUAAGGCCUACUUGAAUAAGAGUUUUUCAAUGAAGGACCUUGGAGAAGCUGCUUAUAUAUUAGGCAUCAAGAUCUAUAGAGAUAGAUCGGGACGCCUCAUAGGUCUUUCACAAAGCACAUACCUUGAUAAGAUAUUGAAGAAGUUCAAUAUGGAUCAGUCUAAGAAGGGGUUCUUGCCUGUGUUGCAAGGUGUGAAAUUGAGCUCGGCUCAAUGUCCGACCACGGCAGAAGAUAUAGAAGAGAUGAGUGUCAUCCCCUAUGCUUCAGCCAUAGGGUCUAUUAUGUAUGCCAUGAUGUGUACCAGACCUGAUGUAAACCUUGCCGUAAGUUUGGUAGGAAGGUACCAAAGUAAUCCCGGCAAGGAACACUGGACAGCGGUCAAGAAUAUCCUGAAGUACCUGAAAAGGACUAAGGACAUGUUUCUCGUUUAUGGAGGUGACGAAGAGCUCGUCGUAAAGGGUUACGUCGACGCUAGCUUCGACACAGAUCUGGAUGACUCUAAGUCACAAAACGGAUACGUGUAUAUGUUGAAUGGUGGAGCAGUAAGCUGGUGCAGCUGCAAGCAGAGCAUCGUGGCGGGAUCUACAUGUGAAGCGGAGUACAUGGCAGCCUCGGAGGCAGCGCAUGAAGCAAUUUGGGUGAAGGAGUUCAUCACCGACCUAGGAGUCAUACCCAAUGCGUCGGGGCCGAUCAAACUCUUUUGUGACAACACUAGAGCUAUUGCACUUGACAAGGAGCCCAGGUUUCACAAGAAGACCAGGCACAUCAAGCGUCGCUUCAACUCCAUUUGUGAAAAUGUUCAAGAUGGAGACAUAGAAAUUUGCAAAGUGCAUACGGAUCUGAAUGUCGCAGAUCCGUUGACUAAACCUCUUCCGCGAGCAAAACAUGAUCAACACCACAACUCUAUGGGUGUUUGAUUCAUCACAAUGUAACUAGAUUAUUGACUCUAGUGCAAGUGGGUGACUGUUGGAAAUAUUCCCUAGAGGCAAUAAUAAAAGGAUUAUUAUUAUAUUUCCUUGUUCAUGAUAAUUGUCUUUUAUUCAUGCUAUAAUUGUAUUAUCCAGAAAUCGUAAUACACGUGUGAAUACAUAGACCACAACAUGUCCCUAGUAAGCCUCUAGUUGACUAGCUCGUUGAUCAACAGAUAGUCAUGGUUUCCUGAGUAUGGACAUUGGAUGUCAUUGAUAAUGAGAUCACAUCAUUAGGAGAAUGAUGUGAUGGACAAGACCCAAUCCUAAGCAUAGCACAAGAUCGUGUAGUUCGUUUGCUAGAGCUUUUCCAAUGUCAAGUAUCUUUUCCUUAGACCAUGAGAUCGUGUAACUCCCGGAUACCGUAGGAGUGCUUUGGGUGUACCAAACGUCGCAACGUAACUGGGUGACUAUAAAGGUAUACUACGGGUAUCUCCAAAAGUGUCUGUUGGGUUGACACUGAUCGAGACUGGGAUUUGUCACUCCGUAUGACGGAGAGGUAUCUCUGGGCCCACUCGGUAAUGCAUCAUCAUAACGAGCUCAAAGUGACCAAGUGUUUGGUCACAGGAUCAUGCAUUACGGUACGAGUAAAGUCACUUGCCGGUAACAAGAUUGAACGAUCGAAUCUCGGGCAAGUAACGUACCGAUUGACAAAGGGAAUUGUAUACGGGGUUGCUUGAAUCCUCGACAUCGUGGUUCAUCCAAUGAGAUCAUCGAGGAGCAUGUGGGAGCCAACAUGGGUAUCCAGAUCCCGCUGUUGGUUAUUGACCAAAGAGUCGUCUCGGUCAUGUCUACGUGUCUCCCAAACCCAUAGGGUCUACACACUUAAGGUUCGGUGACGCUAGGGUUGUAGAGAUAUGAGUAUGAAGCAAACCGAAAGUUGUUCGGAGUCCCGGAUGAGAUCCCGGACGUCACAGGAGUUCCGGAAUGGUCCGGAGGUAAAGAAUUAUAUAUGGGAAGUGGAGUUUCAGCCGUCGGGAAAGUUUCGGGGGUCACCGGUAUUGUACCGGGACCACCGGAAGGGUCCCGGGGGUCCACCGGGUGGGGCCACCUAUCCCGGAGGGCCCUAUGGGCUGAAGUGGGAGGGGAACCAGCCCCUGGUGGGCUGGUGCGCCCCCCCUUGGGCCCCCCCUGCGCCUAGGGAUGGGAACCCUAGGGGAGGGGGCGCCUCCACUUGCCUUGGGGGGCAAGGCACCCCCCUAGGCCGCCGCCCCCCUAGGGACCCUAUAUAUAGAGGGGGGGAGGGAGGGCAGCCGCACCCUUGCACUUGGCGCCUCCCUUCCCCCUUGCUACACCUCUCCUCCUCCGUAGAGCUCGGCGAAGCCCUGCUGAGAUUCCUGCUGCAUCCACCACCACGCCGUCGUGCUGCUGGAUCUCCAUCAACCUCUCCUUCCCCCUUGCUGGAUCAAGAAGGAGGAGACGUCUUCACCAACCGUACGUGUGUUGAACGCGGAGGUGCCGUCCUUUCGGCACUCGGUCAUCGGUGAUUUGGAUCACGACGAGUACGACUCCCUCAACCCCGUUCUCUUGAACGCUUCCGCUUGCGAUCUACAAAGGUAUGUAGAUGCACUCCUAUCACUCGUUGCUAGAUGAACUCAUAGAUAGAUCUUGGUGAAACCGUAGGAAAUUUUUUAUUUUCUGCAACGUUCCCCAACAGACACCACACUGGAGAUAGAACUGCACACAAGGUAUUGCAAUCCGUUUUUUAUUGGCCUACUCUCUUCAAAGAUGCUCGUAAGUUUUUCUUGUCUUGUGAUGAAUGUCAAAGAAUUGGUAAUAUUAGUAGACGUCAAGAAAUGCCUAUGAACUAUUCUCUUGUUAUUGAACCAUUUGAUGUUUGGGGCUUUGAUUAUAUGGGACCUUUUCCUGCCACUAAUGGUUACACACAUAUUUUAGUUGCUGUUGAUUACGUUACUAAGUGGGUAGAAGGUAUUCCAACUAGUAGUGUUGAUCAUAACACUUCUAUUAAAAUGCUUAAAGAAGUUAUUUUUCUGAGGUUUGGAGUCCCUAGAUAUCUUAUGACUGAUGGUGGUUCACAUUUUAUUCAUGGUGCUUUCCGUAAGAUGCUUGCUAAGUAUGAUGUUAAUCAUAGAAUCGCAUCUCCUUAUCACCCACACAAUUUAGUGGUCAAGUAGAGUUGAGCAAUAGAGAGCUCAAAUUAAUUUUGCAAAAGACUGUUAAUAAAUCUAAAAAGAAUUGGUCCAAGAAGCUUGAUGAUGCAUUAUGGGCCUAUAGAACUGCAUAUAAAUAUCCUAUGGGUAUGUCUCCAUAUAAGAUGGUUUAUGGAAAAGCUUGUCAUUUACCUCUAGAACUUGAACAUAAAGCAUAUUGGGCUAUCAAAGAGCUCAACUAUGACUUCAAACUUGCCGGUGAGAAGAGGUUGUUGAUAUUAGCUCACUUGAUGAAUGGAGAACACAAGCCUAUGAGAAUGCCAAGCUAUUUAAAGAAAAAGUCAAAUGUUGGCAUGACAAAAGGAUACAAAAGCAUGACAAAGGUGAUUAUGUGUUAUUAUUCAACUCUCGUUUAAUAUUUUUUGCAGGAAAACUUCUCUCUAAAUGGGAAGGCCCUUACGUUAUCGAGGAGGUCUAUCGUUCGGGUGCCAUAAAAAUCAACAACUUCGAAGGCACAAGUCCGAGGGUGGUGAACGGUCAAAGAAUCAAACAUUAUAUCUUACGUAAUCCUAUCAAUGUUGAAACUAAUAUCAUUGAAACCGUAACCCCGGAGGAAUACAUAAGGGACACUUUCUAGAACAUUCCAGACUCCGAAAAGGAAUAGGUAUGUGGUACGGUAAGUAAACCGACUCCAAAACAUUUCUAUUGGCAAUUUUUAUCAGUUUUGGAAUAUUUAAGAAUUUUAGGAAGAAAGAAGUAGUCCGGGAAGGACACGAGGCCUCCACGAGGGUGGAGGGCGCGCCCACCCUUACUGGGCGUGCCCCCCUGUCUCGUGGCCACCUCGUGUGCCUCCCGGACUCCUUUUUCUUGCACGUUACAUAUUUUGGUUGGUAAAAAUUCAUUAUAUAAACUCCCGAAGGUUUUGACCACCGUAUCACGCAAAAAUACUCUGUUUUCGUUGCGAGCUGUUUCUGUUAUAGAUUUAGAGCAAGAUGUCUUCUCAAGAGUCAGUUGGGGAGAGUCGGGUGCCUCACCCGACACUAGGUCCAGGAGCAAAAAGCGAUGCUUAUCACUUUGGACCAUCAACGGAGGAUGAGAUGGAGGCCGACUUGAAAAGGAUAGAUGCCAUGGAGGAAGAUCAAGAAGUCACCUCCUGCUUUCAAGCAGGAUUCAUAAUGGGGGAACUACAGAGCUCGGUUGUUCCAAAUUUGGUCAUCCCUUCCAAUGCUAAGUUUCUUACUUAUGAAAAUAUGAAAAAGAGUGUUACUUGUUCUCCACAAGCUAUGCAGCACCCUUGUGUAAAAGGAGCUUUAGCAAUAGCAGGCAAGAUCCGCAAGGAAAAUAUGAACCUCAAGCAACAAGUCAAUAAGCUCGAGGAGGAGAAUCGUAUCCUGAGGGGAAUUAUCGCCGAAAAGAUAACAACACCAACUUUGAAGAAGGAGACAUAAUCACUUGGGUAUGGGCACUCCCCUUGGCAACUGCCGAGCUUGGGGGAGGUGUUGCGGUAUCGUAUCACCAUCACACUCCUAUCUUUACCGUUUUAUUUAGUUCGAUCCUUUUUAGUAGUAUCUUGAUCUAGUAGAUUGAAGUUUUGAUAUCAAGUAGUUUUGAGUUUUGCUUUGUGAUCUCUUUAUGUAAUCGAGCCCAUGAGCUAUCUAUAAUAAAGAUUAGUGUUGAGUCAAGGGCUUUGCUAUCUUGCUAUGAUCUUAAGAAAAAUAGAAAGAAUAAAAAGAAUAAAGAGUUCAUAUUGAUCUUAUGGAUAGUAAUGACUUCACACAUAGAAAGUAUGACGCAUAAAAGUUGUUGAGAGUUGAUAAACGUAGUUUUGGUCAUCGUUACAAUUAAUAGGAAGUAAUAAGGAAAGAGAGGUUUCACAUAUAAAUAUACUAUCUUGGACAUAUUUUAUGAUUGUGAGCACUCAUUAAGUAUGACAUGCUCAAAGAGUCGACGUUGGACAAGGAAGACAACGUAAUGGUUUAUGUUUUCUAACAUCUCAGUUAAAGUAUAUUUUCAUUGACCUUCCGAACAUGUUGAGCUUGCCUUUCCCCCUCAUGCUAGCCAAAUCCUAGCACCAAGUAGAGAUACUGCUUGUGCUUCCAAAUAUCCUUAAACCCAGUCUUGCCAUGAGAGUCCACCAUAUCUAGCUAUGGAUUGAGUAAGAUCCUUCAAGUAAGUUGUCAUCAGUGCAAGCAAUCAAAAUUGCUCUCUAAAUAUGCAUGACUUAUUAGUGCGGAGAAAAUAAGCUUUAUAGGAUCUUGUUAUGGAAGCAAUAAAAGCGACGAACUGCAUAAUAAACGUCCAUACACAAGUGGCAAUAUAAAGUGACGUUCUUUCGCAUUAAAAUUUUGUGUAUCAAACCCUAAAAGCGCAUGACAACCUCUGCUUCCCUCUGCGAAGGGCCUAUCUUUUACUUUAUGUUUUUACUUUAUGCUUGAGUCAAGGUGAUCUUCACCUUUCCCUUUUUCAUUUUAUCCUUUGGCAAGCUCCUCGUGUUUGAAAGAUCAUGAUAUAUAUAUCCAAUUGGAAGUUCGUUAGCAUGGACUAUUAUUGUUGACAUCACCUAAAGGUGAAUACGUUGGGAGGCAACACAAUAAGCCCCUAUCUUUCUCAGUGUCCGGCUGAAACUCCAUAACCACAAGUAUUGCAUGAGUGUUAGCAAGAAGACUAUAUGAUAGUCGAGUAUGUGGACAUGCUGAAAAGCUCUAUUCUUGACUCUUUUUGAUGUUACGAUAAAUUGCAAUUGCUUCAAUGACUGAGAUUAUAGUUUGUUAGCUUUCAAUGAAGUAUCUGAACCAUACUUGACAUUGUGAAUUGAUUGUUACUUGAGCAUGAGAAGUCAUAUGACAAAAUCUAUUGAUGUUGCUGUUAUAAGAAUAAUCAUGAUGCCCUCAUGUCCGUUUUUUAUUUUUAAUAACACCUCUAUCUCUAAACAUGUGGACAUAUUUUUCGAUUUCGGCUUCUGCUUGAGGACAAGCGAGGACUAAGCUUGGGGGAGUUGAUACGUCCAUUUUGCAUCAUGCUUUUAUAUCAAUAUUUAUUGCAUUAUGUGCUGUUAUUACACAUUAUAAAUCAAUACUUAUGGCUAUUCUCUCUUAUUUUAUAAGGUUUACCAUGAAGAUGGGGAAUGCCGGCAGCUGGAAUUCUGGCUGGAAAUGGAGCAAACAUUGGAAACCUAUUCUGCACUGCUCCAAAAGACCUGAAACUCCACGAAACUUAUUUUUCGAAUUAAUGAGAAUUAUUGAGCGGAAGAAACACCUCAGGGGGCCCACACCCUGGCCAGGAGGGUGGGGGGCGCGCCCAGUGGGCGCGCCCCCUGGUGGCCCUCCGGUAUCCAUCUUCUGCUAUAUGAAGGAUUUUACCCUGGAAAAAAUCAUGGGCAAGCUUACGGGACGAAACUGCGCCGCCACGAGGCGGAACCUUGGCGGAACCAACUGGGCGCGCCCCCUGGUGGCCCUCCGGUAUCCAUCUUCUAUUAUAUGAAGGAUUUUACCCUGGAAAAAAUCAUGGGCAAGCAUACGGGACGAAACUCCGCCGCCAUGAGGCGGAACCUUGGCGGUACCAAUCUAGAGCUCCGGCAGAGCUGUUCUGGCAUGGACACUUCCCUCCGGGAGGGGGAAACCAUCACCAUCAUCAUCACCAACGAUCCUCCCAUCGGGAGAGGGUCAAUCUCCAUCAACAUCUUCACCAGCACCAUCUCCUCUCAAACCCUAUUUCAUCUCUUGUAUCCAAUCUUGUAUCCAAAACCACAAAUUGGUACCUAUGGGUUGCUAGUAGUGUUGAUUAUUCCUUGUAGUUGAUGCUUAUUGGUUUACUUGGUGGAAGAUCAUAUGUUCAGAUCCUUAAUGCAUAUUAUUACUCCUCUGAUUAUGAACAUGAAUAUGCUUUGUGAGUAGUUACGUUUGUUCCUGAGGACAUGGGUGAAGUCUUGCUAUUAGUAGUCAUGUGAAUUUGGUAUUCGUUCGAUAUUUUGAUGAGAUGUAUGUUGUAUUUGCUCUAGUGGUGUUAUGUGAACGUCGACUACAUGACACUUCACCAUUAUUUGGGCCUAGAGUAAGGCAUUGGGAAGUAAUAAGUAGAUGAUGGGUUGCUAGAGUGACGGAAGCUUAAACCCUAGUUUAUGCGUUGCUUCGUAAGGGGCCGAUUUGGAUCCAUAUGUUUAAUGAUGUGGUUAGGUUUACCUUAAUACUUCUUUUGUAGUUGCGGAUGCUUGCAAUAGGGGUUAAUCAUAAGUGGGAUGCUUGUCCAAGUAAGGGCAGUACCCAAGCACCGGUCCACCCACAUAUCAAAUUAUCAAAGUACCGAAAACGAAUCAUAUGAGCGUGAUGAAACUAGCUUGACGAUAAUUCCCAUGUGUCCUCGGGAGCGCUUUUCUCAUUAUGAGAAAUUGUCCAGGCUUGUCCUUUGCUACAAAAAGGAUUGGGCCACGCCACCUUGCUGCACUUUAUUUACUUUCGUUGCUUGUUACUCUUUACAAUUUAUCUUAUCACAAAACUAUCUAUCACCUACAAUUUCAGAGCUUGCAGAGAAAACCUUACUAAAAACCGCUUAUUAUUUCCUUCUGCUCCUCGUUGGGUUCGGCACUCUUACUUAUCGAAAGGACUACGAUAGAUCCCCUACACUUGUGGGUCAUCAUUGAUCAUUCAUGCUUCACUUAGAACAUCAUGGUAUUUGCUAUGGUUAUAAAUUUGGUCCUAGAAUGAUGAGCAUCCAACUUGGGUAUAAUAAAAACUAUCAUAGAAAGUGCAUUAAAAACUAUGAUCAAUUUGAUGGUUGAUAAUUGUUUUGAGAGAUAAAGGUGGUAAUGUUAGAGUCACGCUAGUUGGGUAAUUAUGAAAUUGAGAAAUACUUGUGUUGAACUUGGCAAGUCCCGUAGCAUGCACGUAUGGUAAAAGUUAUGUAACAAAUUUGUAGCAUGGGGUGCUCUCUGAGUGCUUUCCUUAUGAGUGGCAGUCGGGGACGAGCGAUGGUCUUUUCCUACCAAUCUAACCCUCUAGGUGCAUGUGUAGUAGUACUUUACUUCGAGGGCGAAUAAAUUUUUGCAAUAAGUAUAUGAGUUCUUUAUGACUAAUGUGAGUCCAUGGAUAUAUGCACACUUACCCUUCCACUUUGCUAGCCUCUAUUAUACCGCGCAACCUUCGCCGGUAUCAUGAACCCAUUAUUUACCAUCCUCAAAACAGCCACCAUACCUACCUAUUAUGGCAUUUCCAUAGCCAUUCCGAGAUAUAUUGCCAUGCAACUUUCCAUUGUUUCGUUUAUUAUGACAAGCUCCAUCAUUGUCUCGCUCUUUGCAUGAUCAUGUAGUUGACAUCGUAUUUGUGGCAAGGCCACCUUCAUAAUUUUUCAUACAUGUCACUCUUGAUUCAUUGCAUAUCCCAGUACACUGCCGGAGGCAUUCACAUAGAGCCAUGUCUUGUUCUAAGUAUCGAGUUGUAAUUCUUGAGUUGUAAAUCAAUAAAAGUGUGAUGAUCUUCAUUAUUAGAGCAUUGUCCCAAGUGAGGAAAGGAUGAUGAAGACUACGAUUCCCCCACAAGUCGGGAUGAGACUUCGGACUUUAUAAAAAUAAAAGAGGCCAAAGAAGCCCACCAAAAUAAAAAAAAUGAGAGAAAAAGAGAGAAGGGACAAUGUUACUAUCCUUUUACCACACUUGUGCACCAUGAUCUUCAUGAUAGAGAGUCUCCUAUGUUGCCACUUUCAUAUACUAGUGGGAUUUUUUCAUUAUAGAACUUGGCUUUUAUAUUCCAAUGAUGGGCUUCCUACAAACGCCCUAGGUCUUCAUGAGGAAGCAAGUUGGAUGCACACCCACUUAGUUUCUUUUGUUGAGAUUUCAUAUAUUUAUAGCUCUAGUGCAUCCUUUGCAUGGCAAUCCCUACUCACUCACAUUGAUAUCUUUUAAUGGGUGAUGUCUACUACACAACCUUCUUCUUGUAGACAUUGUUGGGCCUGCACAUGCACAGGUUUGUAGCACAGUAGCAAAUUUCCCUCAAGUGGAUGACCUAAGGUUUAUCAAUCUGUAGGAGGCGUAGGAUGAAGAUGGUCUCUCUCAAACAACCCUGCAAGCAAAUAACAAAGAGUCUCUUGUGUCCCCAACACACCCAAUACAAUGGUAGAUUGUAUAGGUGCACUAGUUCGGCGAAGAGAUGGUGAUACAAAUGCAAUAUGGAUAGUAGAUAAAGGUAUUCGUGAUCUGAAAUUAUAAAAACAGCAAGGUAGCAAGUAACAAAAGUGAGCAUAAACGGUAUUGCAAUGAUAGGAAAUAAGGCCUAGGGUUCAUACUUUCACUAGUGAAAGUUCUCUCAACAAUAAUAACAUAAAUAGAUCAUAUAACAAUCCCUCAAUAUGCAACAAAGAGUCACUCCAAAGCCACUAAUAGCGGAGAACAAACGAGGAGAGUAUGGUAGGGUACGAAACCACCUCAAAGUUAUUCUUUCGGAUCAAUCUAUUCAAGAGAUCGUACUAGAAUAACACCUUAAGACACAAAUCAACCAAAACCCUAAUGUCACCUAGAUACUCCAUUGUCACCUCAAGUAUCCGUGGGCAUGAUUAUACGAUAAGCAUCACAUAAUCUCAGAUUCAUCUAUUCAACCAACACAAAGUACUUCAAGGAGUGCCCCAAAGUUUCUACCGGAGAGUCAAGAACGUCUGCCAACCCCUAUGCAUAGGUUCAUGGGCGGAACCCGCAAGUUGGUCACCAAAACAUACAUCAAGUGGCACAUGAUAUCCCAUUGUCACCACAGAUAAUCACGGAAAAACAUACAUCAAGUGUUCUCAAAUAAAGACUCAAUCCGAUAAGAUAACUUCAAAGGGGAAAACUCAAUCCAUUACAAGAGAGUAGAGGGGGAGAAACAUCAUAAGAUCCAACUAUAAUAGCAAAGCUCGGGAUACAUCAAGAUCGUGCCAUAGAGGGAACACGAGAGAGAACACGAGAGAGAGAGAGAGAGAUCAAACACAUAGCUACUGGUACAUACCCUCAGCCUCGAGGGUGAACUACUCCCUCCUCGUCAUGGAGAGUGCCGGGAUGAUGAAGAUGGCCACCAGUGAAGGAUCCCCCCUCUGACAGGGUGCCGGGAAGGGCUGCCGAGAGGUUUUUGGUGGCUACAGAGGCUUGGGGCGGCGGAACUCCCGAUCUCUCUUGAUAUUCGAUGUUUUUAGGGUACAAGGGAAUAUAUAGGCGAAAGAAGUCAGUCGGGAGGUGCUCGAGGGGCCCAGGAGACAGGGGGCGCGCCCAAUAGGGGGGCGCGCCCUCCUAUCUCGUGGCCUCCUCGAGGGUCUUCUGACGUGAACUCCAAGUCUCCUGGGUGUUAUUCUUCCAAAAAAUCACGUUGCCGAAGGUUUCAUUCCGUUUGGACUCCAUUUGAUAUUCCUAUUCUUCGAAAUACUGAAACAGGCAAUAAAACAGCAAUAUGGGUUGGGCCUCCGGUUAAUAGGUUAGUCCCAAAAGUAAUAUAAAAGUGUAUAAUAAAGCCCAUAAUCAUUCAAAACAGGUAAUAAAAUAGCAUGAAUGCUUCAUAAAUUAUAGAUACAUUGGAGACGUAUCAGCAUCACCAAGCUUAAUUCCUACUCGUCCUCGAGUAGGUAAAUGAUAAAGAAAGAAUUUAUGAAGUGUGAAUGCUAGAAGGUGCACAAGUUUGAUCAAUGAUAAUUCCAAUCACCUUUUCUAGCAUGAUUAUAUGUCAUAACAAUAGUUCAUCUCAUAAAACUUUUCAUAAUCAAGUAACAAGCUAUUCACAUGUAUAAGCAUAGACCAUAAACUUUCUUGAAAACUAGCAAACUUCAUUCUUAAUCAUCAAACAAUUGCAAUUCAUCUUAUUUUCAGGAAGGGUCUAUGUCAGAGCUUUGAUUUAAUUAGCAAACUUCACAUACUCAACUAUCAUAUAGUCUUCUACAAUUGCUAACACUCACGCAGUCCUUGUGGUUAUGAAGUUUUAAUCAGACACAGAGAAAGAUUGGGGCUUAUAAUGUUGCCUCCAAACGUAUUCACCUUUGGGUGAUGUCAACAAUAAUAGUUCAUGCUAACGUACAUCCAAUUGGAUAUAUAUAUCAGGAUCACCCCAACACAAAUUUCUUGCCAAAGGAUAAAAUGAAAAAGGGAAAGGUGAAGAUCACCUUGACUCUUGUAUAAAAGUAAAAGGCCCUUCGCAGAGGGAAGCAGGGAUUUUCAGAGGUGCCAGAGCUCGAUUUUUAAAAUAGAGACAAAUAAUUUCGAGAGGUAUGAUCUCAUUGUCAACAUAACAACCAAGAGUUCCCAGUAUCUUCCAUACUACGUACAUUAUAGGCAGUUCCCACAAAGAAUGGUAAAAGUUUAUACUCCCCCAACCACCAACAAGCAUCAAUCCAUGGCUUGCUCGAAACAACGAGUGCCUCCAACCAACAACAAUCCUGGGGGAGUUUUGUUUAAUUAUUUUGAUUUGAUUUUGACCUUUUUUAUCAUGGGACUGGGCAUCCCGGUUACCGCCACUUUCUCGUGAAUGAGGAGCGGAGUCCACUCCUCUUGAGAAUAACCCACCUAGCAUGGAAGACACUGACAGCCCCUAGUUGCUACAUGAGCAAUUCGGGCAUACAAAACAUAUUAUAAUUUGAAGGUUUAGAGUUUGGCACAUGCAAAUUUACUUGGAACAGCAGGUAAAUACCGCAUAUAGGUAGGUAUGGUGGACACUCAUGGCAAAAACUGGGUUUAAGGAUAUUGGAUGCACAAGCAGUAUUCCCGCUUAGUACAGAUAUUUAGGCUAGCAAGGGGAGAAAGGCAAGCUCAACAUGUUUGAAUGAUCCAUGACAAUAUACUUUAACUGAGAUGCGAGAGAACAUAACCCAUUACGUUGUCUUCCUUGUCCAACAUCAACUCUUUAGCAUGUCAUACUUAAUGAGUGCUCACAAUUAUAAAAGAUGUCUAUGAUAAUAUAUUUAUAUGUGAAAUUUCUCUUCCUUAAAUAUUCUUUCAUGAAUUGUUCAAAUGGCCAAUACAAUGCUUGCUAACCUUCAAUAAAUUACUACCUCUACUUCUUAGAUGUGAAGUCAUUACUCCCCAUGGGAUAAGCAAAUGAAACAUAUAUAAUUUCAGAUUUAUGACAUUCAACUCAACCAUUAACUCAUAGGAUAUAAGUGAAGCACACGAGUAAAUGAGAAACUACUCCAAAAAAAUAUAAGUGAAGAUCAAUGAGUAGCUAAAUAAUUAUGCAACUAUGUGAAGACUCUCUCUCAUUUAAUAAUUUCAGAUCUUGGUAUCUUAUUCAAACAGCAAGCAAAGCAACAUAAAAUGACAUUGUAAGGAUAGCACAACUGAUGUGAAGAAGCAAAAACUUAGGUUCAACCGAUACUAACCGAUAGUUGUUGAAGAAAAAAGGUCGGAUGCCUACCGGGGCAUCCCCAAGCUUAGGUGCUUGAGACUUCUUGAAAUAUUAUCUUGGGGUGCCUUGCGCAUCCCCAAGCUUGAGCUUUUCUGUCUCCUUAAUUCCCUUUUAUAUCACGGUUUCUCUUCUUUUUAUCAAAAAGCUUCAUUCACAACAAACUCAACAAUAACUCGUGAGAUAGGUUAGUAUAAACCAAUGCAAAACCUUAUCAUUUUCUACUGUAACGAAUCACUAAGAUUAUUAUUAAACAUUUAAUACUAAAUGUCUCUGCAUAUUUAAUACUCCUAUCCUCAAACAGAAUCAUUAAACAAGCAAACAUAUGCACACAAUGCAAACAUAACAGCAAUCUGCCAAAACAGUACAGUCUGUAAAGAAUGCAAGAUUCAUCAUGCAUCCCUAACUCCAAAAAUUAUAAGGAAACUACUAUGCUGUAAAAUAUUUAUCAGAGCUCAUUAUGCAAAAAGAUUCAACAUUAUAUCACUCUCUGACUUUUCUAGGGAACUUUUGCAACAGCGGUAAACUUUCUGUUUUCAAACAGCAACAUGUAUACUUGCAAAAUAAGCAUGGUAAAGGCUAUCCUUGACAUUUUUAUUGAAAAUGAAGAUGAAAACCAUUAAUAUAAAUAACAUCAAGCAAAUACUAACAAAAUAAAAUGACACUCCAAGCAAAACACAUAUCAUGUGGUGAAUAAAAAUAUAGCUCCAAGUAAAGUUACCGAUGAACGAAGAUGAAAGAGGGGAUGCCAUCCGGGGCAUCCCCAAGCUUAGGCUCUUGGUUAUCCUUGAAUAUUACCUUGGGGUGCCUUGGGCAUCCCCAAGCUUAGGCUCCUUCCACUUAUUAUUCCAUAGUCCAUCGAAUCCUUACCCAAAACUUGAAAACUUCAACCACACAAAACUCAAAACAAAACUCGUAAGCUCCGUUGGUAUAAGAAAGAAAAACCACCACAUAAGGUACUGUAAUGAACUCAUUCUUUAUUUAUAUUGGUGUUAAACCUACUGUAUUCUAACUUCUCUAUGGUUCAUACCCUUACAUACUAGCCAUAGAUUCAUCAAAAUAAGCAAACGACACCAUGAAAGCAGAAUCUGUCAAAAACAGAACAGUCUGUAGUAAUCUGUAUCAAACGUAUACUUCUGGAACCCCAAAAAUUAUGAAAUAAAUUGAUAGACCUGAGUAAUUUGUCUAUUAAUCAUCUGCAAAAAUAAUCAACCGAAAAGCACUCUCCAGACAAAAAAUGGUAUCUAAUCUCGUGAGCGCUAAAGUUUCUGGUUUUCACAGCAAGAUCAUAAAGACUUCACCCAAGUCUUCCCAAAGGCUCUACUUGGCACUUUAUUGAAACAAAAGCUAUAAAACAUGAUUACUACAGUAGCAUAAUCAUGUGGACACACAAAAACAGUAAGGGUUAAUAUUGGUAUGUCUCCCAACAAGAGCUUUUAUUUAAUGCCUUUCUAGCUAGGCAUGAUGAUGGCAAUGAUGCUCACAAAAAGGAUAAGAAUUGAAACAUAAAGGGAGCAUCAUGAAGAAUAUGACUAGCACAUUUAAGUCUAACCCACUUCCCAUGCAUAGGUGUUUUUUGAGCAAACAACUUACAGGAACAAUAAUCAACUAGCAUAGGAAGGCAAAACAAGCAUAACUUCAAGAUUUUAAGCACGUAGAGAGGAAACUUAAUAUUAUUGCAAUUCCUACAAGCAUAUGUUACUCCCUCAUAAUAAUUUUCAGUAGCAUCAUGAAUGAAUUCAACAAUAUAACCAGAACCUAAAGCAUUCUUUUCAUGAUUUACAAGCAUGGAAAAUUACUACUCUCCACAUAAGCAAAAUUCUUCUCAUAAAUAGUAGUGGGAGCAAACUCAACAAAAUAACUAUCAUGUGAGGCAUAAUCCAAUUGAAAACUAAAAUGAUGAUGACAAGUUUCAUGGUUAUCAUUAUUCUUAAUAGCAUAGAAGUCAUCACAAUAAUCAUCAUAGAUAGCAAUUUUGUUUUCAUAAUCAAUUGGAACCUCUUCCGAAAUAGUGGAAUCAUCACUAAAUAAAGUUGACACUCUUCCAAAUCCACUUUCAUAUUCAUCACAAUAAGAUUCAACAUCCUCCAAAAUAGUGGGAUCAAUACUACCUAAAGUUGACACUCUUCCAAACCCACUUUCAUCAAUAUAACCAUCAUAAAUAGGAGGCAUGUUGUCAUCAUAAUAAAUAUUCUCAUCAAAACUUGGGGGACUAAACAUAUCAAAUUCAUCAAACAUAGCUUCCCCAAGCUUGUGGCUUUGUAUAUCAUUAGCAUCAUGGAUAUUCAAAGAGUUUAUACUAACAACAUCGCAAUCAUGCUCAUCAUUCAAAGAUUUAGUGACAAACAUUUUAUAGAUUUCUUCUUCUAGCACUUGAGCACAAUUUUCCUUACCAUCAUUCUCAUGAAAGAUAUUAAAAAGAUGAAGCAUAUGGGACAAACUCAAUUCCAUUUUUUUGUAGUUUUCUUUUAUAGACUAAACUAGUGAUAAAACAAGAAACAAAAAGAUUCGAUUGCAAGAUCUAAAGAUAUACCUUCAAGCACUCACCUCCAAAAAGAGCUUAGUUGACGGGGUGUGAGUACCAUUUACCUAGCCUCCCUGGCAACGGCGCCAGAAAAGAGCUUGAUGUCUACUACACAACCUUCUUCUUGUAGACAUUGUUGGGCCUGCAAGUGCACAAGUUUGUAGGACAGUAGCAAAUUUCCCUCAAGUGCAUGACCUAAGGUUUAUCAAUCCGUAGGAGACGUAGGAUGAAGUUGGUCUCACUCAAACAACCCUGCAACAAAAUAACAAAGAGUCUCUUGUGUCCCCAACACACCCAAUACAAUGGUAGAUUGUAUAGGUGCACUAGUUCGGCAAAGAGAUGGUGAUACAAGUGCAAUUUGGAUAGUAGAUAAAGGUAUUUUGUGAUCUGAAAUUAUAAAAACAGCAAGGUAGAAAGUAACAAAAGUGAGCGUAAACGGUAUUGCAAUGAUAGGAAACAAGGCCUAGGGUUCAUACUUUCACUAGUGCAAGUUCUCUCAACAAUAAUAACAUAGAUAGAUCAUAUAACAAUCCCUCAAUAUGCAACAAAUAGUCACUCCAAAGCCACUAAUAGCGGAGAACAAACGAAGAGAUUAUGGUAGGGUACGAAACCACCUCAAAGUUAUUCUUUCGGAUCAAUCUAUUCAAGAGUUCGUACUAGAAUAACACCUUAAGACACAAAUCAACCAAAACCCUAAUGUCACCUAGAUACUCCAUUGUCACCUCAAGUAUCCGUGGGCAUGAUUAUACGAUAAGCAUCACACAAUCUUAGAUUCAUCUAUUCAACCAACACAAAGUACUUCAAGGACUGCCCCAAAGUUUCUACCAGAGAGUCGUGUGCCAACCCCUAUGCAUAGGUUCAUGGGCGGAACCCGCAAGUUGGUCACCAAAACAUACAUCAAGUGGCACAUGAUAUCCCAUUGUCACCAUAGAUAAUCACGGCAAGACAUACAUCAACUGUUCUCAAAUAAAGACUCAAUCCGAUAAGAUAACUUCAAAGGGGAAAACUAAAUCCAUUACAAGAGGGUAGAGGGGGAGAAACAUCAUAAGAUCCAACUAUAAUAGGAAAGAUCGAGAUACAUCUAGAUCGUGGCAUAGAGGGAACACGAGAGAGAACACGAGAGAGAGAGAGAGAGAGAGAGAGAGAGAGAGAGAUCAAACACAUAGCUACUGGUACAUACCCUCAGCCUCGAGGGUGAACUACUCCCUCCUCGUCAUGGAGAGCACCGGGAUGAUGAAGAUGGCCACCGGUGAAGGAUCCCCCCUCCGGCAGGGUGCCGGGAAGGGCUCCCGAGAGGUUUUUGGUGGCUACAGAGGCUUGCGGCGGCGGACUCCCGAUCUCUCUUGAUAUUCGAUGUUUUUAGGGUACGAGGGAAUAUAUAGGCAAAAGAAGUCGGUCGGGAGGUGCUCGAGGGGCCCACAAGAUAGGGGGCGCGCCCAUUAGGGGGGGCGCCCUCCUAUCUCGUGGCCUCCUCGAGGGUCUUCUGACGUGAACUCCAAGUCUCCUGGGUGUUAUUCUUCCAAAAAAAUCACGUUGCCGAAGGUUUCAUUCCAUUUGGACUCCGUUUGAUAUUCCUUUUCUUCGAAAUACUGAAACAGGCAAUAAAACAACAAUAUGGGCUGGGCCUCCAGUUAAUAGGUUAGUCCCAAAAGUAAUAUAAAAGUGUACAAUAAAGCCCAUAAUAAUUCAAAACAGAUAAUAAAAUAGCAUGAAUGCUUCAUAAAUUAUAGAUAUGUUGGAGACGUACCAAUGGGCAUCUCCAUAGCCCAUUGAUAUGCCUAGUUGAUGUGAGACUAUCUUCUCCCUCCUUGUCUUCAUAACCACCACCAUAUACCACACAUAGUGCUAUGUCCAUGGCUUGCGCUCAUGUAUUGGUAAGAGUUGAAAAGGCUGAAGCGCGUUAAAAAUUAUGAACCAAUUGCUCGGCUCGUCAUCGGGGUUAUGCAUAAGGGGAGUAUUUUGCUUUAUAAAAAUGAAGCAUGGCCUAACUAUAUGAUUUUGUAGGGAUAAGCUUUCUUUGGCUAUGCUGUUUUGAUAAGAGAUGAUUAUUUGUUAGUAUGCUUCAAGUAUUACUAUUUUUAUGUUUUAUAAGCUUUUAUCUUGAAUCAUUUGGAUCUAAACAAUCAUGCCACAAUAAAUAGAAUUACAUUGAGAAUUAUGCUAGGUAGCAUUCCACAUCUAAAAUUCUGUUUUUAUCAUUUACCUACUCGAGGACGAGCAGGAAUUGAGCUUGGGGAUGCUUGAUACGUCUCCAACGUAUCUAUACUUUUUAUUGUUCCAUGCUAUUAUAUUACUUGUUUUGGAUGUUUAUGGGCUUUAGAGGCGCUCCUGCCUCAUCGGCGAAAUGAUCGGCCUUUAGGACCCCAACCGCAUGGGGGUGACGCGGCUGUCUGCGGAGCAGGUCGCGCGUGGCAUGAACGACAUCUCCAAGGCCAACCUUGGAGAGGACUAGCGAUUCGGCAAGGCGCCGUAUAGCCAGUCGAACCCGGCACCGCAGGUGAGUGUCUGGUCUUCUUACUUUGCUGCUUCCCAUCUUCUCAUUCGUCCCGACGCGACGCGGGAGAUACUCUAGAACGCGAUUCGGCAUCCUUACACCCGGGCUCCGUCGCAGGUGGCGCCGGUGGCACAGAGGAGCCCGCGGUCCAAGGCGGCGAGGAGGUGGCCGAGUCCAACGCCGGCGCUGGGCAUCGCGCGGGUAAGUCAUGAAUUCUUCUUUCUUUAUUUGUCUUGAAUUGUUGAUCAUGUCGCGGUGCGGGCGACACUGACGCCGAUUGUUGGUGUAGUGGCGUUGGGCGGGGAAGGCGGCGACGCAGGCGGAGCCGGGUCCUCGCAUGGGGUAGCGCCGAGCCGCCCGCAUGGGAAAGACAGCGUCCUGCCGCAACCCCGGGCCCGAAAGCGCGCGACGGACCCGGCCGAGCCUGGGAGGCCGGCCAAGCGAAGGCGCGGCGGGAGGCCGACCCCGGUCCCGGUCUUGAUGGGGUAAGCUUUAUCUUCUGUGUGCAUCCGGAUUGUUGAGCCGGAGUUGUCUUCUUUUUCUUUGGCUUAUUCUGCCUUCUUCUUCAGGUCGCCAAUCGCGCUGGCGAGGGCGGUGGCGGAAGCCGCGGCCGCCGAAGGGGCCGCGUUCCGCAAGAGCUGGUCCGACGUCGCUGACCAAGCCGAGGCGGAGGGACGGACCGACUCGGACCUCUACCUGGACCCGAACGACGCCAAAGCCUUGGCUUGGCGGGACAGGAAUCGGGACGAGGCGGAGCUGGAGGCGGCAUCGGUCUGGGCUUGGACCGACGCAGCGGCGGUGUGGGCGCGAGCCGUCACGGAGCCGGCCUGGCGCGAGAUGCCGGAGGGCACAGUGGUGGCGGCGACGGUCUUUGAGCCGUCGUUAGUGAGGGAGCGCGGCUGGGGAGGCCGGGCUGAGGUGGUGAUACUCGACCAGGAGGUCGUGGAGGUGUAGGGCGAUACCCCUCCGCGGGACGACGUGGUUGUGUGCGCGGGGGCUGAUGGUGGUGGAGACGGCGUCGUCUUGGAAGAGGCACCGCGAGCGGCGGUGUCGGAGGUGCCGCUGGUGCUGGAGGCGACACCGCGGAUGGCGGUGCCGAAGGCCACCACGGCAGCUGGACCGGUGGUGGCACAGCAGGACGUCCCAGCAUCCGGAACGAAGGCGGCGACGCAGGGCGUCCCGGUGUCCGGGUCCGCGAAGGAGGUGCUGGCCGCGUCGCGAGCGGCCAGCGGGGAGCACACCUUGGUGCUCUAGCAGGGUGGGCGUCGGGCUGCCGCGCCGCAGCCGGCGUGGAGCGGGGGCGCCACUGUAUUCGGCCCUCAGACCCAGGAGGAGGAGGCGCUGGAUGCCGUCAGCCGUCGUCUGCGCGGGCGGACGGAUCGGCUCGAGGCCUUUGCCGAGGCCGAGGUGGAGCGGACGCGCGACCUGGAGCGCCAUUCUGGUAAGCCUUCUUUUUUUUCUUGCAAUUUCUUCUUUGUGCGGGCGCGCCAGCGCACCCACUGGGUGUAGCCCCUGAGGUUCGGGCCAACUACGUUGCAGUUGGGUCGAAUCUUAAGAGCGUUGGCCUUGUUCUGACUUCUGUAUUUUUCAGCAUCUUGACGCCUUCCGGGUUGCCGCUUUCAACCGUCUCCUGGGCAAGCAUCGGGAGCUCAAGGAGCAACUUACUGGCAAGGAGGAGGAGCUUCGCGUCGCCGCAGGUACCCUUGUGCUCUUUUCUAGUGGGGGCGCGCUAGCGCACCCACUGGGUGCAGCCCCCGAGAUUCGGGCCAACUAUGUAACAGUUGGGCCAAAUCUUAAGUCUUGUCUUUUUUCUUCUGCUGAAUCCUUCUUCUUUGCAGCCGAGGUGCUGUCCUGGCGGACUCGUCUGCUCCAGGCCGGCCAUCACUAUGACCGGCUCGUUGCCGACACUGGCCGUCUUGGCGUCGAGGCGGCGCAGGCGAGGGCGGAGGCGGCCGCGGCCCGACGGUCUCUUGAUGAGGCCAACCGGCUGCAUGAGCAGCUGGUAGGUCACAAGAGCCGCCUCGAGGUGGAGCUUCUUAAGGCGGAGGCCGCCAAGGUGAUGGAGACGCAACAGGCCCUGGUCGAGGCGGACCAGCAGCGCGGCCAGCUGGUCGAUGACAAGGGCCGGCUCCAGGCCGAGGUGGAUCGCCUGCGGGAGCAGGCCACUGCGGCUGAGGGGGCCCAUCAGGACGAGCCCGCCACCGCGAGGGGGCCGAGAAGGCGGCCGCAGACAAGGACGCCGAGCUGAAGGCGGCCCUUGCUAAGGCGGCCAAUCUGGAGAAGGCGCUUGGGGAGCGCGACCGCGCCAUGGAGCGGGAGCGGCGUGGUACGUUGCUUGAGGCACAGCACCUGGAAGAGUCCUUCUCCAGUAAGUGACGUUUCUUGUAGUUUGCCGGGUCGGGACCCGGCCUUUCUUCCUUGUUGUUCUUCUUCUAACUUGCUUCUUCCUUUGUGACAGGGGCCUUCCCGAAGUCGCAACGGCUGGCGGAGGAAGCCGUCCGCUAUCAGCGCGACCCGACCGGUGUUGCCGGGUCUGGGACGGAUCCGCGGACGGCCUGGACCUUCCCGGAGAUCAUCGCCGCUGCUGAGGCCCGCCUGCGGGUCUUGGGUUCGCAGAUGGAGCGGCUGUCCCGGGCCGGCACCGCGAUGACAGAGGCCUUGUAGCCGGAUUCCGUCCAUCCACGUAGCUUCUCGCGCCUGGCGCGUUGGUUGGAGAUGGGUCCGGACUGGCUUGACGAGUGGCGUGUUUCCACCGGUGCUGAGAUGGUGCUCCGGUUCGUGCUGUCUUAGCAUCUGGAUGUUCAACUGGACGCGUUGAUGGGCCACAGCGCCGGCUCGGAGCAGUUGCUGUAGGAGCAAGCCGACCGGAUCGCCUCUCGAGCCAGCUACAUCGCCGAGUUCGCCUUCCAUGAUGAGUUCCAUCUGGAGCGGACGGCAGGGCCGUGGAUGGCGAUGACUACGACUUGCUUCUUCAGGAUUUGGAGGGGAGCUCGGAGGAAACGGGCGUCUACGGCGACGCGGAUGCCGAAGAGGACACUGGUGCCUCGCCGGACCCGGAGGCCGUCAGGGGAGAGCUGUCGACGUCACGACGCGGCGCUGGAGAUGCCUGAGACACAUCGUGUAAAAACUGUUAAGUAGCAGGUCCACCCACCCACUGGGGGUUUUAGGGUGUAAUGAACUCGGGCUGUGGGCCUUUGCUUAAAUAUUUGUGUGUAAAUGUCGUGAGUGCUUUUUUGCUCUUUGUCGUUCGCUUUUUUGAACCGAUUUCANNNNNNNNNNNNNNNNNNNNNNNNNNNNNNNNNNNNNNNNNNNNNNNNNNNNNNNNNNNNNNNNNNNNNNNNNNNNNNNNNNNNNNNNNNNNNNNNNNNNNNNNNNNNNNNNNNNNNNNNNNNNNNNNNNNNNNNNNNNNNNNNNNNNNNNNNNNNNNNNNNNNNNNNNNNNNNNNNNNNNNNNNNNNNNNNNNNNNNNNNNNNNNCGCGCAGGACUUGGGUCCUUAGAAGCAUUGAGCGCGAGCGAAACACCCACCGGGCCGGCAGGCGGCAAUCCGGCUUAGCGGGUUGGUGAGCAGCCAGUCGUGCGGCUACUUAUUUGAUGAGUGACGGGCCAGGUUGAUCGACCCAGCGGCCUUUGACUUAGUGUAUGAAUCAUAGAGGAGCUUUGGCCCGUUGUGCUUGUCCGCCGACAGCCAAAGCUGGAUCUGCGGUUUUAGGGCGAAGUGGGGGACCGCGGCGUCCCAACUUUAUCAGGAAUCACCAAGUAAGGUGGCGGGGUGGCGACUGAGCCGGCCUGCCCCCGAGCCCCCGGGUCGAGCGAGUCGAGCCGGUGGCCGGGUUCAGUGGUAAAGUGAUGCAGAAAAAUAGGGACGCAAAUAAAUUGGUCAACAAAAGGCAGCCCCCGAGUCUCGUUCGGGGACCCCAUAGUUUCAUGCGUUUACAAAAGGCGAAGAUACAUACACUCGUGCGGCUAACUGUAAAACGGGCGGAGGAGUUCCGCGUUCCAUGGCCGAGUGUUUCUUCACCGGCGGUGUCCUUGUUGCACUACUUUGACUUGCGUGCAUCGAUGUGGUAGUAGGCAUUGCGAUCGCGCAAGGCCCUGCUCACGAUGAAUGGGCCCUCCCAUGGAGAGGACAGCUUGUGCUGGCCUGCCUGCUCUUGGACGAGUCGGAGGACGAGGUUGCCCUCGCAGAAUGCGAGGGGCUUGAUCUUCUUGUUGUGCUAGUGCCUCAGGCCUUGCUGGUAGAUGGCCGAACGGCUGAGUGCCAGAAGGUGCGCUUCCUCGAGCAGGUCGACGCCGUCUUCGCGUGCCUCUUUGGCUUCGGCUUCGGUGUACAUCGUGACGCGCGGCGAGUCGAACUCGACGUCGGUCGGGAUGACGGCUUCGGCUCCAUAGACGAUGAAGAACGGGGUGAACCCGGUCGACCGGUUCGGCAUGAUGCAUAGACUCCAGAGAACUGCCGGCAACUCGUCAAGCCAGUUGCCAGGUGAGCGGAUGAGUGGCUCGACGAGUGGCGGCUUGAUGCCGGAUAGGAUGAGUCCGUUCGCCCGCUCCACCUUCCUGUUGGACUACAGAUGUGCCAUGGAGGCCAGGUCGAGGCGGAUGCCGGAGACGAAGCAGUAUUGCUCGAGCGCGCCCUUGGCGAAGUUGGUGCCGUUGUCGGUGAUGAUGCCGUUCGGCAUGCCGUAGCACACCUCUAUGUCCUUAAUGAACCGGACGGCUGUUGGCCCAUCCAGUUUCUUGAUUGGUCUUGCCUCGAUUCACUUGGUGAAUUUGUCCACUGCCACCAGCAGGUGCGUCAUGCCGCCUUGAGCGGUUUUGAAGGUUCCCACCAUGUCGAGUCCCCAGACCGCGAAGGGCCAGGCGAUCGGUAUGGUGUGGAAUGCUGACAUUGGUGGUGACUGCAUUUGCUGAAGCGCUGGCACCCCUCGCACUUGAGAACGAGUGACUCGGCGUCUUCGAGGGCCGUGGGCCAGUAGAAACCGUGGCGGAAUGCCUUGGCCACCAGGGAUCGCGAUGCGGCGUGGUGCCUGCACUCGCCCUAGUGAAUGUUGAGGAGGAUGUCGAUGCCCCGAUCCUGCUCGACGCAGCGCUGGAACACGCCGGUGGAGCUGCGCUUGACGAGCUCGUUGUUGAUGAUGUUGUAGGCGGACGCCCCAUGCUGCACUUGCCGAGCCUCGGUUUCGUCCGUGGGGAGAACCCCGUUCUUCAGAAAUUCUGAUAUCGGCAGGGCCCAAGAUGGGGCCGCUACCACGAUGAAGACGGCCACCUGGGUGGGUUCCGAGUAGGCGGCCCCUGGGCCGGGUUGAGCAGCCCCCGGAUUGGGCACGGCGACGGCCGGGUCUGGGGUGAUGGUGGCCGGAUUGAGCUGAGCAGCCCCUGGGCCGGGUUCAGCGGUCCCCGGGUCGGCUUGCGGUGCGGUCGGGUCCUCUGGGACGUGGAUGGACUCGGAGUCCGGCGAUGGCUUGACGGACGGCUUGCGCAGGUGCUCGAGGGAGACGCCGGACGGGAUGGCUUGGUGUGACGAGGCGAUCUUGGCGAGUGUGUCGGCUGCUUCCUUCUCCGCGCGCGGGACAUGGAGGAACUCGUAGCCCUCGAAGGAUCCGGAUAGCUUGUGGACGAGGAAGCGGUAGCUUGCCAUGUUGGAGUCGCGGGCGUCCCAUUUGCCGGAGCAUUGCUGCACCACCAGGUCCGAGUCGCCGUAGCACAGGAUGCGCCGGAUGCCGAGUUCCUUGGCAAGCCGGAGGCAGUGCACAAGGGCUUCAUAUUCGGCGACGUUGUUGGAGGCGGCGAAGUGGAUCUGGAGCACAUAGCGGAGCCAGUCGCCCUUCCGAGAUGACAGUACAAUGCUGGCCCCCAAGCCGAGUUGCAUCUUGGGCCCGUCGAAGUGCAUGUGCCAAUGCGUCGAGUUGGGAGGCGGCGGUAAGUACUGGGUCUCGGUCCAAUCGACGAGGAAGUCGGCCAGGGCUUGAGACUUGAUCGUGGUGUGGGGCUCGUAGAGAAUGGUGUGGCCGGCUAGCUGGAUCGCCCACUUGGCGACCCGGCCAGAGGCAUCCCGGCACCCGAUGAUUUCUUCGAGAGGCGUCGUGCUGAUGACGGUGACGACCUGCUCUUGAAAGUACUGCUUCAGCUUCUUGGCAGUGAGGUACACGCGGUAGCACAUCUUCUAGUAGUGCGGGUAGUUCUGCUUGGAGGUGGAGAGCACCUCGCUCAGGUAGUAGACCGGAUGCUGGACGGCCUGGAUCUUGCCCUCAUCCGGUCGCUCGACCACCACCACCGUGCUGACCGCCCGCGAGGUCGCGGCUAUGUUGAGCAACAGCGGCUCCUUGUCGGUCGGCGCAGCCAGGACUGGUGCGGUGGAGAGCAUUCGCUUGAAGUCUUGGAAGGCCUCGUCUGCCUUGCCGUUGCAUUCGAACGGGCUUGUCUUCUUCAUCAGCUGGUAAAGGGGUAGCGCCCUCUCGCCCAGCCGGCUCAGGAACUGGCUGACCGAGGCCAAGCACCCGGUGAACUUAUGGACGUCACGCAGCCGAGCCGGCUUGCGCAUGCACUCAAUGGCCUUGAUCUUUUCCGGGUUCACCUCGAUGCCGCGUUCCGAGACGAGGAAGCCGAGUAGCUUUCCGGCCAGGAUGCCGAAGACGCAUUUAUCCGGGUUAAGCUUGACCUUGUAUUCGCGGAGGUUGGCGAAUGUUUCCUUCAAAUCGGCAAGGAGCGUGAGGUGCUGCUUGGUCUUCACCAUGAUAUCGUCCACGUACACGUGGAUAUUGCCACCAAGUUGCGGCAGCAGGCAUUUCUGCAUGCAGCGUUGGAAGGUGGCGCCGGCGUUCUUCAAGCCAAACGACAUGGUGAUGUAGCAAUAUGCCCCAAAGGGCGUGAUGAAGGACGUCUUCAGGGCAUCGGCCGGGUCCAGGUUGAUCUGGUGAUAGCCGGAGUAAGCAUCCAGGAAGGACAGGAGCUCGCACCCGGCGGUCGAGUCGAUGACUUGGUCGAUCCGCGGGAGGGCGAACGGGUCCUUGGGAUAGGCCUUGUUGAGGCUGGUGUAGUCGAUACACAUGCGCCAGGUCUUGUUCUUCUUCAGGACGAGGACUGGAUUGGCCAGCCACUCGGGGUGAAACACUUCCAUUAUGAAGCCGUCCGCCAAAAGCUUGGCGACCUCCUCACCAAUGGUUCUUCUCUUCUCUUCGGAAAAUCAUCGGAGGGGUUGACGGACAGGCCUGGCGUCCUUGCGGACGUGAAGUUUGUGCUCGGCAUACUUCCUCGGGAUACCGGGCAUGUCCUUGGGGGUCCAUGCGAAGAUAUCCCGAUUCUCACGGAGGAAGUCGACGAGCUCUCCUUCCUGUUUGAUGUCGAGGCAGGCUCCUACCAGUGGCGGUGCCAGGAUCGAAACCUUGUGUUGUCAAGCUUUAUACAAAUGAAACAUUUUGUAGGUAAAUUAAACAAGAACACAAAAAGACCAUACUUCAUUUGAUACAUAUUUGUUGUACCAGCUUUUUUUAUCAUAUAUAUUUCAUCUUAAACAUGUCUUUUGAUAUAAAGAUCUUAAACAUUUUUAUGGUAACAACGCUUUGACAAAUGUAUCCAAUUACCAUUACCAAACUUAAGACCUAACAAAUGACAAAACAAGGUUUUGCUAAAAGAAACAAUAUCUGAAUUUCAUGUGAGAAUAUAAAAUUUCAAGAGAAAGAAGACAGAAACUUACAAACAGAAAAGGAAGGGCCUCGUCCUAUACACUCGCCGAUUCGCUGAAGGUGCAGUACUAUGGAGAUCGGAGACUGCUAGAGCAGCGGAGGAGGCCGUGCUCAUUGUGGUGAUUCCAGGCAACGGCGACCUCAGCGGUCGGUGAGCAGCAUGUGUAUCCAUGCAUGAUGUGCUUCACUGCUCCUCCCCACGGCGUAGUGCAUGAUUGGCCAUUAGAGAUUAUACACAGGAAGGUGAAAAAGGAGAGAGUUCGAAGGAAUAUCACGGGAUUUCAGGAGACGGUCACGAAGUUGUUUUGGAGGACGACUAGGAAAGUUAAUAAUGACGUAGGGAGCUUCCUUUUUCUAUAUGGGCCAGCCAAAUCUCACAAAAAACUGAUACCAACUGGGCAUGUUUUAGUUAGAGGACCUCUUUUAGUUAAUUUCCAGAACCUGUUUAUUUGGAAGUGGGGUACGAUGUCACGGACUCACGGUAGUGUUUGAGUACCAAAUUCCUGUGUAGUCGCUUGACAACAUAGUCAUAGUGUGGAUUCGCCACUGGCGCCUAUGACAACGUACUUGCUGCAGCUGGGGUCUUCCGGGUUGAGCUUCACUCUCUUGGUCUCCUUGGAGGGCUUGAAGGCUGCCUCAUCGACCGGGUCCAGGGUCGGGAUCGACGCAGCGGAGGCCUCACCGGCCAGGGCGACGAUCCAGUCGAGUUGCCGCCGCUCCUCGGCAAUGACCAGUGACUCAGCCAACUUGGCGUUGUCUCGGGCGCACUCCAAGGACUUGCGGUAAUCGCCGGUGAUGGUGAUGAGACCCUUGGGACCCGGCAUCUUCAUCUUCAGAUAUGCGUAGUGGGGAACAGCCAUGAACUUGGCGAGCGCGGGCCGGCCCAGCAACACGUGAUACGUGCUGGACAGGUCCACCAACUCGAACCAGACCGGUUCGCGUCGGAAGUGGCUGUUGUCGCCGAACAGGACAUUGAGCUGGACCCGGCCAAUGGGCGAGCAGGAGAGGCCGGGUAUGAUGUCGUGGAAGAUUGCCCGGGUCGGUUCCAGGUCCUCGGCCUUGAGGCCGAGCUUGGUCAUCGUGUCGCGGUAGAGGAUGUUGAUGCUGCUGCCGCCGUCGAUGAGGACUCGGGAGAACUUGCAUGUACGCUGUGCGACGAUGGUGGGGUUGAGGACGAGGGCGUAGCCACCCGGGCUUGGCAUGACUACCGGGUGAUCCUCCCGGGUCUAGGUGAUCGGGUGAUCCGACCAAUGCAUAAACUCCGGCUUGGCUGGGACGACGGUGUUCACCUCCUGCCGAAGGAGGCGCUCGCUGCGCUUGUCGUUGCCGAGGCUGGUGAAGACGACAUAGGCCGCGUUCUGGUCCGGGUAGGUGUCUUCCGCAUCGCGCCGCCAGCGGGAGGCGGCGGUAGAGGCGGAGGCAGCUGUCCCACGCCUGGAGCCGGAGGCGGAGGAGGCGGGACGUCGCCCCUCAUGAUGCGCUUGGUGAUGGCGCACUACCGAAGCGUGUGCGUGGAGGGUCUUGUGCGCUGUGGUGCUUGCAGGGGGCGUCGAGCAUCUCUUUGAAACUCAUGGCGGGUUGCCAUGCCAUCUUGCCGGUUUGCCAGCGCUUCACCGCCGGGUCUGUCGCGGGCUCGGCCGCCGCGACGAGCAGGUUAUCGUGACGCUGCGCCGGCUGGUCGGCCUUGCGCUUGUUGUUCUGGUGAUGCUGCUGCCGGCUGCUUUCACCGGCCAGCUUCGGAGGGGGAACCGGCUUCGCCUUGCCGGCUUCAUCUAGCGCCACCUGGAUCUUCAUGGCGGAGUCUGAUGACCCACAAGUGUAGGGGAUCUAUCGUAGUCCUUUCGAUAAGUAAGAGCGUCGAGCCCAACGAGGAGCAGAAGGAAAUGAUAAGCGGUUUUUAGUAAGGUUUUCUGCAAGCACUGCAAUUGUAGGUGAUAGAUAGUUUUGUGAUAAGAUAAAUAGUAACGAGUAACAAGUAAACAAAGUAAAUAAAGUGUAGCAAGGUGGCCCAAUCCUUUAUGUGGCAAAGGAUAAGCCUGGACAAUUUCUAAUAAUGAGAAAGGAGCUCCCGAGGACACAUGGGAAUUAUCGUCAAGCUAGUUUUCAUCAAGCUCAUAUGAUUCGCGUUCGGUACUUUGAUAAUUUGAUAUGUGGGUGGACCGGUGCUUGGGUACUGCCCUUACUUGGACAAGCAUCCCACUUAUGAUUAACCCCUAUUGCAAGCAUCCGCAAGUACAACAAAAGUAUUAAGGUAAACCUAACCAUAGCAUGAAACAUAUGGAUCCAAAUCAGCUCCUAACGAAGCAACACAUAAACUAGGGUUUAAGCUUCUGUCACUCUAGCAAGCCAUCAUCUACUUAUUACUUCCCUAUGCCCUCCUCUGGGCCCAAUAAUGGUGAAGUGUCAUGUACUCGACGUUCACAUGACACCACUAGAGGAGAAGAGAACAUACAUCUCAUCAAAAUAUCGAUCGAAUACCAAAUUCACAUGACUACUAAUAGCAAGACUUCACCCAUGUCCUCAGGAACAAACGUAACUACUCACAAAGCAUAUUCAUGUUCAUGAUCAGAGGUGUAAUAAUAUGCAUUAAGGAUCUGAACAUAUGAUCUUUCACCAAGUAAACCAAUAAGUAUCAACUACAAGGAGUAAUCAACACUGCUAGCAACCCACAGGUACCAAUUUGUGGUUUUGGAUACAAGAUUGGAUACAAGAGAUGAACUAGGGUUUGAGAGGAGAUGGUGCUGGUGAAGAUGUUGAUGGAGAUUGACCCCCUCCCGAUGAGAGGAUCGUUGGUGAUGACGUUGGUGAUGAUUUCCCCCUCCCAGAGGGAAGUGUCCCCGGCAAAACAGCUCUGCGAGAGACCUAGAUUGGUUCGGCCAAGGUUCCGCCUCGUGGCGGCGGAGUUUCGUCCCGUAAGCUUGCCCACGAUUUUUUCCAGGGUAAAACGAUGAUAUAGCAGAAGAUGGACACCGGAGGUCCACCAGGGGGCCCAGGAGAUAGGGGGUGCGCCCUAUAGGGGGGGGCACCCUAUAGGGGGGCGCCCCCCUGUCUCCUGGACAGGGUGUGGGCCCCCUGGUGUAUUUCUUUCGCUCAGAAAUUCUUAUUAAUUCCAAAAGUUGUUUCGUGGAGUUUCAGGACUCUUGGAGUUGUGCAGAAUAGGUUUCCAAUGUUUGCUCCUUUUCAAGCCAGAAUUCCAGCUGCCGGCAUUUCCCCUCUUCAUGGUAAACCUUGUAAAAUAAGAGAGAAUAGCCAUAAGUACUGAGAUAUAUUGUGUAAUAACAGCCCAUAAUGCAAUAAAUAUUGAUAUAAAAGCAUGAUGCAAAAUGGACGUAUCAGAGUCGGCGUUGGCGUACUUGUCCGCCGUCACCAUGAGCGCGGCCAUGGUGGCCGGCUUGGAGCGUAGGAGCUUGUGUUUGAGGAGGGUUCCGUCUCGGCACCUGCUGAUGAAGUACUGUAUCGCCUGGACUUCAUGGACGCCCUCGCAGCUGUUCCGGAGCUCGGUCCAGCGUGUGAGGUACUCACGGCCGGUCUCCUCGGCCCCUCCACGCACAUGGCGAGCUGGCUGGGGUGACCGGGUCACUUGUAGGCCCCCGUGAAGUUUUGGACAAAGGCUUCCACGAAGUCGACCCACGCGUUGAUGCUGCCCAUCGGCAGGCUGUUCAACCAUGUGCGGGCCGACCCCUGGACCAUGAGCGGUGCGUAGCGCACGGCGAGACAAUGAUUGGCACCGGUGACGCCAAUGGCCGUGGUGUAGUCGGUGAGCCAAUCUUCCGGCUUCACCGUCCCGUUGUACUUGGGGGCGUCGCGGGGGAGCACGAACCCUUUGGGAAUGGGCUCCUCCCGGAUGCGUGGUCCGAAGCACGCCGGCCCGAUAGCGCCGCUCUCCCCCACAUCCAGGGAGCGAGCGAGCUGAUCGAGGCGGUGGCACGCGUCGGCGUCAUUGAUGGCGCGCGGGCCGAGUCGACUGGCGGCGAAGCCCCGAGGGGCCGGGCCGGUUGGAGCCGGACGUCGGCCAUGCUGGCCGGGUCCGCUCUGGGUCUCUGAGGCGGGCUCAUUGCCCGGGACGUCGGCGGCCAUGGUGGCCGGGUUGCGCCAAGUCCGGGUUCGGCCGGAGUGCACCUCACCGGGCGGCGAGGAAGCCAUGUACAGGAGUUCGCCGGGUCCGCCAAGGCGGGCGGAACCGGACCACGCCGGCUUGGCAAGCUGGUUGAGGCGAUCCUGCUGGGUGUUGGCGGCGUGGAGGAGCUCGCACAUCCGCCUGCGAGUUGGUCGAGGCUGACCGCGGCUGCCUCCGCAGCGCGCAUGUUCUUCACUGGGGUCUCGUAGACGGCCUGGAUGGCGCCGAAGGCCCGACCGAUCGCUCCUUCCCAGGUGCGAGCAUCGGCGAACCGGCUUGGCUCGGCCGCGGCGGGUGUGAAUCCGUGGGCGGCGUCAUGCUCCAACUGAGCGGCCUCCAAGCGACGCCUUGUGGCGGCCAGCGUCUCGGACAGGUCCAGCAUAUGAUUGCGUCUAUCCUCGAGCUGGGUUCGGGCUUCGGCGACAUUGGUGGGGUCGAUGUUGGUGCCGAUGGGGAUGCGGAGGCUUUGCAUCGCGGCGCUGUUGGAAAUAUGCCCUAGAGGCAAUAAUAAAAAGUUAUUAUUAUAUUUCUUUGUUCAUGAUAAUAGUCUUUUAUUCAUGCUAUAACUGUAUUAUCCGGAAAUCGUAAUACACGUGUGAAUACAUAGACCACAAUAUGUCCCUAGUGAGCCUCUAAUUGACUAGCUCGUUGUGAUCAAUAGAUAGUCAUGGUUUCCUGGCUAUGGACAUUGGAUGUCGUUGAUAACGAGAUCACAUCAUUAGGAGAAUGAUGUGAUGGACAAGACCCAAUCCUAAGCAUAGCACUAAGAUCGUGUAGUUCGUUUGCUAGAACUUUGCCAAUGUCAAGUAUCUCUUCCUUAGACCAUGAGAUCGUGUAACUCCCGGAUACCGUAGGAAUGCUUUGGGUGUAUCAAACAUCACAACGUAACUGGGUGAUUAUAAAGGUGCACUACAGGUAUCUCCGAAUGUGUCUGUUGGGUUGGCACGAAUCGAGACUGGGAUUUGUCACUCCGUGUAAACGGAGAGGUAUCUCUGGGCCCACUCGGUAGGACAUCAUCAUAAUGUGCACAAUGUGAUCAAGGAGUUGAUCACGGGAUGAUGUGUUACGGAACGAGUAAAGAGACUUGCCGGUAACGAGAUUGAACAAGGUAUCGGUAUACCGACGAUCGAAUCUCGGGCAAGUAAAAUACCGCUAGACAAAGGGAAUUGCAUACGGGAUUGAUCAAGUCCUUGACAUCGUGGUUCAUCCGAUGAGAUCAUCGUGCAACAUGUGGGAGCCAACAUGGGUAUCCAGAUCCCGCUGUUGGUUAUUGACCGGAGAACGUCUCGGUCAUGUUUGCAUGUCUCCCGAACACGUAGGGUCUACACACUUAAGGUUCGAUGACGCUAGGGUUAUAAAGGAAGUUUGUAUGUGGUUACUAAAUGUUGUUCGGAGUCCCGGAUGAGAUCCCGGACGUCACGAGGAGUUCCGGAAUGGUCCGGAGGUAAAGAUUUAUAUAUGGAAAGUUGUUGUUCGGGUUCCGGAAAAAGUUCGGGUUUUUUCGGUAUUGUACCGGGAAGCUUCCAGAAGGUGCCGGAGGAUUCCGGAGGGGUCCGGAGGUCCGGAAAUUGUUCCACCACGUCCAAUACAGUAGCAUGGGCUGUAAGGGGGCGCCCUAGCCUUUAUGGGCCAAGGGAACCACCCCCCCAAGGCCCAUGCGCAUGGGAAAGGGGAAACCCUAAAGGGGGAGGCCUCCACUUGACUUGGGAGGCACUCCUCCCCCCUUGGCCGCACCCCUUGGGGUGGGAAACCCUAAAGGGGGCGCAGCCCCCCCUUCCCCCUAUAUAUAGUUGAGGUUUGGGGCUGCUAAACACACGAGAACCUCUCCCUCUUGGUGCAACCCUACCUCUCUCCCUACUCCUCCUCUCUCGUGGUGCUUGGCGAAGCCCUGCUGGAUUGCCACGCUCCUCCACCAGCACCACGCCGUUGUGCUGCUGCUGGACGGAGUCUUCCUCAACCUCUUCCUCUCUCCUUGCUGGAUCAAGGCAUGGGAGACAUCACCGGGCUGUACGUGUGUUGAACGCGGAGGUGCCGUCCGUUCGGCACUUGGUCAUCGGUGAUUUGGAUCACGACGAGUACGACUCCAUCAACCCCGUUCACUUGAACGCUUCCGCUUAGCGAUCUACAAGGGUAUAUAGAUGCACUCUCCUUCCCCUCGUUGCUGGUUUCUCCAUAGAUAGAUCUUGGUGACCCGUAGGAAAAUUUUGAAUUUCUGCUACGUUCCCCAACAGUGGUAUCAGAGCUAGGUCUAUUGCGUAGAUUCUUUGCACGAGUAGAACACAAAGUAGUUGUGGGCGUUGAUUUUGUUCAAUAUGCUUACCGUUACUAGUCCAAUCUUGUUUCGACGGUAUUGUGGGAUGAAGCGGCCCGGACCGACCUUACACGUACUCUUACGUGAGACAGGUUCCACCGAUUGACAUGCACUUGGUGCAUAAUGUGGCUAGCGGGUGCCAGUCUCUCCCACUUUAGUCGGAACGGAUUCGAUGAAAAGGGUCCUUAUGAAGGGUAAAUAGCAAUUGGCAUAUCACGUUGUGGUUUUGCGUAGGUAAGAAACGUUCUUGCUAGAAACCCAUAGCAGCCACGUAAAACAUGCAAACAACAAUUAGAGGACGUCUAACUUGUUUUUGCAGGGUAUGCUAUGUGAUGUGAUAUGGCCAAGAAGAAUGUGAUGAAUGAUAUGUGAUGUAUGAGAUUGAUCAUGUUCUUGUAAUAGGAAUCACGACUUGCAUGUCGAUGAGUAUGACAACCGGCAGGAGCCAUAGGAGUUGUCUUAAUUUAUUGUAUGACCUGCGUGUCAUUGAACAACGCCAUGUAAUUACUUUACUUUAUUGCUAACCGGUAGCCAAAGUAGUAGAAGUAAUAAGUUGGCGAGACGACUUCAUGGAGACACGAUGAUGGAGAUCAUGGUGUCAUGCCGGUGACGAUGAUGAUCAUGGAGCCCCGAAGAUGGAGAUCAAAAGGAGCAAAAUGAUAUUGGCCAUAUCAUGUCACUAUUUGAUUGCAUGUCAUGUUUAUCAUGUUUAUGCAUCUUGUUUACUUAGAACGAUGGUAGUAAAUAAGAUGAUCCCUUACAACAAUUUCAAGAAGUGUUCUCCCCUAACUGUGCACCGUUGCUACAGUUCGUCGCUUCUAAGCACCACGUGAUGAUCGGGUGUGAUGGAUUCUUACGUUCACAUACAACGGGUGUAAGACAGUUUUACACAGCGAAAACACUUAGGGUUAACUUGACGAGCCUAGCAUGUACAGACAUGGCCUCGGAACACGGAGACCGAAAGGUCGAGCAUGAGUCGUAUAGUAGAUACGAUCAACAUGAAGAUGUUCACCGAUGAUGACUAGUCCGUCUCACGUGAUGAUCGGACACGGCCUAGUUGACUCGGAUCAUGUAAUCACUUAGAUGACCAGAGGGAUGUCUAUCUGAGUGGGAGUUCAUAAGAUGAACUUAAUUAUCUUGAACAUGGUCAAAAGACCUUUUGCAAAUUAUGUCGUAAGCUCGCGCUUUAGUUCCACUGUUUAGAUAUGUUCCUAGAGAAAAUAUAGUUGAAAGUUGAUAGUAGCGAUUAUGCGAUCAGUAGAAAGCUUAUGUCCUUAAUGCACCGCUCAGUGUGCUGAACCCCAAACGUCGUUUGUGGAUGCUGCGAACAUCGGACAUACACGUUUUGAUAACUACGUGAUAGUUCAGUUAAAUGGUUUAAGUAAAGGCACCAAAGACGUUUUCGAAAUGUCGCGGAACAUAUGAGAUGUUUCGAGGGCUGAAAUUGGGAUUUCAGGCUCGUGCCCACGUCAAGAGGUAUAAGACCUCCGACGAUUUUUCUUAGCCUGCAAACUAAGGAAGAAAAGCUCAAUCGUUGAGCUUGUGCUCAGAUUGUCUGAGUGCAACAAUCACUUGAUAGUGAUGUUUCUCCAAAGUCAUCGCCACCAAGCUGCGAGAGCUUCGUGAUGAACUAUAACAUAUCAGGGAUAGAUAUGAUGAUCCUUGAAAUAUUCGCGAUGUUUGACACUGCGAAAGUAGAAAUCAAGAAGGAGCAUCAAUUGUUGAUGGUUGGUGAAACCACUAGUUUCAAGAAGGGCAAUGGAACAAAGGGAUACUUCACGAAACGGCAAUUCAGCUGCUGCUCUAGUGAAGAAACCCAAGGUUGAACCCAAACCCGAGACUAAGUGCUUCUGUAAUAAAGGGAACAGCCACUGGAGCAGAAUUACCCUAGAUACUUGGUAGAUGAGAAGGCUGGCAAGGUCGAUAGAAGUAUAUUGGAUAUACAUUAUGUUAAUGUGUACUUUACUAGUACUCCUAGUAGCACUAGGGUAUUAGAUACUGGUUCGGUUGCUAAGUGUUAGUAACUCAAAAUAAAAGAGCUACGGAAUAAACGGAGACUAGCUAAAGGUGAGCUGACGAUAUGUGUUGAAAGUGUUUCCAAGUUUGAUGUGAUCAAACAUCGCACGCUCCCUCUACCAUCAAGAUUAGUAUUAAACCUGAAUAAUUGUCAUUUGGUAUUUGCGUUGAACAUAGACAUAAUUGGAUUAUGUCUAUCGCAAUACGGUUAUUCAUUUAAAGAGAAUAAAGGUUACUCUAUUUAUUUGAAUAAUACCUUCAAUGGUCUUGCACCUAAAGGAAUGGUUUAUUGAAUCUCGAUCGUAGCGAUACACAUUUUCAUGCCAAAAGAUAUAAGAUAGUAAUGAUAGUACCACUUACUUGUGGCACUGCCAUGUAAGUCAUAAUGGUAUAAAACGCAUGAAGAAACUCCAUGUUGAUGGAUCUUUGGACUCACUCGUUUUUGAAAAGUUUGAGACAUGCGAACCAUGUCUAUUGGUGUAUACGCAUGAAGAAACUCCAUGCAGAUGGAUCGUUUGGACUCACUUGAUUUUGGAUCACUUGAGAUAUGCAAAUUGUACCACAUGGGCAAGAUGACUGAAAGCCUUGUUUUUAGUAAAAUGGAACAAGAAAGCAACUUGUUGGAAGUAAAACAUUUUGAUGUGUGCAGUCCAAUGAGUGCUGAGGCAUGCAGUGAAUAUCGUUAUGUUCUUACUUCACAGAUGAUUCGAGUAGAUGUUGAGAAUAUUUUCUUGAUGAAACACAAGUCUGAAUUAUUGAAUGGUUCAAGUAAUUUCAGAGUGAAGUAGAAGAUCAUUGUGACAAGACGAUAAAAUGUCUAUGAUAUGAUCAUAGAGAUGAAUAUCUGAGUUACGAGUUUUGGCACGCAAUUAAGACAUUGUGGAAAUUGUUUUACAAUUAAUACCGCCUGGAACACCAUAGUGUGAUGGUGUGUCCGAACAUCAUAGUUGCACCCUAUUGGAUAUGGUGCGUACCAUGAUGUCUCUUAUCAAAUUACCACUAUUGUUCAUGGGUUAGGCAUUAGAGACAACCACAUCCACUUUAAAUAGGGCACCACAUAAUUCCGUUGAGAUGACGCCGUAUGAAUUAUGGUUUAGAGAAACCUAAGUUGUCGUUUCUUAAAGGUUUGGGGCUGCGAUGCUUAUGUGAAAAAGUUUCAGGAUUGAUAAGCUCGAACCCAAAGCGGAUAAAAUGCAUCUUCAUAGGACACCCAAAACAGUUGGGUAUACCUCCUAAUUCAGAUCCGAAAGCAAUAUGGAUUGUUUCUUGAAUCGGGUCCUUUCUCGAGGAAAGGUUUCUCUCGAAAGAGUUGAGUGGGAGGAUGGUGGAGACUUGAUAUGGUUACUGAACCAUCACUUCAACCAGUGUGUAUCAGGGCACAGGAAGUUGUUCAUGUGGCACCUACACCAAUUGAAGUAGAAGCUUAUGACAGUGAUCAUGAAGUUUCGGAUCAAGUCACUGCAGUACCUCGUAGGGUGACAAGGAUACGUACUACUUCAGAGUGGUAUGGUAAUCCUGUCCUGAAGGUCUUGUUGCUAGACAACAAUGAACCUACGAGCUAUGGAGAAGCGAUAGUGGGCCCAUAUUCCGACAAAUGGUUAGAAGCCAUGAAAUCCGAGAUAGGAUCCAUGUAUCAGAACAAAGCAUGGACUUUGGUGGACUUGCCCGAUGAUCGGCAAGCCAUUAAGAUAAAUGGAUCUUUAAGAAGAAGACGUACGUGGACGGUAAUGUCACCGUCUAUGAAGCUCGACUUGCGGCGAAGAGUUUUUCACAAGUUCAAGGAGUUGACUACGAUGAGAUUUUCUCAUCUGUAGCGAUGCUUAAGUCCGUUGGAAUCAUGUUAGCAUUAGGUGCAUUUAUGAAAUCUGGCAGAUGGAUGUCAAGACGAGUUUCCUUACCAGUUUUCGUAAGGAAAGGUUGUAUGUGAUACAAUCAGAAAGUUUUGUCGAUCCUAAGGAUGCUAAAAGGUAUGCUGGCUCCAGCGAUCCUUCCAAGGACUGGAGUAAGCAUCUCGGAGUUGGAAUGUACGCUUUGAUGAGAUGAUCAAAGAUUUUGGGUUUAUAUAAAGUUUAUGAGAAACUUGUAUUUCCAAAGAAGUGAGUGGGAGCACUAUAGAAUUUCUGAUGAGUAUAUGUUGUUGACAUAUUGUUGAUCAGAAAUGAUGUAGAAUUUCUAGAAAGCAUAUAGGGUUAUUUGAAAGGUGUUUUUCAAUAGAAAACCUGGAUUAAGAUACUUAAACAUUGAGCAUCAAGACCUAUGAGGAUAGAUCAAAAUGCUUAAUAAUACUUUCAAAUGAGCACAUACCUUGACAUGAUCUUGAAGGUGUUCAAGAUGGAUCAGUCAAAGAAGGAGUUCUUGCCUGAGUUGUAAGGUAUGAAGUUAAGACUUAAAGCUCAACCUCGGCAGAAAAGAGAGAAAGGACGAAGGUCGUCCCCUAUGCUUUAGACGUAGGCUCUAUAGUAUGCUAUGCUGUGUACCGCACCUGAAGUGUGCCUUGCCAUGAGUCAGUCAAGGGGUACAAGAGUGAUCCAAGAAUAGAUCACAGUACAGCGGUCAAAGUUAUCCUUAGUAACUAGUGGACUAAGGAAUUUUCUCGGUUAUGGAGGUGAUAAAGAGUUCGACGUAAAGAGUUACGAUGAUGCAAGCUUAACACCUAUCCGGAUAGCUCUGAAUAGAGAUACCGGAUACGUAUAAUGGAGAAACAAUUUAGAAUAGCUCCAAGUAGAACAGUUAUUUGGAAUAGCUCCAAAUAGAGCGUGGUAGCUGCAUCUAGGAGAUGACAUAGAGAUUUGUAAAGCACACACGGAUCUGAAAGGUUCAGACCCGUUGACUAAAACCUCUCUCACAAGCAACAUGAUCAAACCCAAAACUCUUUGGAUGUUGGUCACAUGGUGAUGUGACCUGUCAGUGUUAAUCACAUGGUGAUGUGAACUAGAUUAUUGACUCUAGUGCAAGUGGGAGACUGUUGGAAAUAUGCCCUAGAGGCAAUAAUAAAUAAGUUAUUAUUAUAUUUCUUUGUUCAUGAUAAUAGUCUUUUAUUCAUGCUAUAACUGUAUUAUCCGGAAAUCGUAAUACACGUGUGAAUACAUAGACCACAAUAUGUCCCUAGUGAGCCUCUAGUUGACUAGCUCGUUGUGAUCAACAGAUAGUCAUGGUUUCCUGGCUAUGGACAUUGGAUGUCGUUGAUAACGGGAUCACAUCAUUACGAGAAUGAUGUGAUGGACAAGACCCAAUCCUAAGCAUAGCACUAAGAUCGUGUAGUUCGUUUGCUAGAGCUUUGCCAAUGUCAAGUAUCUCUUCCUUAGACCAUGAGAUCGUAUAACUCCCGGAUACCGUAGGAAUGCUUUGGGUGUAUCAAACAUCACAACGUAACUGGGUGAUUAUAAAGGUGCACUACAGGUAUCUCCGAAAGUGUCUGUUGGGUUGGCACGAAUCGAGACUGGGAUUUGUCACUCCGUGUAAACGGAGAGGUAUCUCUGGGCCCACUCGGUAGGACAUCAUCAUAAUGUGCACAAUGUGAUCAAGGAGUUGAUCAUGGGAUGAUGUGUUACGGAACGAGUAAAGAGACUUGCCGGUAACGAGAUUGAACAAGGUAUCGGUAUACCGACGAUCGAAUCUCGGGCAAGUAAAAUACCGCUAGACAAAGGGAAUUGCAUACGGGAUUGAUCAAGUCCUUGACAUCGUGGUUCAUCUGAUGAGAUCAUCGUGGAACAUGUGGGAGCCAACAUGGGUAUCCAGAUCCCGCUGUUGGUUAUUGACCGGAGAACGUCUCGGUCAUGUCUGCAUGUCUCCCGAACCCGUAGGGUCUACACACUUAAGGUUCGAUGACGCUAGGGUUAUAAAGGAAGUUUGUAUGUGGUUACCGAAUGUUGUUCGGAGUCCCGGAUGAGAUCCCGGACGUCACGAGGAGUUCCGGAAUGGUCCGGAGGUAAAGAUUUAUAUAUGGAAAGUUGUUGUUCGGGUUCCGGAAAAAGUUCGGGUUUUUUCGGUAUUGUACCGGGAAGUUUCCAGAAGGUUCCGGAGGAUUCCGGAGGGGUCCGGAGGUCUGGAAAUUGUUCCACCACGUCCAAUACAGUAGCAUGGGCUGUAAGGGGGCGCCCUAGCCUUUAUGGGCCAAGGGAACCAGCCCCCCAAGGCCCAUGCGCAUGGGAAAGGGGAAACCCUAAAGGGGAAGGCCUCCACUUGACUUGGGAGGCAAUCCUCCCCCCUUGGCCGCACCCCUUGGGGUGGGAAACCCUAAAGGGGGCGCAGCCCCCCCUUCCCCCUAUAUAUAGUUGAGGUUUGGGGCUGCUAAACACACGAGAACCUCUCCCUCUUGGUGCAGCCCUACCUCUCUCCCUACUCCUCCUCUCUCGUGGUGCUUGGCGAAGCCCUGCUGGAUUGCCACGCUCCUCCACCACCACCACGCCGUUGUGCUGCUGCUGGAUGGAGUCUUCCUCAACCUCUCCCUCUCUCCUUGCUGGAUCAAGGCAUGGGAGAUGUCACCGGGCUGUACGUGUGUUGAACGCGGAGGUGCCGUCCGUUCGGCACUUGGUCAUCGGUGAUUUGGAUCACGACGAGUACGACUCCAUCAACCCCGUUCACUUGAAUGCUUCCGCUUAGCGAUCUACAAGGGUAUGUAGAUGCACUCUCCUUCCCCUCGUUGCUGGUUUCUCCAUAGAUAGAUCUUGGUGACACGUAGGAAAAUUUUGAAUUUCUGCUACGUUCCCCAACAGGCGCGCAGCGGGUCGGACGGCACGGUCCGUGCCGCAGCGGCCCCGGCUUCUGCGACCCUCCUCGCCUUGCUCGACGAGGAAGAGGCGCGAUCGCCGGUGACGAAAACCUCCACAUGGACGUCCAUCGCCCCGGCGGCGAUACCGCUGCCGAGGGAGAGUGGAGAGUCAGAGUGUUGAGCAUCUCCCUGGGGUACUCGUCGACCGCGAACGCAUCAGGGAUGCGUAGCGCGGUGAAGGAGGCGGCGAGCGCGCCUAUGACGUCGUCCGCCAGAGCGACGGACUCGUCGGAGUAGGAGAAGGGCCCCGUCUGAAGCAUGCUCGCGGCCAGCUCCUCGAGCUACCCCAUGGUGAGCGCCAACUGUCGUGGUGGGCGCACGGCAGAUGCCAAGGGAUGGCUAAAGAGAGGAGGAGGCUCGAGGGCGCUGGUGGGCUCCAGAGGCGAGGUUGGCAUGCGCGGGCGCGGGACGCCGGACAUACCCAGGUUAGGGGCUCUCCGGAGACAUAACACCCCUAGUCCUGCCGAGUUUAGUUGGAUAGUCGAUUGCAACAAUGUUGCUCCUGGAGCUGCAUGGAGGAGGAAGGAAGCUGGCCAAGGCUUGGGCCGCUCCUUCUCUCCGGCGCUGCCAUUGGGUGGCUAGUCCGAUGCUUGCUUGUGUUUCUCUUGUGUCUCGUACAUAUGACUCUCUCUGUAGGCGCGGGUUCCUGGGGGAUUUUAUAGAUCAACCCACCCAGGGUUACAAUGGUAAUACGCCGAGUCGGUGGGUCCCUAUUGUCGGUGUCUGGGAUACCGGGCUGGGUCCCCACUUGAGGGCUUGUGGUUCGCCGGGUUACCCUAGGUGCGGGCCCCGCGUGCCUAGGGGAACUGUUCGCCGUCUUGUCGAUCGUCAGGGCGUGGCCGAGUCGAGUCGUGUACAGUGCUCUCCAUCAGGUUGCAGCUUGUUGCCGUCAUCGGUGAGGGCAGGAGCACUGUUCCCACGCCAGCCUCGGUCAGCGGGUAGGUCAAGGGCAUUGUUGCCAUGCUCCGGCUGACCAUAGGCAUGGGCGGAAGCACUGUAGUCUUGGUCAUCGGUGAUUAAAGUCUCAUCCCAUCGUACGGCCUGGAUGGGAUGGGAGCUGCGUGGCUGGGUUGCCGUGCACGCCACGGGUGAGGUCGGCUUGUUGGGGAAGCCUUGGUGGCGCCGGGUUGGGUUGUCUUGUGCCAGUUGCUGUGGCCGGGUCGACGUACCUUGCCGAGUCGAAGAGCUUGGCCGGGUUGCAGGCCUUGCCGGGUCGAGCGACCCGGCCAGGCGCGUGCCGGUUCGUGGGGCGAUGUGGGCCCUGCCAUUCUUGAAAAGGAUCCGGGUUCCAUUGCCUGCCCGGGGUUCAUCCCCCCGACAGGGGUGGUGCCCAGGCCACUUAGGGGCUGGUUCCCUUCGACAUACAGCCCAUAGGGCCCUUCUGGGCAGGUGGACCCUCCCGGUGGACCCCCGGAACCCCUCUGGUGGUCCCGGUACAAUACCGGUAAACCCCCGAAUACUUCCGAUGACCGUAUGAUGACUUCCGAUAUAUAAAUCUUCACCUCUGGACCAUUCCGGAACUCCUCGUGGUGACCGGGAUCUCAUUUGGGACUCCGAACAACAUUCGGUAAUCACGUACAAAUCUUCCCUUUAACCCUAGCGUCAUCGAACCUUAAGUGUGUAGACCGUACGGGUUCGGGAAUCAUGCAGACAUGACCGAGACAGCUCUCCGGCCAAUAACCAACAGUGGGAUCUAGAUACCCAUGUUGGCUCCCACAUGUUCCACGAUGAUCUCAUCAGAUGGACCACGAUGUCGAGGAUUCAAGCAAUCCCGUAUGCAAUUCCCUUUGUCAAUCGGUACGUUACUUGCCCGAGAUUCAAUCAUCGGUAUCCCAAUACCUCGUUCAAUCUCGUUACCGGCAAGUCACUUUACUCGUUGCGUAAUGCAUGAUCCCGUGACUAACUACUUAGUCAAAUUGAGCUCAUUAUGAUGAUGCAUUACCAAGUGGGCCCAGAGAUACCUCUCCGUCAUACGGAGUGACAAAUCCCAUUCUCGAUUAGUGCCAACCCAACAAACACUUUCGGAGAUACAUAUAGUGCACCUUUAUAGUCACCUAGUUACGUUGUGACGUUUGGUACACCCAAAGCACUCCUACGGUAUCCGGGAGUUACACAAUCUCAUGGUCUAAGGAAAUGACACUUGACAUUAGAAAAGAUUUAGCAAACGAACUACACGAUCUUGUGCUAUGCUUAGGAUUGGGUCUUGUCCAUCACAUCAUUCUCCUAAUGAUGUGAUCCCGUUAUCAAUGACAUCCAAUGUCCAUAGUCAGGAAACCAUGACCAUCUGUUGAUCAACGAGCUAGUCAACUAGAGGAUCACUAGGGACAUGUUGUGGUCUAUGUAUUCACACAUGUACUACGGUUUCCAGUUAAUACAAUUAUAGCACGAAUAAUAGACAAUUAUCAUGAACAAGGAAAUAUAAUAAUAACCAUUUUAUUAUUGCCUCUAGGGCAUAUUUCCAAUAGUCUCCCACUUGCACUAGAGUCAAUAAUCUAGUUCCAUUGUGAUGAAUCGAACACCCAUAGAGUUCUGGUAUUGAUCAUGUUUUGCUCGUGGAAGAGGUUUAGUCAACGGAUCUGCGACAUUCAGAUCCGUAUGUACUUUACAAAUCUCUAUGUCUCCAUCUUGAACAUUUUCACGAAUGGAGUUGAAGCAACGCUUGAUAUGCCUAGUCUUCUUGUGAAACCUGGGCUCCUUGGUAAGGGCAAUAGCUCCAGUGUUGUCACAGAAGAGAGUCAUCGGGCCCGACUUAUUGGGAAUAACUCCUAGGUCAGUAAUGAACUCCUUCCUUCAGAUUGCUUCAUGCGCUGCCUCCGAGGCUGCCAUGUACUCCGCUUCACAUGUAGAUCCCUCCACGACGCUUUGUUUGCAACUGCACCAGCUUACUGCCCCACCAUUCAAAAUAUACACGUAUCCUAUUUGUGACUUGGAGUCAUCCACAUCUGUGUCGAAGCUAGCAUCGACGUAACCCUUUACGACGAGCUCUUCGUCACCUCCAUAAAUGAGAAACAUAUCCUUAGUCCUUUUCAGGUACUUCAGGAUAUUCUUGACCGCUGUCCAGUGUUCCAUGCCGGGAUUACUUUGGUACCUCCCUACCAAACUUACGGCAAGGUUUACCUCAGGUCUGGUACACAACGUGGCAUACAUAAUAGACCCUAUGGACGAGGCAUAGGGGAUGACACUCGUCUUUUCUCUAUCUUCUGCCGAGGUCGGGCAUUGAGCUAUGCUCAAUUUCUCACCUUGCAAAACAGGCAAGAACCCUUUCUUGGACUGAUCCAUAUUGUACUUCUUCAAUAUCUUAUCAAGGUAUGUGCUUUGUGAAAGACCGAUGAGGCGUCUCGAUCUAUCUCUAUAGAUCUUGGUGCCUAAUAUGUAAGCAGCUUCUCCAAGGUCCUUCAUUGAAAAACACUUAUUCAAGUAGGCCUUUAUGCUAUCCAAAAGUUCUAUAUAAUUUCCCAUCAAUAGUAUGCCAUCCACAUAUAAUAUGAGAAAUGCUACAGAGCUCCCACUCACAAUCUUGUAAACGCAGGCUUCUCCAUAAGUCUGCACAAACCCAAACGCUUUGAUUAUUUCAUCAAAGCGAAUGUUCCAACUCCGAGAUGCUUGCGCCAGCCCAUAGACGGAGCGCUGGAGCUUGCACACCUUGUUAGCAUUUUUAGGAUCGACAAAACCUUCCGGCUGCAUCAUAUACAAAUCUUCCUUGAGGAAACCGUUAAGGAAUGCUAUUUUGACGUCCAUUUGUCAUAUCUCAUAAUCAUAGAAUGUGGCAAUUGCUAACAAGAUUCGGACGGACUUCAGCUUCGCUAAGGGUGAGAAGGUCUCAUCGUAGUCAACCCCUUGAACUUCUCGGUAACCCUUAGCGACAAGUCGAGCUUUAUAGAUGGUAACAUUACCAUCCGCGUCGGUCUUCUUCUUAAAGAUCCAUUUAUUUUCUAUUGCUCACCGAUCAUCGGGCAAGUCUAUCAAAGUCCAUACUUUGUUUUCAUACAUGGAUCCUAUCUCGGAUUGCAUGGCCUCAAGCCAUUUGUUGGAACCUGGGCCCGCCAUCGCUUCUUCAUAGUUCGAAGGUUCACCAUUGUCUAACAACAUGAUUUCCAGGACAGGGUUGCCAUACCAUUCUGGUGUGGAACGUGUCCUUGUGGACCUACGAAGUUCAGUAGCAACUUGAUCUGAAGUACCUUGAUCAUCAUCAUUAACUUCCCCUCUAGUCGGUCCAGCCACCACAGAAACAUCUUCCUAAGCUGCGCUACUUUCCGGUUCAAGAGGCGGUACUUCAUCAAGUUCUACUUUCCUCCCACUUACUUCUUUCGAGAGAAACUCUUUCUCCAGAAAGGACCCGUUCUUGGCAACAAAGAUCUUGCCUUCGGAUCUGGGGUAUAAGGUAUACCCAAUGGUUUCCUUAGGGUAUCCUAUGAAGACGCAUUUUUUCCGACUUGGGUUCGAUCUUUUCAGGUUGAAGUUUCUUGACAUAAGCAUCGCAUCCCCAAACCAUUAGAAAUGAUAGCUUAGGUUUCUUCCCAAACCAUAAUUCAUACGGUGUCGUCUCAAAGGAUUUAGACAGUGCCCUAUUUAAAGUGAAUGUAGCUGUCUCUAAAGCGUAUCCAAAAAAUGAUAGCGGUAAAUCGGUAACAAACAUCAUAGAUCGCACCAUAUCCAAUAGAGUGCAAUUACGAUGUUCGGACACACUGUUACGCUGAGGUGUUCCAGGCGGCGUGAGUUGUGAAACAAUUCCACAUUUCCUUAAGUGCGUACCAAAAUCGUGACUCAAAUAUUCUCCCCUACGAUCUGAUCGUAAGAACUUUAUUUUUCUGUCACGUUGAUUCUCUACCUCACUCUGAAAUUCCUUAGACUUUUCAAAGGUCAGACUUGUGUUUCAUUAAUUAGACAUACCCAUAUCUACUUAAGUCAUCAAUGAGGGUGAGAACAUAGCAUAGCCACCGCGAGCCUUAACGCUCAUUGAACCGCACACAUCAGUAUGUAUGGUUUCCAAUAAGUUGGUUGCUCGCUCCAUUGUUGCAGAGAACGGUAUCUUGGUCAUUUUGCCCAUGAGGCAUGGUUCGCACGUGUCAAAUGAUUCAUAAUCAAGAGACUCCAAAAGUCCAUCUGCAUGGAUCUUCUUCAUGCGUUUGACACCAAUGUGACCAAGGCGGCAGUGCCACAAGUAUGUGGGACUAUCAUUAUCAACCUUACAUCUUUUGGUAUUCACACUAUGAAUAUGUGUAACAUCACGUUCGAGAUUAAUUAAGAAUAAACCAUUGACCAGCGGGGCAUGAGCAUAAAACAUAUCUCUCAUAUAAAUAGAACAACCAUUAUUCUCGGAUUUAAAUGAGUAGCCAUCUCGCAUUAAACGAGAUCCAGAUACAAUGUUCAUGCUCAAAGCUGGCACUAAAUAACAAUUAUUGAGGUUUAAAACUAAUCCCGUAGGUAAAUGUAGAGGUAGUGUGCCAACGGCGAUCACAUCGACCUUGGAACCAUUCCCGACGCCCAUCGUCACCUCGUCCUUCGCCAGUCUCCACUUAUUCCGCAGCUCCUGUUUUUAGUUACAAAUACGAGCAACCACACCGGUAUCAAAUACCCAGGAGCUACUACGAGUACUGGUAAGGUACACAUCAAUAACAUGUAUAUCACAUAUACCUUUGGUGUUGCCGGCCUUCUUGUCCGCUAAGUACUUGGGGCAGUUCCGCUUCCAAUGACCGUCUCCCUUGCAAUAAAAGCACUCAGUCUUAGGUUUGGGUCCAUGCUUUGGCUUCUUCCGGGCAACUGGCUUACCGGGCACGGAAACUCCCUUGCCGUCCUUCUUGAAGUUCUUAUUUCCCUUGCCUUUCUUGAAACUUGUGGUUUUAUUGACCAUCAACACUUGAUGUUCCUUUUUGAUCUCCACCUCCACUGGUUUCAGCAUUGAAAAAAAACCAGGAAUGGUUUUCACCAUCCCCUGCAUAUUGUAAUUCAUCACAAAGCUCUUGUAGCUAGGUGGGAGCGGCUGAAGGAUUCUGUCAAUGACCGCGUCAUCCGGGAGAUUAACUCCCAGCUGAGACAAACGGUUAUGCAACCCAGACAUUUUGAGUAUGUGCUCGCUAACAGAACCAUUCUCCUCCAUUUUACAACUGUAGAACUUGUCGAAGACUUCAUAUGUCUCGACCCGGGCAUGAGCUUGGAAAACCAUUUUCAGCUCUUGGAACAUCUCAUAAGCUCCGUGCUGCUCAAAACGCUUUUGGAGCCCCGGUUCUAAGUUGUACAGCAUGCCGCACUGAACCAGGGAGUAAUCAUCACUACGCGACUACCAGGCGUUCAUAACGUCUUGAGUUGCUGGGAAAAUGGGUGCUUCACCUAGCGGCGCAUCUAGGACACAUGCUUUCUUGUCAGCUAUGAGCAUGAUCCUCAAGUUCCGGACCCAAUCCGUGUAGUUGCUACCAUCGUCUUUCAGCUUGGUUUUCUCUAGGAACACGUUGAAGUUCAGGGCAACAUUAGCAUGGGCCAUUUGAUCUACAAGACAUAUUGCAUAGAUUUUUAGACUAAGUUCAUGAUAAUUAAGUUCAUCUAAUCAAAUUAUCUAAUGAACUCCCACUCAGAUAGAAAUCCCUCUAGUCAUCUAAGUGCUACAUGAUCCGAGUCAACUAGGCCGUGUCCGAUCAUCACGUGAUACGGACUAGUCAUCAUCGGUGAACAUCUUCAUGUUGAUCGUAUCUACUAUACGACUCAUGUUCGACCUUUCGGUCUCUUGUGUUCCGAGGCCAUGUCUGUACAUGCUAGGCUCGUCAAUUCAACCUAAGUGUUUUUGCAUGUGUAAAUCUGGCUUACACCCGUUGUAUGUGAAUGUUAGAAUCUAUCACACCCGAUCAUCACGUGGUGCUUCGAAACAACGAACUUUCACAAUGGUGCACAGUUAGGGGGGACACUUUCUUGAAAUUUUAUGAGGGAUCAUCUUAUUUAUGCUACCGUCGUUCUAAGCAAAUAAGAUGCAAUAACAUGAUAAACAUCACAUGCAAUCAAAUAGUGACAUGAUAUGGCCAAUAUCAUUUUGCUCCUUUUGAUCUCCAUCUUUGGGGCGCCAUGAUCAUCAUCGUCACCUGCAUGACACCAUGAUCUCCAUCAUCGUGUCUUCAUGAAGUUGUCUCGCCAACUAUUACUUCUAUUAUUAUGGCUAAUGGCUUAGCAAUAAAGUAAAGUAAUUACAUGGCGUUAUUCAAUGACACGCGGGUCAUACAAUAAAUUAAGACAACUCCUAUGGCUCCUGCCGGUUGUCAUACUCAUCGACAUGCAAGUCGUGAUUCCUAUUACAAGAACAUGAUCAAUCUCAUACAUCACAUAUAUUUCAUUCAUCACAUCCUUUUGGCCAUAUCACAUCACACGGCAAAUGCUGCAAGAACAAGUUAGACGUCUUCUAAUUGUUGUUGCAAAUUUUUACGUGGCUGCUAUAGGUUUCUAACAAGAACAUUUCUUACCUAUGCCAAAACCACAACGUGAUAUGCCAAUUGCUAUUUACCCUUCAUAAGGACCCUUUUCAUCAAAUCCAAUCCGACUAAAGUGGGAGAGACAGACACCCGCUAGCCACCUUAUGCAACUAGUGCAUGUCAGUCGGUGGAACAUAUCUCACGUAAGCGUAUGUGUAAGAUCGGUCCGGGCCGCUUCAUCCCACGAUGCCGCCGAAUCAAGAUAAGACUAGUAGUGGCAAGUAAAUUGACAAAAUCGACGCCCACAACAACUUGUGUUCUACUCGUGCAUAGAAACUACGCAUAGACCUAGCUCAUGAUGCCACUAUUGGGGAUCGUUGCAGAAAUAAAAAAAUUCUACGCAUCACCAAGAUCAAUCUAUGGAGAAACUAGCAACGAGAGAGAGUGGAGUUCAUCUUCAUACCCUUGAAGAUCAUGAAACGGAAGCGUUGCAAGAACGCGGAUGAAGGAGUCGUACUCGUAGCAAUUCAGAUCGCGGUGGAUUCCGAUCUAAGCGCCGAACAACGGCACCUCCGCGUUCAACACACGUGCAGCCCGGUGACGUCUCCCGCGCCUUGAUCCAGCAAGGAGGAGGGAGAGGUUGAGGAAGACAGCUCCAGCAGCAGCACGACGGCGUGGUGGUGGUGGAGCAACAGUUCUCCGGCAGGGCUUCGCCAAGCUCAAACGGAGGAGGAGAGGUGUUGGAGAGGGGGAGGGCUGCGCCUUGGAUGUGGUGCGGCUUCCCUCCCUCCUCCCCUCUAUUUAUAGGCUGAAGGGGGAAGGGGGCCGUCCCCUCUAGAUGAGAUCUAGAGGGCGGGCAGCGGCCAAGGGGAGGGGGCUUGCCCCCCAAGCCAAGGGGGCGCCCCCUUUAGGGUCCCCCCCCAACCCUAUGCGCAUGGGCCCUUGGGGGUGGCGCUCAGCCCACUUAGGGUCAGGUUCCCUUCUACCUACAGCCCAUAGGGCCCUCCGGGGCAGGUGGACCUCCCGGUGGACUCCCGGAACCCCUCCGGUGGUCCCGGUACAAUACGGGUAAACCUCCGAAUACUUCCGGUGACCGUAUGAUGACUUCCCAUAUAUAAAUCUUCACCUCUGAACCAUUCCGGAACUCCUCAUGACGUUCUGGAUCUCAUCCGGGACUUCGAACAACAUUCGGUAAUCACGUACAAAUCUUCCCUAUAAACCUAGCGUCAUCGAACCUUAAGUGUGUAGACCCUACGGGUUUGGGAAUCAUGCAGACAUGACCGAGACAGCUCUCCGGCCAAUAACCAACAGCGGGAUCUGGAUACCCAUGUUGGCCCCCACAUGUUCCAUGAUGAUCUCAUCGGAUGAGCCACGAUGUCGAGGAUUCAAGCAAUCCCGUAUGCAAUUCCCUUUGUCAAUCGGUACGUUACUGACCCGAGAUUCGAUCAUCGGUAUCCCAAUACCUCGUUCAAUCUUGUUACCGGCAAGUCACUUUACUCGUUGCGUAAUGCAUGAUCCCGUGACUAACUACUUAGUAACAUUGAGCUCAUUAUGAUGAUGCAUUACCGAGUGGGCCCAAAGAUACCUCUCCGUCAUACGGAGUGACAAAUCCCAGUCUCGAUUCGUGCCAACCCAAGAAACACUUUCGGAGAUACCUAUAGUGCACCUUUAUAGUCACCCAGUUACGUUGUGACGUUUGGUACACCCAAAGCACUCCUACGGUAUCCGGGAGUUACACAAUCUCAUGCUCUAAGGAAAUGAUACUUGACAUUAGAAAAGCUUUAGCAAACGAACUACAUGAUCUUGUGCUAUGCUUAGGAUUCGGUCUUGUCCAUCACUUCAUUCUCCUAAUGAUGUGAUCCCGUUAUCAAUGACAUCCAAUGUCCAUAGUCAGGAAACCAUGACCAUCUGUUGAUCAACGAGCUAGUCAACUAGAGGCUCACUAGGGACAUGUUGUGGUCUAUGUAUUCACACAUGUAUUACGGUUUCCGGUUAAUACAAUUAUUGCAAGAACAGUAGACAAUUAUCAUGAACAAGGAAAUAUAAUAAUAACCAUUUUAUUAUUGCCUCUAGGGCAUAUUUCCAACAAGCACCAGGUUCGGGCCCUCUAUAUGGAGGUAAUGCCCUACUUCCUGCUUGAUUGAUCUUGAUGAAUAUGAGUAUUACAAGAGUUGAUGUACCACAAGAUCGUAAUGGCUAAACCCUAGAAGUCUAGCUUGUAUGAUUGUCAUGAUCCUUUAUCGACUAGCCUGGUCUUGGCCUAUAUAAUGCACCAGAGGCCUAGGGUAACAAGAGUCCUAGCCGAAUACGUUGGUCGAGAGGAGUCCUUGUCUUGAUCACCAAGUCUUGUGGAAUACUCCAUGUAUGCGGCAUGGGCUGCACAAAGUGGCCCAUGAGUAAACUGCCACGGGGUUCCUCGGCCCGAUCCACCUGGUCGGGAGACGAUGUGGUGAGUACCCCCUAGUCCAGGACACCAUCAGUAGCCCCCUGAACCGGUCUUCAAGUUGGGGAUGCUCCUUGAUCCUUCAGAACUGUUCUUCAUCUUCGGUCGUCGGUCUUGAAAACUGGUUCAACAAAUCUUCUCGUCUUUGAUCUUGAGGAUCGCCGAAAUGAAUCCGAAGGGUUUACACAUCGGGUAUCCAAGGAGCCCCUUUAAGUUCUCGACCUUUAUCAAUGCCUUAGGAUUAUUUUUUACGCCACACCUCGGGUUUGAAGUUGUUCCUGUGCGGCGGUGUCCUCUUGCAUCCGAGCUCCAACGCCGGACUGCAUUCGAGAUAUCUUUUGCAGCCGAGCACCAACACCGGACUAUAUCCGAGCUCCAAUGCCGGACUAUGUCCGAGGUGUCAUAGAUCACCUUGGCUUGAAAAAGUUUGAAGGAGGUUAUCCGAGUUUAACGCUAAAAAGUUCUCUAUGGAACGAGCCAUUUGAAUCCGGGCUUUAUGCCGGACCACUUCCGAGCUCCAACAAUGGUCAGCGCCCGAGGUGUCGUAAACUACCUCGGUCUUUUAAAAGAUGCCGAGUUAUUGUCAGAAAUGCCCUCCAUGGAGCCAGCCACUGGCGCCCAAACAUUAUGCUGGACUACUUCCGAGGUGGUGCACCACCCCGACCGCGGGCUGAUUUUUGUGAAUAUUUUUUAUUGGUGCAAUUUACUCUCUGCCUUGAUAUAUAGCUAGUAUAUGUAUAUCCAGUAGCCCUCAAGGUGUGUGUCAGCCUAAACCCGAGGUGCACCUGAAGGAAAACAUAAAACUGCUGAUCCUGGUAGGCCCUGACACUCAGGUCGAUUUGCAAAAUCGGCCUGAGGAUCAACUCCUAGCUCGGCAGGAUACAUAGAAAUAGAAACACAGUGUAAUAUAUUAGAGAUAAUAGUGAUCGGCGAACGGGCCCUUGAGAGAGGGUCUUGAGAAGUUGCCGCAAUAUAUUAGCUUUACGCCAUAUAGGUCCAGAUGGUACCUAUUGUUGUCUGAAGACGUGUUUGCCCAUAGUUCAGUCAAGCUGGACACUAAGCACUUUGAAGUUUCUGCAUUGAAUAGGCAACGAAGUAACCCCCGAGACACUGGUCAGGUGGCAACACCAGAUCAGGGAAACGAUGUGCCCCUUUAAUAUUUAUAAAUAAUGAGCGUGAAGCCCAGUAGCCCCAGAGCCUUAAUGUGGGCACGGGAGGCCGAAUUAAGGAUCGAUAUCCGUGUGACAAAAAAUUUUGUUCUGUUUAACACAAACUUCUCGAAAAGUGAAUAAAGAUCUCUUAAAGGAGCUAGAGCUAGCGUGCUCGCCAAGGUUGGUCCCAAGGUCCUUUGCAUUGAACACAUAAACAUUGUUAAGAUCUUUGGGUUUUAUAUUUCUGUUGUGAUCGAACAAAGAUUAAACUUUUCCAGGAGAAUCAUGGGAGCCUUCCACAAAUCAAACUGUUGAGUUGGUCACGCGGAAUAUCAUAUUGACAUUUAAUAAUCAAACACCAGCAUGUUUAUAUUUUUGGUUGGGCCUAUCGAUCCAAACCUGUGAUACAUAUGUACGAGCAAUCAAAAUGAUCAAAAUUAAGCUAGCAUAUUGAGAGUAUAUAGAAAUGUCCACAAGCAGUUUUGUACCCUACUGUGACAUGUGAAGAUUACACGAGGCAUCAAGAUCCAAAUACACCAUAAUAGUAUAUGUUAUUUCUUCAACAACUACUACUUUGCUAUAAUUGUAUUUUUCAAAUUAGUGUAAAAAGGGACACGACAUGUCACAAUGUGACAUGGUGAUUGCCAUAAAUAGUUAGAUCACUAUUUUGCGUGAUACAAAGCUAUGGUUGUAUGCACGGAACGACAUUAUUUGUUUCCGCCGACACAAUGAACAUAUAACGAGGAUUAUAUAUUUGCGCCAAUAAUAAUUGUGUUUUCGCAUAAUUUGGUGACAAAAAUAUUAGUAGUGAAUCAGAACUCCCUGUGAAUGCCUUUAGCCCUCCUGUAGUUUCCAUCAAUUUCAUUACUCUCCUGUUCUUGUUACUAUUAUUUUAGCACACCUUAAUUCUUGUUCACAAACUCUUGCAAUAUUUUCACUUUCACACCUCUUUGAUCAGGAGUUAAAAUAUUUGCAUGCACUUUCUGAUAAACCUCUAGUAGAGGCAAAAGACUAUUUCUUAAUUUUUCUUUUGGGUCAAGACUAUUACUUCAAAAUGGCUACAACUAUAUUGUGUGCACUUGCAUGAGAUCAGAAAAAACAUAUUGAUUGGAAUGCACUAAUUUAAGAAUAAAUUUUUGGAGCAUGUUUACCAAAAGCUUGGUUAUCAUCUUGAUGGAGCAAUUCAGAAAGGAAAUAGGUCUGAAAUCAUUAUCCUAAAUUGCGGAGCCAUUUUUGGAAUUAGAGUAAUUAAAGAAGAGUCAAUGCUCUAAAUAUUGAUUGAACCAUGGUAAAACUCCUCAAACAAUGCAUAGAAAUCAGGGGCAAUAGUCUCCCAACAAACUUUAACAAAAUCUGAAUUAAGACCAUCUAGGCCUGGGGAUUCGUGAGAGGGCAAAUUCCUGACUGCUUUAACAAUUUCCUCUUUAGUGAAAGAUUUCUCUGAAAAAAGUAGACCAUCAUUUCUCGUAAGCAAAGAAUCCAAAUUCAUAAGGUUGAAAGUUGGGACAAUAUAGCCAAGUCUUUGCUUGAAAGAUCUACCAAAGAAAGCAGCCUUGGCAUGAUGUUCGGAGUGCCCAUGCCUCUGCUUAUCUCUUAAUAUAGCAAUGUGAUUAUUUCUGAAUAAUUGAUGCCUCUGCAUGAUUUUGUUUUACUUUGCUUCCCCCAAAGGUACCCAUAUAAUAGUGUCUCUUUGUUUCGAGUAGAUUUGCCGGUGUGGGAGAAGCUGAAGGAGAUGAUUUUCGAGGAUUUGUCUGAUUGUUCCAGUUAUGAAUUGCAAGAUUUCUAAAUUCUUCAAUACUGUCAUAGAAUUAAUCACUGAGUUUGGUAGCUUUGAUAGUGGUAGAGAGAUUAGAAAUUAUUUUGGAACACAGUUUUAAACCUUUUCUUGGUCUUUUGAAAUUUGCAUUUACUCUUUUGGAACUAUCAUGUUUGUGAAUUUGUUGGUCCCAAAUUGUAUUAAAAGUAUCUUUAAAGUCUGGGUGUUGCAACCAGUAAAUUUCAAACCAGAAAAUAGAGGACUCAAGAAUAGAUGUACCAAUCCAAAUGAAACAAGGGAUGUGGUAAAAAAAUAGGUCUGCCCUAAGGAAUAGCCAUAGUGUUUGGAUAAUUAAUAGUCUAGGAUUUAGAGGAGAAUACCCGAUCAAGCUUUUCCAAGAGAGGAGCACUCUGCAUAUUGCUCAAAGUAAACAUUCUGCCUCCAAGGGGAAUUUCAAUAAGAGCAAGGGAAGUGAUGGCUUCAUUUAAAGAAAACAUGGCAUGUGCACUACCGUCUUCUCUAUUUUUUGUUCUUAGGGCAGAUGACAUAAUUGAAAUCUCCAACCACCAACUGUAAGUGCAUCUAGUUCCCCUUAGUGAUUUUGGUGUAUUGAAGACUUAUAGGUUAAGGGACUAAUGUGUUUAUGAGUGUACACAGGUCUAUAAGUCUAUGAGGAGUUUGAUAUUUACAGAGAAAGUCGACCCCUAAAAAUGAAGUUCUUCAACAGAAGACUUUGGUAUUCUGAAGACUUUGAAAGUGAAGAAAUUGGUGUGACCUUGAAGACUUGGUAUUCAUUUGAGGAACAUGAAGCGCGAAGACUUUUGUUUUCAUAGUUUCGUUUUUCUCUUUCUUGAGUCAUAGGAAACACCGUACUGUUAAAGGGGGUCGAGGAAAUACUAAGGAAAAAUUUCCAUGUGAUGCUCAACUCAAAAUCCUACACCUACCAAUUCCUUCGAGUGAAGCCUUUGGAAAUCUCAUACAGUUCAGUCAAUUUCAUCAGUGACAGAGACAAAGUUCUUCUGGUCGCUGAGGAAUUUGUUCUGACUGAGGAGUUAGGAAUUCGCCAGUGCGAAUUGCCUACACAGUGAGGAACAUGAUAGCCCUAAGGAAUUUGAGAGUCAAAUUUCUGACCGUUGCUGUGCUGCGCGCCAGCUGUCCCAAAAUAUCUUAUCCACCUAACGGUCAUAUCAUUGAAGGGCAUUUAUGUCUUAUCAUGUCAGGCUGCUCCCUAGGCUAUAAAUAGCCGCCCCCUACAACCACUAGCUGGUUGGCUGCUCCACGAGAACUUGACACUUGUCAUUUGAGAGCAACCCAACCUCCGAGGACUUUGAGCGAAAAUCAUCGAGUGAGGAAAACCCAAAAACCAAACCCCUACAAACCCAAAGUGAUUGAGCAUCACUGAAGAGAUUGAUCCUGCGUGGAUCCGAUGCUUGUUACCUUUGAAGACUGUGCUUCUUCCAGACGGUUAGGCAUCAUGGUCUAGAGCAUCCAAGAGGAAUUGUGGAUCGCCGAGUGACCAAGUCUGUGAAGGUUUGGAAGUCGCCUGAAGACUUACCACGAGUGAUUGGACGAGGUCUGUGUGACCUUAGUUCAAGGAGAUUACGGUGAGGACUGGGUGUCCUGAGCUGCGUGCUCAGAGACUGGGUGUCCGGGACUGUGUCCUCGAGUUUAAAUACUCAGCCGCUCCAACCAGACGUACAACUGAGACAGCAGUUGGAACUGGUAUACCAAAUCAUUCUCUUCACCAACCUAACUGGUUCCAUUUCCUCAACCCAUUCAUUUCCUCAUUACUGUGUUAACUUUUUGUUCAUAUCUGUGUUUGAACACUUUGACUGAAGACUUUCUCAAUUUCCUCAGUUCAAUUUCUUCAGUCUGUUUGUCUUCAUCUUGUGCUAUCCUGUGUUUACGCUUUCUAUACUCUUUGAUUGUCUUCAUUUCAUCAUGAUGACCAUGCAUGUAUUCUGCUAUGCUUACUUCUGAGUGCUUAUUCCGGUGCAAGUAGUUCUUCGCUAAGGAAUUUCCUCACCGGCAAAUUCCUCAGUGAAGAAUUCAUAAAAAUCGCCUAUUCACCCCCCUCUAGUCGAUAUAACGCACUUUCAAUUGGUAUCAGAGCAAGGUACUCCCUUGUUCUGUGUGAUUUUGGUUUAACCACCUGGAGUUUUAGUUAUGUCGACCGCAGGUAUGAAGAAAGUGACUUGCCCUAUCUUUGACGGUCAUGAUUAUCCCAAGUGGAAGGCCAUGAUGAGGAAGCCCCUCAUGGCAAUGGACAGCGAGGUGUGGACCGUCACUGAAAUCGGUCUUACUGAUCUGUGCAAGUCGGCGAACGCAGAUGAUAUUCGCAAGUACACUCGACUUGACAUCAUGGCGAAGGAUAUCAUCUGUUCCUGCCUAUCUACAGAUGAAUUCAAGCGCAUUAUGCAUCUUUGCAAUGUGAAGCUUAUCUGGGACCGAAUCUCUGAUGUCUAUGAAGGUCAUUGAACCCGUCAUGAUCCUUGGUUUGAGGACUUCAAGGAAUCUCUCAAAACGAUGACUUUCGAACCAGAAUCAUCAUCUUCUGCAUCAUGUCUCAUGGCAAAGGGUGACAAGGUAACCGAAUGUUCCUCAUCCGAGUAUAGUGACAAUGAAUCUGAUGAUGAUGGAUCUGAUGAUGAUAUUGAACCAAACUAUACCAAGCUUGUUUGUAUUGCCACCAAACAACAACAUGCCUUGGAAAAGGUUCAAAACAUGUUAGGUAAAAGUGAUGAUAUGUUAGGUGAAGAAAUGAAUCGCACUAAAGCCCUGACUGAAAAUCUUCAGAGACUUCAGUCUAGGUUUGAUAACCUUCAAGGUCAUCAUAAGACUCUUUUGUCAGAUCAUGAGAAACUUUCUUAUGAAUUUCUUCAAAGAAAGCAAGAUCUUGAGAAGCUAAGAGUGAGUUAUGAAGAUCUUCAGAAGGAGCGUGAUUCAUUGCUAGCUCAACAAAUCAGCGCUUCUCAGGAAGAAUUUGUUCCUCCAUGCUUAAAGUGCAUUAAACGUGAAUCUGCUAAUUCUUCACCAGAAUGUUCAAAUGCUUCAACUGUUAUAAAUUCUUCACCUGCAUCUGCUAUCACUAAUUCCUCAUCUGAGGACAUUGCUAGUAAAACUGACAAUGCAGGGCUGAAGGAAUUGUACAUGACAGGCAUGUACAAAAGCCUCAAAGGGCAUCAGACUCUUUAUGAUGUGCUUAAAAAGAAGAUCCUCAACAGAAACCCUAGAAAAGAGGGUAUUGCCUUUGAGAGGAAACUCAAUGCUGAUGGAACAUAUUGGAAGCCUAAGCAGUACCCCAAAACCUCACGGGUUGCUGCAAAGGGACCUCCAGUUGAUCCAUCUAACUUAUCUGGCUUUACAUGUGAAUCUCCUCAUUCUUCUGAUGAGUCAUUUGACUCCAACUAUAAACUGUUCAAAAAUUAGAAUGGUGAAGUAUUUGCUAGAUAUGUUGGCACUAACUGCAGGAAUGGUUCUCCUAUGAAGAAAAUCUGGGUUCCCAAGAAGUGCCUUGAAAGCCUUCAGGUGAAUGUCCUCAUGACACCACCUGUGAAGAAUAGGAACCCCAGAUCAAAUUCUUCAUAUGUACCAAAUUCUUCAUAUGGAUCCAAGUCCUCAUACGGACAUAAUUCCUCACGUGGAUCAAAUUCCUCAAAAGGAUCAAAGUCCUCAUAUGAUUAUCAUUGUGCUAACAACUCUGUUUUGCAGGGUAGAGCUAAGGGCUAUGAAUAUGUGCAUUAUUCUUCAAACCAUUAUGUUCAUAAGUCCUCGAAGAAUUUCUCUCCUUAUUCAUAUGCUUACCCUAACCCCUCUUAUGUGAAACGCAAUGGUUUGGCCUCUAUGCCACCAUUCUCUUAUGGUGCUCGCAGAGUGAUGAACUCUUUGCCACCCCUUCAGAUGUGGGUGAUGAAGAAAAAGAACUAAUCUCUUCUGCAGGGUCAGGUCUCCAUACGUGCUUUAACGUCUGAAGAAUUUGCUGGGGACCUGACAAACUUGCCUGAUAGGACGCAGGCUAAUCAUGAUGAAAUGAACUUUCAUUUCACACGUCCUCAUACUGCUUAUCUGUUAAUACUAACUGAUGAAAUUCAUCUGAUGAACUUGAUAUCAUAUUGUUCACUGAUGAAGUAUAUGAGAUCGUAAGUUGCACUAAUUCAUCUGCAGGAUGAUCAACCCAAAGCCACUGAGUGGGUCCUCGAUAGUGGAUGUACAAAUCACAUGACUGGUGACAAGAAUCUAUUGAUGGAUGCCCCCUUAUCACCGUCACAUCUGAAGCAUAUCAUCUUCGCUGACAAAGGCAAAAGUCAGGUAUUGGGUCUUGGUAAGGUUGCGAUCUCUAAGGACAUACACAUGGACAAAGUCAUGCUUGUUGAGUCCUUAGGAUACAACCUCAUGUCAGUCUCAAUGCUUUGUGAUCUUGAUAUGGUUGUUGUCUUUGGCAAGUAUCACUGUGUUGUGAUUAUGGAUGCUGACAAUUCCAAAGUCUUCGAAGGCUUUAAGAGAGGAGACUUCUAUAUUGUUGAUUUCUCUACAGGACCACAACCAGCCGUGUGUCUACUUGCAAAAGCUUCAGAAGGCUGGCUAUGGCAUCGACGACUUGGUCACGCAGGCAUGAGGAAUUUGCACACGCUUGUGAAAAAGAAGCAUGUUAUUGGCAUUGAGAAUGUCAAAUUCCUCAAGGAUCACUUAUGUGGUGCCUGUGAAGCUGGAAAAAUGACCAAGGCCAAGCAUCCAGCGAAGACUAUCAUGACCACUACUCGUCCAUUCGAAUUGCUUCACAUGGACCUCUUUGGACCUAAUCAUUACUCAGCAAUCUCUAAUGAUGCAUCUCUAUAUGGCUUUGUUAUUGUUGAUGAUUAAUCUCGUUACACAUGGGUACACAUUGCUACUUACAAACAUGAAGUGCAGGAAGUCUUCAAACGAUUUUCCUCGAGGGCUUCAACCAACUCUUGUGUGAAGAUCAAGCACAUCAGGAGUGACAAUGGAACUGAGUUCAAGAAUUCCGGUCUUGAUGACUAUCUUGAUGAACUUAUCUGCUCCUUAUACUCCUCAGCAGAAUGGCGUCGUGGAGCGCAAGAACAGAACUCUCGUUGAGAUGGCUCGCACUAUGCUUGAUGAAUACAAAACGCCUUAUCGUUUUUGGAUUGAUGCAAUUGAUACUGCGUGCCACAUCAUCAACAGAGUAUAUCUUCACAAAUUCUUCAAGAAGACUGCCUAUGAACUCCUCACUGACAAGAAACCCAAUGUGAGUUAUUUCAAAGUCUUUGGUGCUAAAUGUUGGAUUAGAAAUCCUCAUCACAAUGCUAAAUUUGCACCGAAAGCACAUGAAGGUUUUAUGCUUGGUUACGGAAAGGACUCGCACACCUACAGAGUCUUCAACAUCGCCCUUCACAAGGUUGUUGAAACUGUAGAUGUGCGGUUCGAUGAAACUAAUGGCUCGCAAAGAGAGCACCUACCUUCUGUGAUAGAUGAACCAGCACCUGAGGAGUCCAUCAAGUUCAAGGCAACUGAGGAUGUCAUUCCUACUGAAGAAUCUGCUAAAGAAUUCAUUCCAGUACGCGAAGAACGUCGAGCUGAUGCACCUGAAGAUAAUGCUGAAGACAAUGGUGCUAAGGAAAAUGAUCAAAUACCUCGACGACAACCAGCUCAUCCUCGCAUUGCAAAAGAAGUACAAGUUGACAAGAUCAUCGAUGACAUUGAAGCGCCAGGUCCUCUCACACGCUCAAAAGCUUCACACUUAUCUAACUUUUGUGGGCACUAUGCUUUUGUCUCUAUCACAGAGCCCACUAAGGUAGAUGAAGCAUUUCUGGAGCCGGAGUGGAUCCAGGCAAUGCAAGAAGAAUUACAUCAGUUCGAGCUCAACAAUGUCUGGGAACUGGUCAAACAUCCAAAUCCUCGCAAGCAUAAUAUCAUUGGCACAAAGUGGAUCUACCGCAACAAGCAAGAUGAAAAUGGCCUUGUGGUGAGGAAUAAGGCACGACUUGUAGCUCAAGGCUACACACAGGUUGAAGGAAUUGAUUUCGAUGAAACUUUUGCACCUGUUGCUAGACUUGAGGCUAUUCGCAUAUUACUUGCUUAUGCUAACCAUCAUGAUAUCAUCUUAUAUCAAAUGGAUGUGAAAAGUGCAUUCCUCAAUGGUAAGCUUGAGGAAUAAGUAUAUGUUGCUCAACCCCCAUGUUUUGAAGAUCCAAAGAAUCCUGAAAAAGUCUUCAAACUCAACAAGGCUCUCUAUGGUCUCAAGCAAGCCCCUCGGGCGUGGUAUGAUACAUUGAAGGAAUUCUUCGUGAAGAAUGGCUUCACACCCGGUUCACUCGACCCUACUCUUUUUACUAAAUCUUAUAAUGGUGAACUGUUUGUGUGCCAAAUAUACGUUGAUGAUAUUAUCUUUGGCCGUACUGACCAACGUUAUAGUGAUGAAUUUGCCUAUAUGAUGAGUGAAGAAUAUCAAAUGUCCAUGAUGGGAGAGUUGAAAUUCUUCUUAGGUCUUCAAAUUCGUCAACGGCGCAAUGGCAUAUUCAUAUCUCAGGAGAAAUACCUCAAAGAUGUACUGAGGAAAUUCGGCAUGCAAGAUUGCAAAGGCGUCAAAAUUCCUAUGCCCACAAAUGGCCAUCUAUGCACUGAUGAAAAUGGUAUUGACUUUGAUCACAAGGUAUACCGCUCCAUGAUUGGUUCUUUAUUGUACUUAUGUGCAUCUAGGCCAGAUAUAAUGCUUAGUGUUUGCAUGUGUGCCCGAUUUCAAGCUGCACUGAAGGAAUCACACCAUAAGGUUGUGAAACAUAUUCUUCGAUAUCUAGCUCACACACCAACACUAGGAUUAUGGUAUCCCAAGGGCUCUGCUUUUGAUCUCAUUGGAUAUUCUGACUCUGACUAUGCUGGUGAUCGUGUGGACCGCAAGUCAACAUCUGGCACUUGUCAUUUCCUCGGACGUUCUUUGGUCUGUUGGUCCUCGAAGAAACAGAACUGCGUAUCACUGUCUACUGUGGAAGCUGAAUACAUUGCUGCUGGCUCUUGCUGUGCUCAACUACUAUGGAUGAAGCAAACUCUCAAGGACUACGGCGUCAACGUGAAGAAUGUGCCUCUCUACUGUGACAAUGAGAGUGCCAUCAAGAUUGCUCACAACCCAGUUCAGCACUCGAAGACAAAGCACAUUUAGAUUCGUCAUCAUUUUCUUCGUGAUCAUGUGUUGAAGGGCAACAUCUCCAUCGAUCACGUGAAGACUGAAGAACAGCUAGUUGAUAUCUUCACUAAGCCCUUGGAUGAAAAUAGAUUUAGCAAGUUGCGGUGUGAGCUAAAUAUCUUAGAAUCUUCUAAUGUUCUUUGAAAAGGACACACAUCCUGACCCUUAUGCAAAAUUGAUGACUUAGAUGUGCAACACAUGAAGAAAAGUUUUUCUUCAAUCAAUGAAGAAUAACACUCUAAGUGUGAAGGAAUUAAUGAAGAAUUUGAUUCUCAGAACCCUACGACAAUUGUACACGGUGUCUGAAAUCAUCAUUCUUAUACGGUGGGUCACGCCACCACCAAAGUUGAAAAUCUUCGAAUUUGAGCUUUUCCUCAGUUUUGGAAUUCUUCAGUUUUUCAAAUUCUUCAACUUUGCAAAAUCUUCACUGUUUCCAUCAUUUUUCUUCAUUGGUCAUAUAUAUAUAUGAGUUUAUGUCCUCUACAGCAUUCACUUAUGGCUAUUUCUUCAUGUUGCGUUUUCUGCUAAGUGAAUGUGAUCGGACCCUUCCCCCUCUAUGCUAUACUCAACUCAAUAUAUUCACAAAUUCUUCAUGUGCGUUCUAUUUGAAACUCGUUCAAAAUCUUCACUGUGUCCUUGUCAGCUGAAGAAAUUGCGAACGGAACUUUAAAACUGAUCUUAUCCAAACUUUCGGUUUUGCCGCUCAAACCGUUCCGCAUCCCACGAUGCAUUAUCCUAUUCACCCACGAUCGUACACGAUCUCCACUACAUAGUACGUGGGUGACACAUGUCGUGAGAAGGAGAAUGGUCAGGGGCAUGUUCGUCCUAAAUCUUCGGGCGACCAGUUUUUCACUGCCUCUAUAAAUACCCCUCUCUCCAUCCUCACUUCUUUUACUCCACUCGACCGUUCUCUCUCCCGCUCGAGCUCCUCAAACCCUAGCGCCGCCGCUACUCCAUCGUCGCCGGUGAGGAAGAGCUUCGCUGCCUCGACCUCGUCGCCGUCGUACUCGCGCCGGUUGCGGAAAUCUUCACUCCGCCGCCGCCGUAGCUGUCUUCCUCUGCCAAGUUAGGGCAAGGAAGAUCUAACUUGACGAACUUCCCAUCUGUUCUUCUCAGUUCGUCGUCUUCUUCACUUCGGAUAAUUAAAAGUUACUUUUAUUACUCGCUUUGAUUCUCAAGCUUUCCUGAAAAUCUUCAAAGGUGUUUAUUCUUCAAAUCUUCACACAUAUGAACACCUGACACAUAAUAUGCUCUUGAUUCGUUUCUCUAAGCAAUGAUUUUUCUUCAAGAUUCCUCAAUUGUGUGGAUCCUCGAUCUAUACAACUCUGGAACCUAAGACAAAGAACGCUUAGUGAAAUUCUUGAAGGCACAUCUGGUCAAAAUCCUCAAAACUUGUUUUCUUUUUGAAAAACCUUCUGAAAACGCAUAUGACCUCUCCAAAUUCCUCGAAACUAUACUCUGUUCACAGGUACAAAUGUCCGCUGCUGAAUCACUAGGUUCUCAUCAACUUAACUCAUUUGCAGCGUUCCUCGAAGAAAAGUUGCACACUUCUUCAGAGAAUUCGAUUGUUCAAAUUCCUCAUCUGAAGACUAUGGCUGACGGUAAGAAGCCCUAGAAAGGUGGAAAGAAGCCUGAGGUUAUGACUGCGUUUGAAAUCCCUGAGGAAAUAUAUGCUGAUUAUUGCACACCUGAUGAAGCCAAAUAUGGCAAAGAAAACAAAAGUCAACGCAAGGUGCGCAUUCAGAGGAUUGAACGGAGAUGGGCACGGGAAUGGAGGGAGUACAGAUAUGUAACUCCAAAGUACAUGAAGAAAUUCGCACUCAAUCCUCCAUGCCCAAGAGCUCCAUUGGCACCUGGCCAAGUAGCUGAUCCCACCAGCAUCGAGCGUGGUGAGGACUUUCCUGAAGAAUGGGCCAAGCGCCAAGCUAAAUUGUCAAGACAAGCCAAGGAGGCAGUGAAGAAAUUCAAUGAGGAUUCUGCCACUGCUGCUGCUACUGAGGCCUCUGUCAAACUGAGGAAAUCUAUGCCAAAGAAGCCUGCUCGUAAGCCAAGUGCUUCACCAACAGCGCCCUCACGGCCAAGUUCCUCAACAAUGCCCUCACGGCAAAUUCCUCAUGCUGCUCCUGCUCCUUCAAAGUCCUCAGCACCUGUGCAUCUGGCCACGUGUCAAAGGACUGCUGGUUUCUCUAUUGCCUCUGGUGUCUCGGCAAGUUCCUCAGCUGCACCAAUUUCCUCAUCUGGUCCCACACUGUUGAAGACCAAAGCUACUGCUGGACGAGGUCCUCGGCCAAGUCCGAAGAAGAAACAGGUCGCAUUCCAUGUGCCAUCUGAUGAUGAAGCUUCUGAUGAUGAACUUGCAGAAAUCAUCAGAGACAGACAGGUGAAGGCCGCUAGUGCCAAAGGCACAUCUGUGCCACUGCUUUUGGAUCCGAAGAAGAUCCUCGACUACAUUGAUCUCUGGCACAAGGACCCUAACACUCCUAUGCCCGAUUUUCAUCUGACUCCUGGUCAAAGUCACAUGCUGACGCAUUUCAUCGCUGAAGAGAAAUGGAAAUUUGAGAAGGCCAGGCAGAUCAAGAAAGCUCAAUACAGAAAGGAGAAGCUCCUGAAGAAAAACAUUGUCAAAAUGACACCUGAGGAACUUCUCCAGGUUCAAACUGAAAUUCAAGACCUCAGCAAACACUUCGAUGCUUAUUAUGCUGAUUGGCAAGGAGCCAAGGUCAGAUUCGUCAAUCUGACGAAGAAUUUCACAAAUGUUGCAACCCCAACGCAACAGGAAAUUCCUCAGGCUGCAGCUUCUGCUCAGCCUGCUGAAGAACAUGCCAGCACGGCUGAUGAUUUUCAGCCUGCUGAUGACAAUGCUAGUUCCAGGGCUGAUGACUCAAUUCCAGCCGCUGAAGAAAUUGCCAGGGAAUCCACUAGUGGUGCGCCUGAAGAAACUGAAGAGAUCAGGGCAACUGCAUCAGUUGCGCCUGAGGAAAUUCAUCCUUACUCCUCAGCUCCUCCUACGCCAACAACAACUCCAAUUCUUCCAUCUGCCUCUGAUGUGAAGAAGACUAAAGCUGAAGAGCGAGCUGCUGUGAAGAAAAGGAAGGCAUCAGCUGCGUCAAAUUCUUCGGCUGCGAAGAAAAUGAAGCCAAUGACCAGCUCCUUUGAAAAUCCAAUUGAUGAUGUUCCUAUUUCCUCAAUUCCAUCAAAGGACCUUGUUCCUUUUGGUGAAGACUAUGUGAUCCCAAGCGGAUCUGAUGAAGAAAAUCAUUCUGCUGCUUCGUUAGAGCAGAUUGAUGAAUAAAUUGAGGUGGAUGCUAUCCCCUCAACGCCAAUCAUUUCCUCACCUAUGCCUCAGUUCACAGCUGAAGAGGCUGGUGUUGAGGAAAUUGAAGAUGAAGAUGUGGAUAUUGGAAGCACAACGCCCGUGAUGGAUGAUGACUUCUGGGAUAGUCAGCAUCCAAAUUCACCACUCUUCACCCCAAUCCAACAAAUUCCUCAGUCCCCUGCACCAACAGUUCAACUGGGCUCUGUGCAUGAAGAAAUUCCAGCCGCUAGUGCUGAAGAACCUGCUGUUGUUGUUGAUCCUCAGACUGCACAUGAAGAGGAACCAGAAAUUCCUCAGCCUGAAGAACCUGAGCUCGUGAUUCCUGAGGUGGUGAUGCAACUCACUGACACCCCUCUGCCAAAGCCAAAGAAUCCGUUCUCAAGUAAACAGAAGUUCAAGGCUGAAGACUUCUAUGGCGAGCAUGUUUUCUUCACUGAUUACAAUCCUUAUGACUCUGCUCGCAUAAGGAAGAGGCGGUUCUGGACUGCCAGCCAAGCAAAUUUCUAUUCCUCUAUGCUAUUCAACAAGGACAAAAUCUUAGAUCAUGCACAUAUUCCUCAUGUGGACAUGGAAUCUCUACCGUGCUUCGAGCCAGUCCUCAAUGUUCUUCACGAUGCAGGACUACUGAAUUUCUGCACUGACAUCUGUGAUUGGAAUGAAGAACUUAUUCUUCAGUUCUACACGACACUGCAUAUCACUGUAGAUGCUGAAGACGUGAACUCAUGGGUGUUGGACUGGAUGUCUGGAAACACUCACUACAAGGUACCAGCAACUGAAUUGCUUCGUGUCCUUCCUCUCAGUCCUCCCCUUGAUAGUGCACGUUGCAUCUACAAUGACCCUGAACUGACAAAUCACUAUAUGCAAGUGCUAAUGAAGCCUUUGAAGCCAAGGCAGGCCCCAAGAACCAAAUUCCUCGUCAAGGAAUUAUUGUAUGUGCCUCGGACUGUCUAUCGGAUUCUGACGAAGACAAUGAGUCCUAUCAAAGGCCACGACUCAAAUGAUGAAGAAGCCGUUGGCAUCAUGAAGAAUAUGCUUUUCAACAUCAUUCAUGGCGUUCCCAUAAACUUCUAUGAUUUCUUCAUGAGGACUCUGGCCAACAUUGCUAUGUCACCAUUUGAGCUGAAGCCUUAUGCGCCUUGGAUAAUCAGAUUCAUCAGGACAAGGUCUUCACUCAAUUACAAAGUUGAUACUCUGAACCACUACAGCUACUUGCCUCCAAUUGAAGUCCUCAAACGGACAGUUUCCUCAGCUGAUGACAAAGGCAAGGCCGCUGCUGUGAUAGAUGAAGGCAUUCGUCCAUUGGAUGGUCAAUUCCGUAAAGCAGCAUCUUACUCUACCAAUGACGACUCUGCCACUCAUGACUCUGCCGCAAAUACCUCAGCCAAGCAAAAUCCUCAAGCUACAACACCCAGGGUGAUGACUGAUCGUGAGUUACUCCUCAGUCUUCAUCAGAAGGUUGAUCGCAAUCAUAAAUGGGUCAAACGUCAGCUUGGUUCAAUUCUUCACAACAUGACCUCAACACACAAUGCAGUGAAGAAGAACCAGUACUACCUUCAUGAAACAUUCAACCGCACCUGGGCUGUUCUUUCUCAUGUCUAUAGCGCUGAAGAACUGAAGACGAUGGGUCUCAAGGAAGAAUUUGACUGGUCUGCACCUCCGCCGAAGAAAUUCAAGAGGGUCAAGGUUCCUCCAGUGGUGGCCAGCUCAUAUUCUUCAUCGCGCGACACUGAUGAAAAUGAAGAUUUGGACGACACUGCGGCAGGCCCUACUACAACAACCGACCCCGACAACGCUGGCGCUCCUCCAUCAACUUGAUAUUCUUCAGGGGCGUUAGUCCUCAGUUUCGAUCCUUUUGGUCAUUUGAUGACAAAGGGGGAGAAAUUUGAGUUAGUCUUCAAGCGGGUCUAUCAUAUGGGCAUAUAUCGCAUUUUUUUGCUAAGUUACAACUCUCGUUCUUCUGAAACUAUAUCGGAUCGAGUUGUAAUCUUAAACCCGAUGGUGCGCUGAUACUUUUGUUGCACUAGCUCUGAUACUUUGGAUGCAUUUUUCCGCAUGCUUAUUCCUCAUUAAUAUUAUUGCACGCAUGCUGAAUUUCAUCAGGCACCAUAUUUCAUCAUGCAUUUCAAAUUCUUCAUAUUAUAUAUCAAAUGCGUGUAUGAAUUACAAGAUAUAGGGGGAGAUCUCCAUGAUUCAACUCUUCAAGUGUGCAUUGCCUCAAAAGAAAAUUCCUCACUAUGCACAUCUUCAGGGGGAGUUCUUCUAUAUCUUGCAAUCAAAUUCCUCAAAAUCAGUAUUUACACUUCAUAUGUUUAUCCCCGUUGAAAACUUAACCUAUAUUGUCAUCAAUCACCAAAAAGGGGGAGAUUGUAAGUGCAUCUAGUGCCCCUUAGUGAUUUUGGUGUAUUGAAGACUUAUAGGUUAAGGGACUAAUGUGUUUAUGAGUGUACACAGGUCUUUAAGUCUAUGAGGAGUUUGAUAUUUACAGAGAAAGUCGACCCCUAAAAAUGAAGUUCUUCAAUUGAAGACUUUGGUAUUCUGAAGACUUUCUGAAGACUUUGAAAGUGAAGAAAUUGGUGUGACCUUGAAGACUUGGUAUUCAUUUGAGGAACAUGAAGCGCGAAGACUUUUGUUUUCAUAGUUUCGUUUUUCUCUUUCUUGAGUCAUAGGAAACACCGUACUGUUAAAGGGGGUCGAGGAAAUACUAAGGAAAAAUUUCUAUGUGAUGCUCAACUCAAAAUCCUACACCUACCAAUUCCUUCGAGUGAAGCCUUUGGAAAUCUCAUACAGUUUAGUCAAUUUCAUCAGUGACAGAGACGAAGUUCUUCUGGUCGCUGAGGAAUUUGUUCUGACUGAGGAGUUAGGAAUUCGCCAGUGCGAAUUGCCUACACAGUGAGGAACAUGAUAGCCCUGAGGAAUUUGAGAGUCAAAUUUCCGACCGUUGUUGUGCUGCGCGCCAGUUGUCCCAAAAUAUCUUAUCCACCUAACGGUCAUAUCAUUGAAGGGCAUUUAUGUCUUAUCAUGUCGGGCUGCUCCCUAGGCUAUAAAUAGCUGCCCCCUACAACCACUAGCUGGUUGGCUGCUCCGCGAGAACUUAACACUUGUCAUUUGAGAGCAACCCAUCCUCCGAGGACUUUGAUUGAAAAUCAUCGAGUGAGGAAAAACCCAAAAACCAAACCCCUACAAACCCAAAGUGAUUGAGCAUCACUGAAGAGAUUGAUCCUGCGUGGAUCCGACGCUUGUUACCUUUGAAGACUGUGCUUCUUCCAGACGGUUAGGCGUCAUGGUCUAGAGCAUCCAAGAGGAAUUGUGGAUCGCCGAGUGACCAAAUCUGUGAAGGUUUGGAAGUCGCCUGAAGACUUAGCACGAGUGAUUGGACGAGGUCUGUGUGACCUUAGUUCAAGGAGAUUACGGUGAGGACUGGGUGUCCUGAGCUGCGUGCUCAGAGACUGGGUGUUCGGGACUGUGUGUCCUCGAGUUUAAAUACUCAGCCGCUCCAACCAGACGUACAACUGAGACAACAGUUGGAACUGGUCUACCAAAUUAUUGUCUUCACCAACCUAACUGGUUCCAUUUCCUCAACCCAUUCAUUUCCUCAUUACUGUGUUAACUGUUUGUUCAUAUCUGUGUUUGAAGACUUUGACUGAAGACUUUCUCUAUUUUCUCAGUUCAAUUUCUUCAGUCUGUUUGUCUUCAUCUUGUGCUAUCCUGUGUUUACGCUUUCUGUACUCUUUGAUUGUCUUCAUUUCAUCAUGAUGACCAUGCAUGUAUUCUGCUAUGCUUACUUCUGAGUGCUUAUUCCGCUGCAAGUAGUUCUUCGCUAAGGAAUUUCCUCACCGGCAAAUUCCUCAGUGAAGAAUUCAUAAAAAUCGCCUAUUCACCCCCCCCCCCUCUAGUCGAUAUAACGCACUUUCACCAACUAAGCCUGAUAAACUGGCAUGCACAUUUUGGAAUCAGUCAAUGAAAGUAGUUAAGGUUUUGACUUGAUAGGGUCCAUAUGUAUUGGUUAGAAUCCAAGACUCACCUAAGUGUAUUGAGGUGAACCUGUUGGAUAUAGGAAAUUCAUUAUGAACGCAACUUCAUUCUGAGCUACAAAGAAACCACUAGAGGCCCUAGAGAGGGCAUAAUUAAAAUUUGCUAAAUAUUUUUGGACCAUAUAGAAGACAAGGUUUCGAUAACAAAUACACGACUUGAUCUUAUGGUAUAUGAUAUUGUACACAAAGCAUAUAUGAUAAGCACUCUGUCUGCAUACUAUUUCUUCCAAAAGAAAGUUCCACAGGUAUCAUAAGGUAACAAGACAUAACCGCCUUGCUAUUCUAUGAUCUACCUAGGACUUCUCUUUGGAAAAUGACAAGGCGCUCCUUUAUUUUUGCAUCCUUAGAGCGAGCACACAACAAUCCAUAACAUAUGUAAACAUCUUACUUUGGGAGCACAACCUUAUGGAUAGACCUCAAUGACAGCUCGAGCUCCCAGCUUCUUCACAAUCUUAUAGCCACUGAACCCCGCCUUGACGAAGAUCUCACUCCAGUCCUUCUCAUCGCGCUGUCGGCCUCUUGUCACCACUAGCAUGACCAUAUCCAUGAGGUGUUGGGUUUCCAGCAUUGGCCCUGAAACAGAUCCAAGCACAAUGUCUAUGACGAUGACUUUUCCUCCUGCAUCCCGGGGAGGAACAGCCUUCUUGCAUUGUGCCAGGAUCUUGACGCAAUCCUCGUCGCUCCAGAAGUGCAGUACAAGCUACAUUACCAUGCAUGGAUAAACUUGUAGUUUAAGGUUAAUCAAGCCUGACUAGGAUGAAAUAUGAAGGGAUUUUAUUAUUUUAAGCUGUUAUUAUUUCAGAAAUGAAAACUAAUUAAGCAUUGCUUGAAUAUUUCAAUUUUGCUAAGUCUUAGUGGACUAAGACUUUGUUAUGUAUCGAUCGAUGUUAUAUUCAUUUGAUCUUGCAUGGAGAUUCAUAUAAAAAAAUUAUUUUCAGUUUUUUUUACUUCUAUAUACUCCAUCCGUUCGGAAAUACUUGUCAUGAAAUGAAUAAAAGGGGAUGUAUCUAGACGUAUGUCUAGAUACAUUCCUUUUAUGUAUUUCCGGACGGAGGGAGUACUAUAUUACUUGACUCAGACUUUAAGUCUCAAUCGACCAAGACCUAACCACACCCUUAAUAUUUCACUUGGAAUAAAAAUUAUGGAAUGUGCAACAUUCAUAUCAUAUAUACCUUGAGCAACACGGCUUGAGCAGGUGGGACAACGUGGAACAGGUCACCGGAAACAUACUUAACUGCUCCUUCUUCAGCGGGAAGAACUUUGUCCAUGACCUUUGGAAGGUCCAGCACAGUGCACGUGAUGUGAGGGUAGGCCUCGACGAUGGACCUCGCGGUAGUCCCAUCGCCACCGCCGCAGUCAGUGAGAGACUCAAGCCCAUCG
rnacentral:lncRNA from 1 species